GCUACUACGGGUUUCCCAACUGCCAGAGUCCCUGUUUCAUAAAAAACAACUAUUUUCACUGGCAGGGAUCAAACACGGCCGUAAACGUCCAGACACCAACAAAGUGUCAAAUACUAAGAAACGUAUCAACCUUCAUGAAUUAGGUACCGUCUGUUCAGCUUUUAAUUUUGGAAAGAACAAAACCCCCAAAAAGGACAAAACAAUUAAUAGCCUUGUCAUAAAAAAAAGGAGUUGGGGUAGAGAGAACUCUCCUUCAAUGAGAGCUGUCAUCUACAAGAAAUGGGGAGUUAAAACUUGGCGAGUACGGCUUGGUGACAUGGACAAGGUGCAUACAGCCAUCAAUCGUCCAGAACCAAUGGGUCAUAUGAGACAGAUUCCAACUAUGAAAUAAUAGUUGCAUGUUCAAUCCCAAUAUAUGCAGGAAGAACAUCCUCCGUACCCAAUGACAUAGAUUGCAUUUAGUUUUAUGUCAAGAGCCUAAACAUUGAUUGAACCAAGGCAGACCGUUUUACUGGUCAGGAAUGAAGUGCAUAACUUGUAAUCAUACGGAACAUUCACAUAAUGUAUGGUGGUAGCAUAGGGGAUAAUAUGAAAUGACCAGAACAAUAUGAGGAGAGCAACUUCAUAAUGGAGGAAAGGAAAGAAAAAAAAACUACACUUGCACCCUCAAGACAUAUAGAGAAUGUAUCUAAUCAGAAAUUGUUUUUUCCUAAACCACAACAAACAGGUUUUCGACGUCCUCAGAAGGAAAAGUAGGAACAAGCAUAAUGAAGCAACUAAACACACCAGCAAAAACAACAUGAAAAUAAAAUGCAUGAAAACCAGAUUCUAAAUUAAAAAAGAAAUUUGUUUCCAAGGAUAAGGUGGUCUUACCUUGUAAGCCUUUUUGAGUACACUAGCAAAAAUGCCCACACUCCGCUGCGGGGACUUCUAGAAGUAUGAUCUUGUACCAUCUGAUUUCUUUUGCCAUUCCUAGUUCUUUUUGGCAUCAUGUGCAAACCCAAAUUGAUAGCUAGGAAGAAAAAAUGAAAACACCUGCAUAAAUUCAAUUUUCCAUCACUCCUAUAUUAUAAUUAAAUAAAGCAAAACACAAUAAUCAUCGCACAAUUACAGAAGCAAGGACUUUCAAAUGCCCCAAUUAGUUAACAACCACUAUGCAUAAUUCUGAAAAAAUGAGUAUAAAAUUAACCUCUUUUGAAAAACGAAGGAAGAAAGAUGAAACCUUAAGCCAAGGAAUAUAACUAUGUUGAACUCAAUUAUUUGACAUUAAUUACACAAACCCAAUUCCAUAUAUAUAGCCAGACAGAAGCUUUAUCCUAGAGAGAAACCAUGCCCAAAUGAUUAUAUAAUCUCCAGACUGAGUGUGAAUUCAGAGCAUGAAGGGGAAGUGAGCUCCUUGGUUCCCACAUUGUAGAGACUAAAUCUCAAAACUUUGCCAAGCAUGACAGGAAACCAUGGAAAGAAUAAAAUGACCACAAAGAUUGCAAAACAAUUAACCACAGGUGGUGUUUAUAUGCCCACUGAGAGAAAAGCUUCUGCAAGUGAAAAAACAGGCAUGUACCAUCUGAAAGAGCCUCUUGUAUCCAUUCCAAUUAUACUUAUGUCUACCAUAUCCCUCUACAAUUCCCCACCACCAAUCAACCAUAACUGAUUUCAAUACCCUUAGCUGCUUUAGUAGACCAUCUGGUGACACCUAACAGACACCAAAAUAAAAGACAAGAUCAAGACCAUACAGAUUACAGACUAAGCUUAAAAACAACUGUUAUCUAUUGAGCAAAACUUGAACUCCUUGACAUGGCAACCUCUUAAUCCAGGAUGUAGAGUAGGAAAGAAAAAUUAUUGACAAACCGAAAAAUAACAAUUUAACUUGCAUAGAAAACGAAUAUUAGAAAAGUUACAUAACUCAAUGGAUUACAUAAACCAGUAAAAAAGCGAAACAUCAGUGUUUGGGAAGUUACCUUAUUUGAAACGUCAGGAGCAUUUGGUGUUCAUACAGGGUAGACAGUCCUUGCAAAAUUCAGGGCUUCAAAAUAAAAUAAAAAAAUAAAUUCAAAACAAAUCAAAACUAUUAAUCCUAACAACUAUUUAGUAAAGGAUAAAACAAUCUUUCCAUCAACCAAAUUUGAGAAACAAGUAAUGAAUGGAAUAACCCAAUUUCUAUCGCCAAUCACCCUUGCUGAAUGAUGAUUCACAUACUUCCUCAUAUUUGUUUAUGGGUUCGUAUCCAACAAAAUUUCGACUUAGUACCCAAAAACUGUAUCAGCUCACGAACACACAGAGGUUUAUCAAAUUGAAAGCAAAACCCACAUAUAUUCUCAAGAUUCUAGAGUUAAAAGAGGAGCAAGGAGGUUCGGUUACAGAACCCAAAACGCUAUUUUAAUGAGCAAAUGAAAAACAUGUCUUUCGAUCGAAGUUGCAUAAAUUACAUAACUUUGGGAUUAAGGAGGAACAACAACAACAACAACAACAAAGCCUUUUCCCACUAAGUGGGGUCGGCUAUAUGAAUCCUAGAACGCCAUUGCGCUCGGUUUUGUGUCAUGUCAUCCGUUAGAUCCAAGUACUCAAGUCUUUUCCUAGGGUCUAUUCCAAAGUUUUCUUAGGUCUUCCUCUACCCCUUCGGCCCUGAACCUCUGUCCCGUAGUCAUAUUUUCGAACCGGAGCGUCAGUAGGCCUUCUUUGCACAAGUCCAAACCACCGGAACCGAUUUUCUCUCAUAUUUCCUUCAAUUUUGGCUACUCCUACUUUACCUCGGGUAUCCUCAUUCUCAAUCUUAUCCUUUCUCGUGUGCCCAUACCUCCCACGAAGCAUCCUUAUCUCUGCUACACCCAUUUUGUGUACGUGUUGAUGCUUCACCGCCCAACAUUCUGUGCCAUACAACAUCGCGGCCUUAUUGCCGUCCUAUACAAUUUUUCCUUGAGCUUCAGUGGCCUACGACGGUCACACAAACACGCCGGAUGCACUCUUACACUUCAUCCAUCCAGCUUGUAUUCUAUGGUUGAGAUCUCCAUCUAAGUCUCCGUUCUCUUGCAAGAUAGAUCCUAGGUAGCGAAAACGGUCACUUUUUGUGAUCUUCGCUAGAUUGCUCCGGUCAUUAGUGUGGAUAAGUAUAUAAAUGGAUAGAGAUAGGAAAGCAAACACAAGAUGUAUGUGGUUCACCCAGAUUGGCUACGUCCACGGAAUAGAUGAGUUCUCAUUAAUUGUGAAGGGUUUACACAAGUACAUAGGUUCAAGCUCUCCUUUAGUGAGUACAAGUGAAUGAAUGAUUUAGUACAAAUGACAUUAGGAAAUAUUGUGGGAGAAUGAUCUCGUAACCACGAAACUUCUAAGUACCGGAGUGUGGUAUCGUCUUGACUUGCCUUAUCUGUCUCAUAGGUAGAUGUGGCAUCUUCUCUGGAAGUACUCUUCCUCCAUCCAGGGGUGGUAUCUAUAACUGGUGGAGAUGCACAAGGUAAUGUAUCAAUUUCACUUGAAGCUUACUUGUAGUUUCAGGCUUGGUCAAGCGCGAUACAAACCAUGUAGUAGGAGUCCCCCAAGUCGCCGAGCUAGGGGAUCUUCUGGAAGAGGUGACAGACAAGGUAAGCAAUCAGAUCUCUGGCUGAUUGUUCACAUUCUCCCUAUCUUGCAGGCAGCAUGAAGGAUAAAGAGAAGAAAAAUGAGAAGAGAUGAUAUGGGAUACUUUUGCUUUUGAAGAAGUAACUUUCCACAGGCUUAUUCUUGAACUGGGCUGGAGGGUUUUCUGGUUUCCUCCAGAGUAUAAGGCCGACUGAAGAAUUUGAGGGUCAAAACAAGUUCAUCAAAUCUAGAGUACGUUCGACCCUGCUGAUAUGGGAUACUUUUGCUUUUGACAGAGUAGUGGAUGUAUCGGCACGUGUGCUGUUACGCUUGUCUCCACAUGCUUCCUUGUAUCCUUCUCACUUGCCCUAUCUGUUCCUCAGGCAGAUGCGGUAUCUUCCCUGGAAGCAUAAGAUGUUGAAGAUGAGUACUCGAGAGCAAUGCCAGGUAAGUAAUCAGGUAAGGGGUUCCAGGCAGUCAGUUCCUGGCUGGAAGCUUGAUUCCAAGUGCUGACUGAUUGCUCUCUUUCUCCUUGUCUUGCAGGUAAGAACAAGGCCAAAGGAAAAGACAGGGAAAAAGCAUGAUAUGGGAUACUCUUGCUUUUAACCCUGAUGAUAUGAGAUAUUCUUGCUCUAGUAUAGCUUGUUUACAGAGGUAUUAUCGGGGGGAAAGAAAGCUGAAUAUUUCGAAAGGCUUCGUUGGGAGUGCCCUCUCAGAUAAGAGGAAGGGUUGAGCAUUUUUGCAGGUCUGCCUGUCCGUUGGGGAUGGAGGUCGACAUAUAUAGGAGUCUCCCUAACAUCAAGUAAUAAUGCUAUUCCUUUACCCUGCUUGGUCAUAGCACGGUAGUGGGAGCUGCCAGCUUCACAUGUUUUAACUCUGUCAGAGCACUUUGAAAAAGUGGUCUGUGGUAUCUGGAAAGCUGAUGUUGCGUUUGAAGAUUACAGACAAGCUUUAUCCAAGGAGAUCGAGCUCUUAAAGUUGGGAAAGUGGUGCCUCUUCGGUUUUUGAACAAGCAAUCCUGUCGGGGAUCUGGCUCUCGAGAUUCGGAGAACGAUGCCUCUUCGAUUUUUGAGAAAGCAAUCUUGCUGGGGGUCUGGCUCUCGAGAUUCGGAGAGCGGUGUCUCUUCGAUUUUUGAGAAAGUAAUCAUGUUGGGAGUCUGGCUCUCGAGAUUCGAAGGGCGGUGCCUCUUCGAUUUUGGAGCAAGCAAUCUUGUUGGGAGUGUUUUCUCGAAUGUGAGUAAAGGUUGGGCAUGUUUGCUAGUCUACCUUGCCACGAAGCACAGAGGUUGACACACAGGGACUUUCCAAUUAUCCAGCAGUGGUACUGUUCCUUUACCCUCUCUUCGAUUUUUUUAGAAAGUAAUCAUGUUGGGAGUCUGGCUCUCGAGAUUCGGAGGGCGGUGCCUCUUCGAUUUUGGAGCAAGCAAUCUUGUUGGGAGUGUUUUCUCGAAUGUGAGUAAAGGUUGGGCAUGUUUGCUAGUCUACCUUGCCACGAAGCACAGAGGUUGACACACAGGGACUUUCCAAUUAUCCAGCAGUGGUACUGUUCCUUUACCCUUGUGGGUAAUAAUAUGGUAGCUAGACCUUCAAAAUUUAUGUGUCUAAACUUUGUUAGUGUUGUUUCUUUGCUAUUCUUUUACCCUUCUUGGUCAGAGCGAUGUAGUGGGAGCUGCAAGCUUCACGUGUCUCAACUUUGUCAGAGAACUUUGGCAAAGUUAUCUGUGGUACCCAUGAGCUACUGUUGCGUGUGGGAAGUGGGUGAUUGAACAGUAAGAUUCAUGUGCUUUUCUACUUCGCCAGAAAUCUUCGACAGAAUGCCCAUAAUUUCCGCAAAGCUGAGUGUGCGUGUGACAGGUGCUGACAAGGCUGGAAAAGUAGGUGCCUCUUCGAUUUCUGAGAUCGGCCCUCGUGGUCUCUGAGCAGCCCAGCUUUUGAGAAAAGCAAGCCUCUUUCGAUUUCUGAGAUCGGCCUUCGUGGUCUUUGAGCAGCCCAGCUUUUGAGAAAGCAAACGCCUCUUCGAUUUCUGAGAUCGACCCUCGUGGUCUCUGAGCAGCCCAGCUUUUGAGAAAAGCAAACGCCUCUUCGAUUUCUGAGCAGGCGCCUCUUCGAUUUCUGAAGCUUCCGUCGAGUGCAGAUUUUUAUAGGGGCUGGCAUUAAGUUCCAAAGCACACUUGAAUCUCCACCAGUAGAAGCUCCAUUCUUGCACUUCUAAGAUCUUGAUUUGUCCGACCUCUUCUCUCUUCAACACCUUUGAAAAUGUCUGGCCCCUCCGACCGUCGUUUUGACUUGAACCUUGUUGAAGAGGCAGCCCGCCUUCUCCAGACAACAUAUGGCGCCCAUCCUUCGUCUCCCCUACUGGUCCUCUUACCGUUGGGGAUUCCGUGAUGAAGAAUGAUAUGACCGCUGCGGUGGUGGCCAGGAACCUUCUCACUCCCAAAGAUAACAGACUACUUUCCAAACGGUCUGAUGAGUUGGCUGUUAAGGAUUCUCUGGCUCUCAGUGUUCAGUGUGCAGGUUCUGUGUCUAAUAUGGCCCAACGCCUAUUUGCUCGAACCCGCCAAGUUGAAUCAUUGGCGGCUGAAGUGAUGAGUCUCAAACAGGAGAUUAGAGGGCUCAAGCAUGAGAAUAAACAGUUGCACCGGCUCGCACAUGACUAUGCUACAAACAUGAAGAGGAAGCUUGACCAGAUGAAGGAAUCUGAUGGUCAGGUUUUUACUUGAUCAUCAGAGAUUUGUGGGUUUGUUCCAAAGGCAUUUAUUGCCUUCGUCUUCUGGGGCUGUACCGCGUAAUGAAGCUCCAAAUGAUCAACCUCUGAUGCCUCCUCCUUCUAGGGUUCUGUCCAGUACUGAGGCUCCGAAUGAUCCCCCUCCGGUGCCUUCUCUUUCUGGGGCUCUACCGACUGCUGAGACUUCUCCUAAGCAACCUUUGUGAAGGCUCCCUCUUGUUUGUUUAUUUUGACUCAUGUAUAUGUACAUAUUUGUAACUUAUCGGGGAUAUCAAUAAAUAAGCUUUCCUUCAUUUCAACGUAUUGUGUUAAAUACACCAAAGCCUUCUUCGCUAAGUUCUUUGAAUUUUUCUUUUGUUGAAGCUUGUAUGUUGAAGCUUUGUGAGUGGAGCAUGUAGGUUGAGGGUAGUGUUCCCUUAAUUUCCCGAGUGAGGAAAACUUCUCGGUUGGAGACUUGGAAAAUCCAAGUCACUGAGUGGGAUCGGCUAUAUGAAUCUUAGAACGCCAUUGUGUUCUGUCCUGUGUCAUGUCCUCCGUUAGAUCCAAGUACUCUAAGUCUUUUCUUAGAGUCUCUUCCAAAGUUUUCCUAGGUCUUCCUCUACCCCUUCGGCCCUGAACCUCUGUCCCAUAGUCGCAUCUUCUAAUCGGAGCGUCAGUAGGCCUUCUUUGCACAUGUCCAAACCACCGUAACCGAUUUUCUCUCAUCUUUCCUUCAAUUUCGGCUACUCCUACUUUACCCCGGAUAUCCUCAUUCCUAAUCUUAUCCUUUCUCGUGUGCCCACACAUCCAACGAAGCAUCCUCAUCUCCGCUACACCCAUUUUGUGUACGUGUUGAUGCUUCACCGCCCAACAUUCUGUGCCAUACAGCAUCGCCGGCCUUAUUGCCGUCCUAUAAAAUUUUCCCUUGAGCUUCAGUGGCAUACGGCGGUCACACAACACGCCGGAUGCACUCUUCCACUUCAUCCAUCCAGCUUGUAUUCUAUGGUUGAGAUCUCCAUCUAAUUCUCCGUUCUUUUGCAAGAUAGAUCCUAGGUAACGAAAAACGGUCGCUCUUUGGUAUUUCUUGAUCUCCGAUCCUCACCCCUAACUCGUUUUGGCCUCCAUUUGCACUGAACUUGCACUCCAUAUAUUCUGUCUUUGAUCGGCUUAGGCGAAGACCUUUAGAUUCCAACACUUCUCUCCAAAGGUUAAGCUUUGCAUUUACCCCUUCCUGAGUUUCAUCUAUCAACACUAUAUCGUCUGCGAAAAGCAUACACCAAGGAAUAUCAUCUUGAAUAUGUCCUGUUAACUCAUCCAUUACCAACGCAAAAAGGUAAGGACUUAAGGAUGAACCUUGAUGUAAUCCUACAGUUAUGGGAAAGCUUUCGGUUUGUCCUUCAUGAGUUCUUACGGCAGUCUUUUGCUCCUUCAUACAUAUCCUGUAUAGCUUGGAUAUAUGCUACUCGUACUCCUUUCUUCUCUAAAAUCCUCCAAAGAAUGUCUCUUGGGACCCUAUCAUACGCUUUUUCCAAAUCUAUAAAGACCAUGUGUAAAUCCUUUUUCCCAUCUCUAUAUCUUUCCAUCAAUCUUCGUAAGAGAUAGAUUGCCUCCAUGGUUGAGCGCCCUGGCAUGAACCCGAAUUGGUUGUCCGAAACCCGUGUCUCUUGCCUCAAUCUAUGCUCAAUGACUCUCUCCCAGAGCUUCAUUGUAUGACUCAUUAGCUUAAUACCCUUAUAGUUCAUGCAAUUUUGUACAUCGCCCUUAUUCUUGUAUAUAGGCACCAAAGUGCUCGUUCGCCACUCAUUUGGCAUCUUCUUCGUUUUCAGAAUCCUAUUGAAAAGGUCAGUGAGCCAUGUUAUACCUGUCUCUCCCAAAACUUUCCACACUUCGAUUGGUAUAUCGUCUGGGCCUACUGCUUUUCUAUGCUUCAUCUUCUUCAAAGCUACAACCACUUCUUCCUUCCGAAUUCUACGAUAAAAAGAGUAGUUUCUACACUCUUCUGAGUUACUCAACUCCCCUAAAGAAGCACUUCUUUCAUGUCCUUCAUUGAAAAGUUUAUAAAAAUAACAUUUCCAUCUGUCUUUAACCGCGUUCUCUGUAGCAAGAACCUUUCCAUCCUCAUCCUUGAUGCACCUCCCUUGGUUUAGGUCCCUUGUCUUCUUUUCCCUUGCUCUAGCUAGUUUAUAGAUAUCCAACUCUCCUUCUUUGGUAUCUAGUCGCUUAUACAUAUCAUCAUAAGCCGCUAACUUAGCUUCUCUAACAGCUUUCUUCGCCUCUUGCUUCGCUUUUCUAUACCUUUCACCAUUUUCAUCGGUCCUAUCCUUGUAUAAGGCUUUACAACAUUCUUUCUUAGCCUUCACCUUUGUUUGUACCUCCUCAUUCCACCACCAAGAUUCCUUUUGGUGUGGGGCAAAGCCCUUGGACUCUCCUAAUACCUCUUUUGCUACUUUUCGGAUACAACUAGCCAUGGAAUCCCACAUUUGGUUAGCUUCCCCCUCUCUAUCCCACACACACUGGGUGAUUACUUUCUCUUUGAAAAUGGCUUGUUUUCCUUCUUUUAGAUUCCACCAUCUAGUCCUUGGGCACUUCCAAGUCUUGUUCUUUUUUCUCACUCUUUUGAUAUGUACAUCCAUCACCAACAAGCGAUGUUGAUUAGCCACGCUCUCUCCUGGUAUAACUUUGCAAUCCUUACAAGUUAUACGAUCCCCUUUUCUCAUUAGAAGAAAAUCUAUUUGUGUUUUUGACGACCCACUCUUGUAGGUGAUCACAUGUUCUUCUCUCUUCUUAAAGAAGGUGUUGGCUAAGAAGAGAUCAUAUGCCAUUGCAAAAUCCAAGAUAGCUUCCCCAUCCUCGUUUCUCUCCCCAAAACCAUGGCCACCAUGAAAACCUCCAUAGUUGCCUGUCUCCCUGCCCACGUGUCCAUUUAAAUCUCCUCAUAUAAAUAACUUCUCCGUCUGAGCAAUUCCUUGCACCAAGUCUCCAAGGUCUUCCCAAAAUUUCUCCUUUGAACUUGUAUCCAAUCCUACUUGAGGUGCGUACGCACUAAUCACAUUGAUAAGUUCUUGUCCUAUUACAAUCUUGAUUGCCAUGAUUCUAUAUCCUACCCUCUUGACAUCUACAACAUCUUGUGUCAAGGUCUUGUCCACGAUGAUGCCAACACCGUUUCUCGUUUUAUUUGUGCCCGAAUACCAUAGUUUAAACCCUGAGUUUUCUAGAUCCUUUGCCUUACGACCAACCCACUUAGUUUCUUGUAGGCACAUAAUAUUUAUCCUUCUCCUCACCAUAACUUCUACUACUUCCAUAGAUUUUCCCGUCAAGGUUCCUAUAUUCCACGUUCCUAAAUGCAUUUUGCUCUCUUGAACUCUACCCUUCUGUCCUAGCUUCUUCACCCUUCCCCGUCUAAUAGGAUCAAAGUACUUCUUUUGUGUGUCCCGUGUAAAGUUGAUAGGAGCAUAUGCUCCCAAACAACUUUGAGUGGAGUCGUUCGAAAAGAAGUUUCUAUAGCCCCCUUGCUCAUUUAACACAGCAUCCGGGUGCCGAUGGAGAUACAGCGACCCUUGCUCACUUAUCACUGUGCUCGGGCCACACAGCGCGCCACUUACGGGUGACGCCCUAGCUUUAGCGCGAUUUCGUUCUGGAUUCAUUUUCAUAAAGAUUCAACGUGAUCAUGGAGUGCCGGCUGUCGACUACCUGACGCCCUCCCCCUCCUCCUUUAUCCGGGCUUGGGACCGGCAAUGUAAGAUAAACUUACACGGCGGAGUUGGGAUUAAGGAGGAACAAAAAGCCCAAAUUCCAAUAAACCAAAAAAAAAAUCGUAUGUAAAUUUAAGCUUUUCCUGUAGAUUGGCAGCAGCAAAACAUGCUGGAUCCAACGGGAGCCACGUGUGAGAACUGGAUGCCCAGCCUUUGACACAUUAUCGAGUGAGUUUAGGGAUCUGGGUUUUGUGUUUGCCGUUGAAUUUUGGAAUGAUCUGGAGAAAUUUGGGUUUUAGGGUUCUAAGGAUUUGAGUGAACCGAAAUUGAUUUGGAUGAGCAACUUUUAGUUUCGAUUCGCGGUGGAGCAAGGAUGAAGAGGUGGAGGAGGAAGGAAUGAAAGACUUAACUUCUAAAGUUUCAAGUGCUUAGCAAAUUUCGAUCAAUGUAUGUUUCAAUACUUCAAAAAAAGGGACAUGCAUCAAAGACUUUUAGGUGGAAAAAAUAUGCAUUGGCUGAAAUGGAGAUAAUUAAGAUUUAAAAUGUUAAAAAUUUUCUUUUUGGCUCACUAAUUAGAUGCAAAAGUGAGACUGUGUGAACAAUUUUACACCCAGAAACAUGAACUACACAGAAUCACAACUGAUCGAACAAUGAGAAAGUAUAUAAGACAAUACACUAUCAAUAGGCUAAAACACUCUAUUAAUUGAUCUAACAAUAGGCUAAUAGGUUUAACUAAACCAUUAGAGACUGCAACAAUGAGAAAGUCUGAAGAUUAAAGUUCUAGUUGAAUAUCUUUGAACCCCUAGGUGUUGGAAACACUUUCAGUAAAUUUGUUCAGGAAAAUAUAGAAACUCAUGAUGCAAUUCCAUCGUCUGGGAUAGCAAAUAUUUACCUGGAAUCCAACAUUAAGCUACCAUUUUUCAUAAGUUUAUUCUUUUUGUUAACUACACUGGAAUUUAUAAAACAAUUUUAGAAAAACUCGAGUCUAGAUAAUGAACUUUUGUUCCAGUUUAAAAAAUUUUGACUUGUGUUCUAAGCAACAUUAUGUAUUCGCAUUUCAAUUGUGAAAGGCAGCAAUAAUCCCUGACUGAAGAUAUUAAAAAUCAGAACUUCUUCUCCAAGUUUUCAUUUAGUUUAUUUCACUUGUCCAUCGGAAUUUUAUGCAAAGAAGAUUAAAUAAAGACAAUAGCAUGCCAAAGAUUAAAACCCCUCAUUUCAAACUCUGCUAAUGCACAACUCUGUUUGGUUUUCUUCUCCAGAGACCAGACUGAGUGAGGAGUCAAGUUCUCCAGUGCACCAACAAUCUCCCGUUCGAGCAGCCAUCACCACCUCACUUGCCACUCCGGCGAGGCACCACCUUGCCACCACCCUCAUGUCUCACUCCCUCUCUACCACUCUCCCUAUUUCCCUCACCUCUUUCUCUCGAUACUGUGCUCGCUGCACAGAAACAGCAAGGCAACCACCGUCGCCUUUUUUCACAGCGAACUACGCCGUAACGAAACCAUCACCAUUAAUCUCGCUACCUAGGCGAGUUUUACCACCCUCUGCAAACUGCCUUCAUGCCUUCUAAUUUCAAUUCUUGCAUUUCUUGUAUGGUAUCCAUGUCUUGCACAUUCAAAUACUUAUAUACCGACUGAGAAUAACAAUAUAAAUCCCACACCCACCUCUUUUUCCCCACUUGAAAAAAUCACCUAAAAACAACAUUAACCACCAUAGUUUAAGAAUCCAAACAUGGCUCCAAAUUUCAAUCUAAUUAAUUAAAUUACAGAGGAUUCUACCUACCUCAUGAAAACAAAUAUGUUCAAUUAAAGAAAUUCCCUAACCAAUGCAGUGCAUCUUAAACUACUUCUUAACUAUGUCAGCCAUACCAAUCUAAUAAAAAAUCCAUGUUUCAAUCGAUUCUUAUUAAUUCCAACUCCAAGUAUUUCAGCAUCUAGAUUAUAGAAAAAUCAUAACAAAACAAAACUCAAUCUUGGUGCUAAAGCACACUUCGUUAACCUCACCUUCAUCAAGUCCAUGAUUCCUGCCAUGAGAUCUUUCUCUUAAUCCAGACUUGGCUUCAGAUGCAAGAUCAAAAUAACGAAGCAUUCAGUUCCAUUUCUACGCACAGCAAAUUAAAAAUUGAAAUAUGUUAUAAUUUACUCGGAAUCUUCAUAAGUAUCAUCAAAACAUAUAAACAGAUACAUUUGAAAACUGAUAAAGCUACCUAAUUAAGUUGAAAAGUUGCUAAUUAAGAUCAGGUGCCAGUGCAUCCAGUGAGCCUUCCAAGGAAAGAUGGCCCCAUGGACUUAGACCUUGAAAACUGAGGCUUGUUUUGCCUUGUAAUUGUAUGAUCAGUAGCAUUCUUAUGGAUUGUAAUUGUAUGAUCAGUAGUAUCCUUAUGGAUUCCCAGAUGAAUCCUCAAAAUUUUGUUCUCAUCUGUUAGCUUAUGCACAUGGGACAAAAGCCGCUCAAUUGUUUCACACUUCUCCUUGUUUCUCCUUAUCAACUCAGCUCACUGCUGCAUAUUUCGUCAAUGAGUUUCGAGAUCUUUUCAUGCAACAUUUUAUCUUUUUCAACCACAUUACCAUCAGAUUCUACACCAUGAUCAAUACUCUCUUUUUCCAAAUAUUCUUCAAAAGUACACAAACCAACCUUUUUUAGGACAGACCAGCAUUUGUUUGUUUUGAUGGCUCUGAAUUUGGUUUCCGUUUUCUCUUUGUGGUGGUCUGAUCAAGAUGCAGUCCAAAAACUAAUUUGAGUGCCUACACAGAUGAACAUCGCAUAAAAAUCAAAAAUAAAAAACAGCAGCAGAGAUAAAAAAAAAGACAAUAAUUCUAAAAAAAUUUAAAUCAAAAGCUUAAGACUAACUCACAGGAAGUUCUGUGAGUUAAUUUUUUGGGCAAAAAAAAAUUCUAUUAAUGCAUUCUCAUACAAAAAAAAAUUCUUUAAAUACUGAUUUCAUGCGAUCCAGGAGCUAAGUGCUUAAAUCAGAAAAAUUUCUUUAACCCAGAUACUCUUAUAUUGCAGUGCAGCAAAGUUUUUCUUGAACGCUGACGAAUAUCACUCUGAAAUUAACCCAAAUAUAUCUCAGAGAUUGCAGAGAUUCAGACAAUCAAUAAUAAGAUGGCCGGAAUGUUCUUUAUUCAUUUGUCCUCCAUACUCUACCCUAAUCUUCUUAGGAUUUUAGUUAAACAACUUGCUCCUGUAACAGCUAUAUUAAAGCAUAAAUAUUCAUGAACACUCAUCACCAAUAGCAAAAAGGCAUAAAGUAUUUUUACAUAAAUCUAAAGAUCCCUUUUGUGUCCCAAACCCAGGUCUGUCCUCUCUUUGCCUUCCUCCUUCAGGGCAUAAUUAGAGAUACCCACCAACAGUAUAACCAGAAAAAUUGCAGUGAGAUUUUAAAGUACGAACUUUAUUUGAUAUUGCAAUGAAAUAUAACAAAAUGUAAAAAAAUUGUUAUUUUGGUAAUAGACAGUGGAAUAACAGAAGAAGCCGAACCCAGAAAAAUUAAAAACACAUAAUCACAGUAGAAGAAGCAAACCCAAGAAAAUACAUAAAAUAAAAUAAAAGGGUGCAACUUUUAUUGGCGGGUGAAUGAGUAGACAAUAAAAAAAAGUGCAAACUUUGAGUUCAAAACAAACCUCGUACCAUUGAAAUUUGAGACUUGGAGUCGCCCACGUGAAGGGUUUUAUGAGAAGACAGUAUUAGGCGUGCUGAAGUUAGUUUAUGCUUUUAGUUGUAAAUUCACAUCUAAUACUAGUUGAACACAAAUUUCAGCAAAUACACAGAAGAAAUAGCAAGAAUUCAUUUCAGAAAUGGGAAAAAAUUAAAUUAAAAAUAGAAAACAAAGGGCCGAAAAGCUGCAUACCUAAACACAAUUUCAUAUCUUUUUAUCCUCUUCGAGUACCGAUCCAUUCCAGAGAGAGGGAGAGAGGAGGAAGGAGACGACGAAGGGGGAGAGGAGGGAGAGGAAGGCGAGAGGAGGAAAACGACGGAGGCGAUUUACUGUCUGUGUUGUUCUCGCGGGGACUGCGAGAUGAACGAGGUGAGGAAUGACCAGGUGGCUCUGGGCUCAAGGUCAGUGAAGCAGUGGCGAAGCCAAGAUUUACCGAGGGGAGGGGAGGGGCGAAAUUCAAAAGAGUGCAAAGUUAUCGAAUGGUUGCUUUCACAUUGGAGAGUGUAAAGUUUUGAGUCAAUAUUCAUAGCAAAAGAUAGUUUUGCAUCAAAGUUGUUGUAAGCAAUAAUAUCAAAACUAAUGUAAGAAGCUUAAAUUGGCAAAGAUUAUAUCGUAAAAAAUAUUGUGUGCUAGUCAAAUAGUGGACCUAGCAGACCUAGGCGAUAUCUAAGCAGAAGCCUAGAUGGAUUUAAAUUAUCGUAAAAUAAGUAUUAAACAAUAUUUACAUUGUUUUUAAAAAAUAAUACAAUAUUUAUAGAUAAUGUGAGAGUUUAAGAAAAUACGGUGAGAGUCUUAAAAGAGAAAAUAAAAGGGAAGUGUUAUUGGCACUCCAAAAAUCUCAUUCUACACUCCUCACAAGUGUAUUUUUAUUUCUAAAUAUAGAAAAUUUUGAAUGUAGAAUGAGAUUUUUAGAGUGCCAAUAACAAUUCCCAAAUAAAAAUACAUACACGAACAAAAAUUUGAAAAAAAAGAGAGAAAUAGGUUAAUAAGGACAAUACUUGGGUACUGCCUUUUUUCAAUGACUACAAUGUCACUCAGUAAAGUUAAAACAUGUGUCCUACUUUUCUUAUUAAAACUAGCAACCAAACACCCUCGUGUUUAAGGAAGACGGGCAUCCAAACAACCCAUUUAUUCCUUUCGUCCCUAACAUCUCCGCACGUCUGUAUACCAUGGUUUCCAUUGCUCUCAUCAUCACCACUCCAUUUCAAACAUAAGCACAAACACAAACAAUAAUCCAGCAAUAAUUUACCCAUUUGAAAACCCAAUUUUUUUUUUCAAAUCUGGACAAACAACCAAAUUUCAUUGCGACCCGCCACCAAUCCUUAUCUCCUUCGGUGACCCACCACCAAUCCUUCUCUACUUCGACGACCCACCUCCUCUCACUCUCUUCUACAGAAAGACUAACUCCUUGUCCUUCUCUUGAACGACGGCGAUUGCUGAAGACUGUCUCCCCCACAGCAAUAGAAACCAGAUCACUGGAGCGGGAAUUCUCAUUUCCGACGAGAGCGGAGGGGCUGAACGAGCGCUCUUAGGCAUGUUUUCCGGCGAGGGGAGUGGCGGCCGCCACUCCUUACCCUCACGUAGCUUCGCCACUGUCAGUGAGAAAAUGAGAGACCUAAACGGCUAGGUUAGAAAUGAGAGUAUGGGUUGAGGGGCACAGAAGAUCUGGAAAUGAUUUUUACCUUUCAAUUUGGAAAUGAUUUUUGCUGACCACUGUCAUGUUCCGUGAUUUCUUCCAUCACAAGAAAUCAAGUUGGGCUCAAAUUGUAAUAGUUUGGGUUCAAUUUGCAAUUUACAGCUUUUAAGUGGUAUUUUAUUUUAGGGUUAAUAUCAGUUUACUAUCCUGAAAUUUUGUGAUUUUCAAUAUUUGGUACAUGAAAUUUUUUUCAUCCCAGAGUCAUACCUCAAGACUUAAUUUUGGGACAAUUUCAUACAACCGUUAGAAAUUCUGUUAACUAAUGACGUGGUGUUCACGUGGACAAUAAUUGAGCGCCAUAUGCCAAUAUUGGCCCACUCCAAUAUUAAAAAAAAUUAUAAAAAAAAAAAAAAGAAAACCCAACCUUCCCUCACCCACCCCCUCCCCCGGCACCCUCUCCCUCUGUUCUCUCUUCUGCAAGUCCCAGCACCUCUCGAUUUUCCUUCAAUUUGACCCAUUUGGGACUGGGAGCCAAAUUAGACUAGGAGUUGGAAUUUGAGGUUCCAGGGGAAAUGGGGAAGACCCAGAUGGCAAUCUGAUUCACCAUUGGAGAUAAAACUGAAUCUGGAUAUUUGCACAGUGCAAAGCUCAGAUCCGUUCACAAUCAAGCUAUUACAGAAGAAGACUUGAGGUUUGGACUUGCAGGCGGCAACGUUGGCCAAUGUCCACACGUUCAGGCAGAGGCUGGUGACCUCGACGAGGAUCAGAAGGGAGAGAAUGGCGGCUGCACUGUGCGAAGCGACGCAGCAGCAUGUGAGGAAGAUGAAGAGUGUGAUGAGGAUGACAGCGAGGGUGAUGUGGGCGAGGAGAACAGAGGCGUGGAAUUGGAGAAGAGAGAAGGGAGAAGCGAGGGAAGAGGUGAGGGUUGCAGAAGAGAGAAAUGAUGGAGAUGGUGCGGGGGGGUGAGGGACGGGUGGGAUUUUAUUUUUAUUUUUAUUUUUUUUGUUUUUGUGUUUUUGUUUUUAUUUUUUUAAUUUUUUAAUAUUGAAGUGGGCUCAUAUUGACAUGUGGCACUCAGUUAUUGUCCACGUGGAUGUCACGUCAUCAGUUAACAAAAUUUCUAAUGGAAAACUUAACGGAUGUAUGAAACUGUCCCAAAAUUAAGACUAGAGGUAUGACUCUGAGAUGAAAAAAAAAACUUCAUGCACCAAAUGUUGAAAACCACGAAAUUUCAGGAUAGUAAACAGAGAUUAACCCUUUAUUUUACUAGUUUCUUUGUUAGUGACAAGUGGCAAGACAGACAUGUGUAAUGGGUUGGCUAUAUAGCCACACUCUCUCUCUUCCAACUGUUAGAAUGAAUUUAAUAUAAUUUCACAAAAGCUGAGCUAAUCUCUUUCCUUCUUCCUUCUCUAUUUAUGUAUCUUGCUCGGUCAAGGUUGAACGGUAGUUUGAAGUUGGUGGGUAUCUUGCAAGUUCCCUCAACUUUAGACUAUGGUAAUGGUCUAUCCAUUUAUACCUGUGGGUGGUGGUAGUGCCUAGUGGUGGCUUGCUGUUGUCUAUAAAAUGUGUGGCCUUAUGCUUGUUGUAAAUAAUGGGUAUGUUUGCCCACAUGUGUGUACUAUAUACUCACAAGCUAAAUAGUAAUGUUUUGUAAUUUUCCAUUGAAGUGGCUCUAUAAAUAGAGCACUUCAUUUGUGCAAAAGAGGGAUAUAAGAAGAAGAAAUAAAAGAGAAAUAUAUCUAAUAGCAAUAAUAUACAUUACUUCCUCAGCAACAGCUUGUGUUGGUAUAAUACUCUGCAACUGCUUCGUUCCUGUCCCGAGUAAAGGUUAUCUCUCUAUAAAUUUUGCCUAUUUAUAACACGUUAUCAGCACGAGUCUCUAAGUAUAACCAUGUCUCAUUUACAUUCACUAAACAAUAAAGGAAAUCAUUCUCUCUUUUCUCUCCGCCGAACGAAAAAAAAAAAAAAUGUUUCCUCUAAGGUUUUUCCUGUUCAUCUUCUUCAUCUGCCUCAACUGCGCGGUAUAUCCUCGUGACGAACUAUUUGCUCCAUGCCUGCUCGUAGUUCUCCAACUAGCGGUUACAUACAUCUUUGAUUACUUGUUUGGUUUGGAUAUUGAUUACUAACAUAGUAUUUAUAUUGAUUUUACUGCGAUCCAAGAUGGUGCGGUAUCAUCGCCUAUCUUGGACUGCAGAUCUACUUUUACUGCAAAUUUCAGGUGGAGCGGUAUAAUCGCCCUCCUUGCUCUCCAAAUUUAAAUUUACCUGUUAUUUAAUUUCAUUGCAAUUUUAGGUGGUGCGGUAUAAUCGCCCUCCUUGCUCUCCAAAUUUAAAUUUACCUGUUAUUUAAUUUCAUUGCAAUUUUAGGUGGUGCGGUAUAAUCGUCCACCCUGCUUUGCAUAUUUAAAUUUUAUCGCAAUUUUAGGUGGUGCGGUAUAAUCGUCCACCCUGCUUUGCAUAUUUAAAUUUUAUCGCAAUUUUAGGUGGUGCAGUAUAAUCGUCCACCUUGCUCUACAUAUUUAAAUUUUCCUGCUGUUUAAAGUAGUGCGGAAUAAUCACCCAUCCUAUACUUAUUUCGAUGAGAAUGGUGCGGUACAAUUGCCCUUCUCAUUAAUUGUGUAAAUCUCGAGCCUGAAGUUUCGAGUACUUAUCAUUUUGGCCUGAAGAUCAAAAAUUUGUAAGAACCAGAAGUUCUAACAAUAUAUUUCUCCAGUACACAUAUUACUGCAAGUUCUUACACACCUCAUUUUUCUUUCAGAAAAGAAAAUGGCAAACUUGGCAAAGCUUGAUUUUGCUGCCCUGGACAUUACUGGAAAGAAUUACCGUACAUGGGUACUGGAUACCAAGAUCCAUCUGGAAGCAGCAAAUCUUGGAGAAACCAUCAAGAAAGAGAGCAGCUCAUCCUCUCAAGAUCGGGCAAAGGCCAUGAUUUUUAUUCGUCGCCAUCUUGAUGAGGCACUAAAGAGCGAGUACUUAACGGUUAAAGAUCCGUUAGCCCUUUGGAAUGCCUUGAAAAGCAGAUACAAUCACCAGACAACGGUGAUUCUUCCAAAAGCUCGCUAUGACUCGACUCACCUAAGGAUCCAGGAUUUCAAAUCAGUGGCUGAGUACAAUUCGGCGUUGUUCAGAAUUACCUCUCAGAUGAAACUCUGUGGGGAUACUAUCACUGAGGAGAUGUUAUUGGAAAAGACUUUCAGCACAUUCCACGCCUCUAACAUGGUACUGCAACAGCAGUAUAAAGCGCGAGGCUUCACUGAAUACAACCAGCUGAUAUCUGUGCUCCUGGUAGCUGAACAGAACAAUGAGCUUCUCAUGAAAAACCAUAAUUCCCGACCUACUGGAUCAGCACCGUUCCCAGAAGUGAAUGUUGCUUCCCUUGAAAGGAAUACCAUAUCCUCCCGUGGCAAUAAUUACAAACGAGGAUGUGGCCACAAGCAAGGUCGGUGGAAAGGGAAAAGCAAGAACCAUGGUGUCCAGUUUCACAACCAGGUUCCAAGGUAUAAUCCAGGCCCGAGCUUUAAAAAUACCAAUCGCCAGAAAGGAAAAGCUCAUGUGAACACUCCUAGAAAUCAUGAAGGAGGUUGCCAUAGGUGUGGUGGCAACGGACAUUGGGCGCGUACUUGUCGCACCCCAAAGCAUCUGGUGGAACUAUAUCAAGCCUCCUUCAAGGAGAAGGGUGUCGAGAUCAAUUUCCUUGACCAGGCUAAACCAAUGGAAACCCCUGAUCCAGUGACCAAUUUAUCAGGACAAUUAAACACAACCCACCUGGAUGCUACAGACUUUAUUAAUGAAAGAGGGAAUGAAGUUUAUGGGUCCGAUUGAAUUAUUUAUGUUUAAUGUACUCAUGUUUUUUGUACCUGUGGUUUAAUGCUCGCAUUUUCAAUUCAAUAAAAGUAGUAUUCCAGUAUGAAUAAACUGCUUUUUCUUUACUCAGAGAUCAUGGAUAAAAAUUAUGGUUAUUCUCAAAACAAGAUCAAUGGCGGAGACUUUUGUCUUGCAGAUAGCGCAACCACGCAUUCAAUACUUCGAGAUCGAAAGUAUUUCUCGAAUUUGGUACUUGCAAAAGUAAAGGUAACAACAAUAUCAGGACCAUCAGAUGUAAUUGAAGGCUCAGGAAAAGCCCAGAUUAUGUUACCAAAUGGAACAAUAUUGUCUAUAAUGAAUGCAUUAUAUGCUACUCGGUCCAUUCGAAAUUUGUUGAGUUUUAAAGACAUACGUCUAAAUGGAUACCACCUUGAAACGAAAAUUGUAGAAAAUGUGGAAUAUUUAUGCAUUACCUCCAAUGAUACCCAGAAGCGUAUAUUGGAGAAGUUGCAUGGUUUAUCGAGUGGAUUGUAUUGUACAUACAUAAAGACAGUUGAGGCAUAUACUGUCAUGAACCAGAAGUUCAUUGAUUCAAAGGUUUACAUGCUUUGGCAUGACCGUCUAGGUCAUCCAGGAUCUACCAUGAUGCGUAGAAUCAUUACCAACUCUAAUGGACAUCCAUUACUGAGCAGACACAUUAAUGUCUCGAAUGAUAAACCUUGCAAGGCUUGUUCCCAAGGGAAGUUGGUAAUUAGACCAUCACAACUAAAGGUUGAUGAUGAAUCCCCAUCAUUUUUGCAAAGAAUUCAAAGGGAUAUUUGUGGACCUAUUCAACCACCUUGUGAACCAUUUCGAUAUUUUAUGGUUUUGGUUGAUGCAUCUACCCGAUGGUCACAUGUUUGCCUAUUGUCUACUCGAAAUGUAGCUUUUGCAAGACUUCUUGCUUAGAUAAUUAAGUUGCGAGCACAGUUCCCAGAUCAUCCCAUUAAGUCCAUUCGACUUGAUAACGCUGGUGAAUUUACGUCUCAAACCUUUGAUGAUUACUGUAUGGCAUUGGGCAUUGAUGUUGAACACCCUAUUCCUCAUGUCCAUACUCAAAAUGGUUUAGCAGAAGCAUUGAUCAAGCGGCUUCAAUUAAUAGUCCGCACUCUGCUUAUGAAAACCAAAUUGCCAGUUUCUGCAUGGGGACAUGCCAUUCUACAUGCUGCAUCAUUGGUUCGAUUGAGACCUAUAGCCAACCACCAAUACUCCUCAAUACAACUCAUGUUUGGACAUCAGCCAAACAUUUCACAUUUACGAGUUUUUGGUUGUGCUGUUUAUGUGCCUAUUGCACCCCCGCAACGCACUAAAAUGGGACCUCAGCGUAGACUGGGAAUUUAUGUGGGUUUUGAUUCACCAUCUAUUAUUAGAUAUUUGGAACCCUUGACAGGUGAUAUAUUUACAGCUCGUUUUGCUGAUUGUCAUUUUGAUGAGACAGUCUUCCCAUCGUUAGGGGGAGAAAAGACCGUUCCAGAAGAACGGAAAGAGCUGACAUGGGUUGUUCCCACCUUAUCUCAUUUUGAUCCUCGAACCCUUCAAUGUGAAAAUGAAGUGAAAAGGAUCGUUCAUCUUCAAAGCAUUGCCAAUCAAAUGCCAGAUGCAUUUAAUGACGUUAUGAAAGUGACAAAAUCGCAUAUACCAGCUGCAAAUGCACCUGCCAGAAUUGAUGUCCCUGUUGGACAAAAUAAAGUGGCAGCGAAUGAUUCAUCUGGUGCACGCCUGAAGCGUGGUAGACCACCAGGUUCAAAAGAUUCAGCCCCUCGGAAGAGAAAGACGAGAGCACAACUGAAUCCAAAUGAAAUCAUUCAGGAAGAGAGAGUAAAUGACAAAUCCACAAUUCAUGACUCUGGACUUCCAGAAGAAGAAAAUGGCCCUGAAGAGACAGAAGUACAUGAAAGCAAAGAAAUCUCCAUAAACUAUGCAUGUACUAAUGAAUUGUGGGAUCGGAAUGAAAUAAUCAUUGACGAUAUGUUUGCAUUCGCAGUAGCCACUGAAAUCAUAUUAAGUGAUGAUAUUGAGCCCCGCUCUGUUGAUGAAUGCAAACAGAGACAAGAUUGGCCUAAGUGGAAAGAUGCAAUCCAGGCAGAAUUAAAUUCCUUGGAAAGGCGAAGUGUUUUUGGACCAGUAGUCCAAACCCCAACUGAUGUAAACCCCGUAGGUUACAAAUGGGUAUUUACAAGGAAACGCAAUGAGAAAAACGAGAUUGCUAGAUACAAAGCACGACUCGUUGCACAAGGCUUUUCACAAAGACCUGGAAUUGAUUAUGAGGAGACAUACUCUCCUGUAAUGGACACAAUUACGUUCUGUUACUUAAUAAGUUUGGUGAUUUCAGAAAAACUUGACAUGCGACUUAUGGAUGUCAUCACCGCGUAUCUAUAUGGAGAAUUAGAUACUGACAUAUUCAUGAAAGUCCCAGAAGGACUUAAGUUGCCUGAAGCAACAAACAAACCAUGGGGUAUGUUCUCAAUCAAAUUAAGGCGAUCACUAUAUGGGCUGAAACAAUCUGGGCGAAUGUGGUAUAAUCGUCUCAGUGAGUAUUUGAUUAAAGAAGGAUAUAUCAACAAUGUCAUCUGCCCUUGUGUGUUCAUUAAGAAAUCCAACUCUGGAUUUGCUAUAGUGGCAGUAUAUGUUGAUGAUAUGAACUUAGUUGGGACUCCUGAAGAGCUCCAUAAAACUGCUGAAUAUCUGAAAAGCGAAUUUGAAAUGAAAGACCUUGGGAAAACCAAAUAUUGUCUAGGCCUGCAGAUCGAGCAUUGUGUUAGUGGAAUUUUGGUCCAUCAAUCAGCUUACAUUGAAAAAAUACUGAAGCGAUUUGGCAUGGACAAGGCUUAUCCACUUAGCACCCCAAUGGUCGUUCGUUCUUUAGACAUUAAGAAAGAUCCAUUCCGUCCAAAGGAAGAUGAUGAACUGGUCCUUGGUCCAGAAGUACCAUAUUUGAGCGUAAUAGGUGCUUUAUUGUAUUUAGCACAAUGUACUAGACCAGAUAUAGCUUUUUCAGUUAACUUGUUAGCCAGGUACAGCUCUGCUCCAACAAUUCGUCAUUGGAAGGGAGUCAAAGAUGUUCUACGAUACCUUCGUGGGACAACAGAUAUGGGUCUCUUCUAAUCAGACAAGCCCACAAAUGAACAAAUCCUUGUUGGAUACGCAGAUGCUGGUUUUCUCUCCGAUCCGCAUAAAGCCCGCUCACAAAAUGGAUAUGUGUUCACUAAUGGAGAUACUGCAAUUUCAUGGCGAUCAACGAAGCAAACGCUAGUUGCAACAUUUUCCAAUCAUUCGGAAAUAAUUGCUCUACAUAAAGCAAGUCGUGAAUGUUCUUGGUUAAGAUCAAUGAUCCAUCACAUCUGGAAUUCAUGUGGUCUACCUUCAAAGACAGACACUCCAACUGUCAUCCAUGAAGAUAAUGCAGCCUGUGUCGCCCAGAUGAAGGAAGGAUUUAUCAAAGGUGAUAAGACUAAACACAUAUCUCCAAGAUUUUUCCGCGCACAUGAGCUUCAGAAGGCUAAAGUUAUUGAAGUCAGACAAAUCCGUUCCAAUGAAAAUUUAGCAGACUUGUUCACCAAAUCUCUACCAAAGUGCACAUUUCAGAAGUUGGUACAGGGAAUCGGAUUACGUCGGCUUACGGAUUUGAAGAAUGCGGAAUCAGGGGGAGAUACAAUUCAGGGGGAGCAUCCAUGAUACAUGCAUGUUGUACUCUUUUUCCUUCGCUUAGGACUUUUCCCACUGGGUUUUUCCUAUCAAGGUUUUAACGAGGCAACCUAAGCAUGCUCAACACCAUCCGGGUAAAGUUGUACUCUUUUUCCUUCGCUAUGGUUUUUUCCCACAGGGUUUUUCCAAGCAAGGUUUUAAUGAGGCAACUGAUGUUGAUAUGUGGGCAUCCAAGGGGGAGUGUUGUAAAUAAUGGGUAUGUUUGCCCACAUGUGUGUACUAUAUACUCACAAGCUAAAUAGUAAUGUUUUGUAAUUUUCCAUUGAAGUGGCUCUAUAAAUAGAGCACUUCAUUUGUGCAAAAGAGGGAUAUAAGAAGAAGAAAUAAAAGAGAAAUAUAUCUAAUAGCAAUAAUAUACAUUACUUCCUCAGCAACAGCUUGUGUUGGUAUAAUACUCUGCAACUGCUUCGUUCCUGUCCCGAGUAAAGGUUAUCUCUCUAUAAAUUUUGCCUAUUUAUAACUAUGCUUUGUUUAUUGGAUAUUUAUAAUAUUAUACAAUUCCAAUUACUUUAGUCUAAAGUAGGAAAUCCAAUUGCAUUGUUCAACUUCAACUGAACAGUGUUUUGGACCGAAUUUCACUUUAUUUACAAAAUUUCCACCACCCCUAUCUGUCGUUCAAAUUUUGCUUAUAUCUUUGUGCAGUGUGUCUGUUGUAUUAUCUGGUCACAGAUACCUUAGUUCAGUAAUUUGAGAAGCAUGGGGAGACAAUAGACUAAUCAAAGAGAUGCAUGUGAUCAACGAUAAACAAGUAAGCAUCAUCCUCUUCCUUCUUUUGUUAUGAUUCGUUGUAUAGAGAAUUGAGAAAAAAGUUGAAGACAAUUCCGCGCUUUUGAGUUAUAGCAAUUAAUAUCUAAAAUGACAUUGAUUAGUUCACUUAAGUGUUGAAUCCUUCGUUAGUUUAUCUAUGGUGUGUGCUUGAGAAUGAAAGCAAUGGACAUUAUAUAGAAUUGAUGUUCCUUUUAAUGUCAGUAAAGAAAGGAGUUGUUCCUUUAUUAGCAAUUAUAUGAAGUAGGCAUAUUAUACAAUGUCUACAAUCGACUAUUUUACUUUUUGUAUAUAAGUAAAAAUGUUGAUCGAAAGCCACAAAAACUACCUAAGGGCCGAAGAACUGUUUAUGUUAGAAGAACAGAAUAUGGUGUAAAGCUUAAAUUUUGGGCACUUCAAAAUAUGUUUUUUUUUUCAAUUAUAAUAACUUGCAUGAAAAUUCAAUUGGGUUUGUUCUAGUCUCCAAGAAUUUUGCUUUGUUUGGUUACUAAUUAAUUUAUGUGGUGGGAGUUUAGUUUUUCCUUUUCUGCCUAUGUAUAUAUAAUUCGAAAUGGACCGUUCAAUUUGCUAUAUAUAAAUUUGUAAUCGAAAAGCUCGAAAAAGAGGUGAAUAAAAAACAAUGGUGGUAGAGUGAUGGAGUUGAGGAGUUGAGAGUUUACAGGGUUUACUUGAAUUUUUGUAUGAUGUCCCUGGUAUGUUAGAUCAUUGAAACUAACUGUCUGGUUGAUUAAUCACUAAUUUGAAAUAUUUAAAGUGUAACUUUUCUUUAAUUCACUUUUCUUUUGUAUUUUCAUUGGAGUGCAGAUAAAAGAUAUUUCUUUUAUCUUUUUCAACCACAAACUUUCCGAUGUCUUUUGAGAGUGGUCCAACUAGAGUAUUGGAUGACAAGUUUAGGUUUAAUAUAUACUUGAGUUCCCACAAGGAAGAUGGUAUUUUAGAAGUUAACAAAUUGGACCCUAACGAUAGACUUCUUAGAGAUACGUCCUCCCAGUUUGUAGCCUUUGUAUUGAAGUUGGAAUUGCUUCGCUCAACUGAUUAUUUCCCAGGCUUAAAUCUAUCAAGUUGUUGAAGUUACCAAUAUCAACGAGAAUGUUACCGUUGAUGUUGGAAAUGCUUAAAUCAAUAGUUAGGAGUGACGUAAAGAUAUGCUAACAGUUUGGGUCUUUUACGACUUGAAAUAUACGGCGUACAGACCGGCAUGCCUUAAAUGAUAUUAUUCAUGACAUUCAUAAAGUUCAUAUCGUAAUACUUACGCAUAAUCUCGUAUUCACAACAUCACUUUUAUGCAAGUAGUUAAAUAAAAAUAUUUAUGACUUAAGCGUUGUCUAUCGUAUCUCACAAUCCCAUAGUAUUCAAUCUACAACUUUCAUUUACCUCACAUAUCUCAGGUUUUGUCUAUCUCUCUCUGCCUCUCUCACGCAGUCUCUCUCUCGACUUUCACUCUCUCAGAUUCGUAUCUCCCAAUCCCAGCGGCCUCGAUAUCUCUCUCGUCUCCAACCACGAUACCACCAUCAUCUCCUGUCAACUCUCGACUCUCUCCCACCACCUGCACUUGACGGUCCUGACUCCUGACCACCAUCUAUGUUCCAAAUAAGGUAUGCAGUUAGGGAUUUAAGAUUGAAAUAAAUUGGGGUUUUCUAGAUUUAGGGAUUUGGAUUUGGUCAAUUCUGGAAUCAAAUGUUAAUUAUAAUUUGUUUAAUUUUGGCAAUUUGAGUGCAAAAUUAGGGUUUUGUUAUUUCAAGUGUUGACAGUAAGACCCUUUGUCAAUUAGUAACCACUUAGUGCUUGUUUUCGAUCUGUCAUUGAAUACGAAAUCACGACUUUUAAUUUUUCAUUUUACAAGUCAUCAUAAGGAAUAGAUAAUUCUAGAAUUAUAGUGCAAACUCUUGAUUUUCAGUUUCAGACUUGGUUUUGUUUCAGAAUUCUGAGGAAUUUUAAUCAUGGUGUUGGGGAUUUGUUAAUUUUGCUCUCUCGCUCUCUCUCGCUCUCUCUCUCUCUCUCUCUCUAUGAUUUGGUUGGGAUUGCAGAGUGACUUGGGUUUCUUUGUAUGCAUGUCCCGGACCUCCAGGUCACAUGGGGUACUUAGCAAGGUUUUACUUUUGCAAAGGAGAUGGAGAUGUUACAGACUUACAGUGAUACUGCAAUCCAAAUAAUCUGUUUUGAAAAUCCAAAUAAUCUGUGAGUAUGUUGUAGCAGUAGAAUAACACUGUGGGGCUUAGCCUAGUACUUAAAUUAUUGACUUUGUUGCUUAGGAUAAUUUGAUUGAGUUCCUUUGGUAUGAUUUAUAUUCACUUAUUUAUUCUAUUUAUUUUUACUAUUUUUCAGGUAGCAUUCAAGUCUUUGGUGAAAUUUUAAACGAAGAGGUUGCAAAUGCAGCGGUAAUGAGUGGAAAAGUUUAUACUUACUUUUAUUAGUAUUGAAGUCUUUAUCAAUUUCUAAGUUAACAUUUUGUUUUGACUAGCUCGUAACUUACCAAUCGAAUCCAUCCCCUUUGACUAGCUAGAGUAUCUUGGUUGGGAACUCUAUCUGUUCCCAGCGCCUAGUAUCCAAAGAUGAAGUUGAGACGGGUUGGGAACUCUCUCUUUCUCUCCUUUUGUUUUAGUUCCCAAGAAAGUUGAUUGGAUUGAAGAAAAUGGAACAAAAAGAAAUGAAAAAAAAAUUGAAAUUUGUUGGUGCUUAUGUUGAUGUUGAAUUUGUAAUAUAUUAAGACCCAAAAACUAGAUAAAUGGCUAACUUUGAUGUAAAUUGAUAACAGCAAGCCACUAGGUCAAAAAACAGUGAGUCUUACCUUAGAGCUUUUGGGGAUAUCAUAAUUGAUAACCAUAUCCACCGAUCGAAUAUCCAAUCUUGUACUUGCCGCAUCAAUUCUUCAUGCAUGAAAUGUUAAGAGACUCAUAAAUUUAUCUACUUGCAAGUAUAUGAUUUUUAUGCAGGUUAUAGGAAACAAUAAAAUCGUAAAGGCAUAAUUUGUGUAUAUUUUAGUCAUUUGAUACAUGUAUGAGUGUAAAACAAUAAAACUGUGAAGGCAUAAUUUGGGAUAUAGGUUUGUAUGAUAGUGAUUAGUUUUUCUUUCAGUAUCACUUUUCUUACUUGAGAUUAAAUGUGUAUUUCUACAUAUAGCAGCACAAUAGAUUUUUUUUUGCUCCAUGUGCUUAUGUCUAUGCAGAUAGAGAUAGCAAUUAGUGUGGUUCAAGCAUUAGGAGCAGUAUUUCAUUCUCAAAGGACUUUGUUUGAAGGUGUUCAAUGAAAAGUGAAGUCUUUCAAGUGACAAAUUUCUUUGUUAUUAGAGGCCUAUUUGGUAUUUCAUGUGUAGUUUGAUAUUGACCUUAGCUUUGUUCAACUUGUAAUACAUUUUGACAAUAUGAUUAUUUAUGAUUAUGGUAAAUGUGUAAUUUUGUCAAUUCUUAUAUAUAUAUAUAUAUUAAUUGUUGAUGUUAGUCUCCAUUUAUGAUGUACGACGUAUGCCGUAAUUGCUUUCACAGUAUUACGACACUAAACAAACGUUGUAUCAAAUAUAAAUUACGGCACACAGGUAUGCCGUAAUUGUUUUUGCAGUAUUACGACACUUCAUUAACACCGUAUCUAAUACCAAUUAAGGCGCGCAAGGCAUGCCUUAAAGAGUAUUUACAACGUGUUUUGCUUAAAUUAUUCACGGCUACUAUAGAACGUCGUAUUUGACAAAACAUCUUUUAUGACAUGGGUUUUUACUGCUUGGGGGCUCACGCUGUGAAUAAUCGUUUACGGCGCUCUUUGUGCACCACAAAAGACUAGUUAUGUUGUAGUGAUAUUAUGUAACAAAUGCUCAAUUUUCUUUUGCACUCUUUUAUGAAUUUCAUUUGGAUGGGAAUGGUUACGUGACAUUACUUGUUACACCAGAAAAUGUCUGGUUUUGGUAUAAAGACUUAACUGCAAAAAGGCAUCUGAAAGGUUUCGUUUAGCUACUAAGAAAGUUUGGGAGGGGUCAAACGUCUUAGGUUGAGAUUACAUAUACAAGGGUGUUAGAUUUACAUAAUGGGUUUACAUAAUGAGUUGUUGAUGACUACAUACACAUUGAGAAUUUAGCUUAUGUCUUUGUGUCCGAUGAGGGAGUGGUUUUUUUUUUUUUUUUUUUUUUUUUUUUUUUUUUUCGGGUGUCAUUCCAUUUUAAUCUUAGUUCCAUUCAAAUGAAGAUAUUUAAAGAACCUAACGUAAAACAUCUGUACAAGCAAAACACAUCUUAGCAACGCCAAUAAAAUUAUCUACGAGAGUUGAUCCAAUCCAGGCAAGCCGCACGGUGGGUUAUUGAGGACAAAGCUGCCGAGAUCCAUAUUAAAACUCCAAUUUGGCAACUGAUGAGCAACACAAUUCCGCUCCCUAGAUACAUGCUUCAUGCUUCAGCUCAGCUCACAUCUAACCAAUUGACUCAUCAAUGUUUUGCAUAUGCUCACAAUUGUAUCAAGAGGAUAAUAACUAUCAACCAAAUUUUGUUAGAACAAAGUGACAGCAAACACCUCUGUCAAUAAAAUCUCCUUAUCCCAAAUGGACGCAGAUUGUCUGCCCUCCUAGUUGUGGUGCCGUUCCAUGCCCUCCUAUUUUGUGCGGUUACGGUUAAACCACAUCAACAUUUUAUAUUAAUUUUUUAAUGAGAUAAUAAGACAAAAAAUAAUAAAAAUAUAAAAUAUUGACGUGGCUUAACCGUGGCUGCACAAAAUAGGAGGGCAUGGAAGGGCACCACAACUAGGAGGGCAGACAAUCCUUGUCCAUCCCAAAUUGGCUGAGAACUCUACCCACACCAAUAUUGAACCAUCAACGUCAAGCUUUCACCCAGUUCUCGACUUUUUGCGUGUUUACUACAAGUAUGGAAUCUGAAGGGCUAGUUGAUUCGUAGCUCAAUACUUGAAAAUUAGGAGUCAAAUCAAAAUGUUUAUUUUUUAUUGGUAACACAUUUGCAAAUUUGGUUUAAAAAUUAAGUUACCUGAUAUUAUCCUAAUAUAAAUAUCUUUUGACAAAUAAAAAAUGCAUACAAAGAUAAAUUUGAGUGGUGAUAUCCACACACUCAUUUUUACCUUUCACACACCUUUAUUAUUUCCCGGGCUGUUGAACAAUUGAAACAAUCAAAUAAUAUAAAUUAAUAAGUGAUGUGUGAAAAAUAGAAAUAAGCGUGUGAAGAGCCACAAAACUAAACAGAUACCCAAAAAUACCACAACACACAAAGUCAGUCGUUACAUUUCAGUUGCAAAUGAAAAUUAUGAACACUGGGAUUUGCUCUCUCUAUCGCUGAGAGAUUCUCUGUUAUUGAUGGCAAUGGCGGACAAUGGCAGUCGUCUGCAAAUGCAUAACAUCGAGGAGGAGCUUCUUCUGCUUCAGAGCAGUCAGUUUCGACGACAAGCCCGACCGCCGAAACCUCCUCCGAAACGUUUUGACCCUUCCCGUCUUUAAAAAAGGCCUCUUCACUUGCUGCAGCCCAUCCCUUGCCGGAAGCAGUAUUCUCAGGUUUAUCUCACACAAUUACGGGUUUUUCCCGUUUUCUUUUGAGUUGCACGGUCUGUUUGGUUCCCCAGAAAACGCAGGAAAUUUUUGAAAGUUUUUGAGCUUCUGUAGGGUUUACUAAAGUGAAUACUUGACUAGGUUCAGUUGGGUUGCUGAUAAAUUCAAACAACGAAAUUUAGACGCGAAUGCUUUUAAUUGAUUUGAAGAGAAGUUUCUGAGCUAGUUUAUUGCUUUUGAAUGUUCAAAUUGGAUCCUAUAAAUGUGUCUGUGUGAUAAUUAGAUGAUUUGUUGCUUGCAGUAUGGAAGCACGAGAGAAUUCCAUAUAUGUGAUGAUGCCAGUUGAUGCCUUUUGCAUUGAUGGUACAGGGCGUCCAAGGAUUAGGAAGUAAGGUCAUCUCCAACCGAAGGGUCCAGAGGGCCAGAGGGCCGAAAAUAGCCCUAAAACCGUCUCCAACCGAGGGCUAGGCCAGAGGGCUCUGGAAUCUGGGAGGGCCCCACGGGAUCGGAGAGGGCUGGAGGGCUGGCUGCUUUCGGCCAGCCAGCCAGCCCCGGGCUGGCUUAUUUUUUUUUUAAUAGUUCUACUAUUAGUGUCGGUUAUAACCGACACUAAUAGUUUGAAUGUUUUUUAAUACAACGGCUAGUAGCCGUUGUAUUAUUAGGCCUUUUUUUUUUUUUUUUUUUUUUUAACUUUUUAUUUUCCCUUUUUUUUUCCUUUUCAUAUUAAUCAAAUUUUGUUUCAUAUUUUUUUUCAAUUCUAUUUUACAAAAUUUGUUUCAAUUUUUUUUUAAAUUCUAUUUUUUUCCUAUAACUUCUAUUUUACAAAAUUUGAUUCAUAUUUUAUUUCCUAUAACUUCUAUUUUACAAAAUUUGAUUCAAAAUUUGUUGACGUCACCUAGCCGUUAGAUUUGAAUUUAAAUUGUAGUUUUUAAAUAAUAAAUUAUGUUUGGCCCUAUGGCCCUUUGGCCCUCGGUUGGAGACGGUUUUUUGUGACAGGGCUAAAACGAGCCCUCUGGCCCUCUGGCCCUCGGUUGGAGACGGAGGCAAAUAUGGCCAUGUACUGUUUAUUAAAAUAUUAAUAUCUUGGAGAAUCUUGGAGGGCCAGAGGGCUAAAACGAGCCCUCUGGCCAGUCAUCGGUUGGAGAUGGCCUAAGUUUUAUUAUGACUUUAUGUUGAUGAGGCUAUGAUGCAUUUUCAUUCUUAAUUUAAUUGUUGUACUCUUUUAAACGACAGAAUAUGAUUAGCUACAAGGUUGCAGCUAACUAUUUUGAUCUGUUCCCAAUUCAAGUUAUGUACGCGUACAUUUCAAAAUGGUUCUAAAUAAAAUUUAUUUUUAAUUUAGUUUCCUUUCAAGUGAGACAGAAUCUCCUUAUAUAUUGCACGAUUUAUUGUUGUUUCAGAAUCAAGGCCUUAACUGUAGCUCUGAAAGCACUCAAGUUGGCUGGUGUCCACGGAAUUGCAGUUGAGGUUUGGUGGCCUCUUGCAUAUGAUUGGUCUCUAUAUGAAGGGCUUUUCAAACUGAUUUCUGACUCAGGUUUGAAGUUGCAUGUUGCCUUGUCUUUUCACUCAAACGUUAACUCUUCUUCUAGCAGAAAAGGGGGUGUAACUCUUCCGCUUUGGAUCAUAGAGGUUUGUUUUCUCGGCAAUUUUGAAAUCCCAUUUGACUGUUUGGCCUUUUAUUGGUAAAAGUGCACAUGGCUGUACUGGAAUGAUUAAUUUACCCAGUCAUACUCUUUUGUGACAACAUAAGAAACAUAACCCAUUUGGAUGACUAGAGAUAGUAUCAACUUUUCUUCAGUUUCCUGCUCUGCAACAUGCUAUGGUCCUGUGUUCCCCAUUAGCAUACUUGAUUUUAGCUUUGAUGUGCAUAAAAAGUUUAUCUUUGCAAAGGGAUGUAACAGAAAAAUGAUAGUUUGGCCUUCAUUACAUGCCCAUCAGUUUGAAUCCUGAAUUUAGAUAAAGAAGUUGACCUCUUCUGUUUUUUUUUUCCUCCCAGAUUGGUGAUCAGAAUAAGCAUAUAUAUUAUCGGGACCAAAAUGGAUUUUCCAAUGAUGAUUAUCUUACACUUGGAGUUGACCAUGUUCCUCUCUUUUGCGGCCGGACUGCUCUCCAAUGUUAUGAAGAUUUCUUGUCAGGUUUUGCUAAGAAAUUUGAAUCCUUAAUUGGAACUGUGAUAGAAGAAAUUGGUGUUGGUCUUGGAUGUUACUGUUACACUAGAACCACAAGUAUGAAGCCAGUCCAAUGAUUUCUUAUGCAACAUUGUUACAUUGCUCACACUGAUAUCCUGCACAUCCUUUUGGUGAUGGUAGAUGGAAGUUUCCUGGAAUCGGUGAAUUCUAAUGCUAUGACAAGCGCAUGUAUGCUAAAAAUCUUUCAUUCCUGUGACAGAAAUUUGGUUGCUAUUGAACUUUUCCUAUUUACAACGUUGUUCCUUUUAGGAUGGGCGACCUAAAGAUGGCUGUAGGCAAGGAAGGAAAGCCUCAGUGGGGAGGGAAGGGACCACAAAAUGCUGGCUGUUACAACAGUCUCCCAUCUGAAGUUCCAUUCUUUGAAGAGGGAGAGGAAAGCAUUCUUUCUGAUUAUGGGUGUUUUUUCCUUGUAUGAAACUGAUGGAAGCAUCUUGCUUUAUUAUUUCCCAUGAAAAAUUUCUGCAUAACUGAAGCCUAGUGUAAAUUGCAUGAAAUCAUUGUUUGUAUUUCAUCCUCGAACUACCACAUUGUUUCUUUAGCCAGGAAACACUUCUGUGUACGUGCCUGUAAACAACAUGGGCCUGCAAUAUAUAUUUUCAAUCUUUAGUGGAACUUUUCUUAUAACUAACUCUAUUUGCUUCUAGGGGUUAUACUUGCAGACUGUUUGCUACUGGAGUCUUAAAUACUCUUACGCAACAUGAUUAAAAGUAGAUGCAAUUUGAUUAAGAAUGAAAUGCAUUGAUGCUUGUCUUCUGGAAAGAAAAAAAAAUCAUCAUAGGAUGUACUGGUUAGUAAACUAAGGACAAUUAUGGAUGUAUAAGUGGAAAUUUAAAUCAUGUAUGGUUCUUUAUCAUGCAAUACUUGGCAUAACAUAAUUAAACUUAUUGGAAAACAAUGUGGAGCUUAGGAGAUCUGACAGUGGCUUGACUUGUUGUAGGAAUGGUACAGUGGUCGGUUGCUCCAUCAUGCAGAUGAUAUUCUUGCAAAGGCAGCUAACAUUCUGAAGAAAUAUCAAGAAUAGAAGCAAACUUCUAUUCUAUUGGCAGCUAAAAUUGGUGGUACCAGAUGAGAGCACAGCCUGCUGAAUUGACAGCUUGAAACUACAGCAGUGCUCUUAAAGAUGGUUAUGAUCAUGUUGCUUCAAUUUUGUCUCGUCAUGGAGCUGCUUUGCAUGUUUCGUAAGAUUCCAAGUUUUAAGGUUCUGACUAGAAUUUUGUUCAUUGUCUAACCUGAUAAUUAGGGUUGCUUACACAUUCGCUUGAUUUCAAAUGUAUCUAUCUACCAUGUUCACGUACUAAAUAUUUUAUUGCAGCAGCUUAGAAAUGAUGGAUGGUGAUAACCCGGCAUCCUAUCUUUGCAGUCCAGAAGGAUUACUCCAACAGGUACGGGGCCUGUUAAUUAAUAACACUUCCUUAGCUUGUGCUUUGUUGGUACUUUUUUUAACUUACUUUAGAAAUUUUAUCUGUAUAAUUCAAGCUUUUAAGUUAGGUAGGACUAACCCAUGUAGCUGUGCUUGUCACAGCAGGUCGUGCAGGGUCUCUAGGUUCAACAUGGGCUUGGAACGGGCCAAUAUGAGCUUUUUCAGUAUUACAGAUAUUAGGUAUUGUUGAUAUGUUUUUUAGGCUUCUUUUAGUGUCUUAUAAUUCAUUCUGAAGUAAAUCUUUAGUUUUAAUUGGGUUGUCUUGCCCAGAUAAUAAAGAAGAAACAUAUGACAAGUUGAUCAAUAACCAUUUUUCUGUUUUAUUGAAGUUUGGAAUAUAAUUGAUAAUUUGAUAUUACUAAACAACAAAAAUAGAAUUGCAUCACUAUACCGUAUAUUAGUGUCGUACUACUUUAGAUUGGCAUGGUCUGUCCAUUUACACUGGUGGGUGGUGGUAGUGCCUAGUGGUGGCUUCUGUUGUCUAGAAUUCUAUCGGUCAUUUGGUUUCUUCGAUAAAAUGUCUGACCUUAUGCUUUGUUUAUUGGGUAUAUAUCAUAUUAUACAAUUCCAAUGUAGUCUAACAUGAUUCGAUUUGCACCAGAUAUGGAGUGUUUCAAAGAAAUGGGCACAUUUGAUCGGGAGAAAUACCAAUGAAGGAUUUGACAGGGUCAGUUCUUCCUUUGCUCAAGAACAAAAGCAAAUUUCAGCUACCAUUUAUUUCUAUUAGACAUAUAUUGGAGACUUGGGAGCAGCCUCUCCAUAAAUGGAGAUAAGGUUAGCCGACAUUCACCUCUCCCAGACCCUGCGUAAAGCGGGAGCCUUGUGCACUGGGUACGACCUUAGACAUAUAUUGGAUAUUGCAAAUGUCUUAUAACUAGAAACACAUGGCUUCUGAUAGCGUUAGUUAAACACUUCUUCUUUUGCCCAUUCUGUGUUGCGCGUUCACGCGUCUGCUUUUCUCUUGCACGUUGGUUUAUGGCAAAUACAUACUAACUAUUACCAUUCCCAGGCCGAAGCUGUAAGAUCAUUUACAUAUUUCAGAAUGAAUGAUAAGAUCUUUAGGGCUGAAAAUUGGAGUAAUUUCCUUCCUUUUGUUAAAAAGAUGAGCACAAAUUGGUGAAGCAACCAAAAAACCCAACUUAAAUACUAAAUUUAUUGAUCUAGAGUAGCAGCCUCACUACCCUAUAAUUUUUUGUCAAGGGCAUGUGUAGAAGUUAAGAAGUUUGUCACUUCCUGAUAUAUUGACUGAAAUAACUUUGUGUUUCCAUGGCAGGCGUUCUUGACCUGGAAGUGUAAAUUUUUGAAACGGAUUUGGUUGGCCGUAGAAACUAAAUGCUUUACUAUCAAAAUACGAGAAGAAUAAUUGGAAUUGCAAUCUUGGUACUACUGGUCACAUUGCCUAGUCAAAUACAGGUACAACAUUUCAAUUUAAGGAAUAUACACAUACUGUCAUAUCCGUCACUAUACGAAAAUAAUGUAGUCUUUGCAGAUCGAAAACAACAAUAAGAAAAUGGAUCCGAAAAUAUAGAGAACAAAAAGAACUAAGAGUUCACUCCUUCACAGUCCUUCAAAUACUUAGUCUUGAUUUUGGUGAGUGUGAUUGCAGCAUCUUCUUCACAGUCCUUCAAAAACUUAGUCUUGAUUUUGGUGAGUGUGAUUGCAGCAUCUUUCAUGUUAAUCCUCUCUCCCGGCAAUGCUGCAGUACAAGCUAAAGCUAAUCUCAUAACGGAUGAUAAGCAAUCCCUCUUGCUCACAAAAUCACCAUCUUCCUCCGCCCCAAGUAUAUCGGCAUCCACAACUUCACCUAUUGCAGCAUCUGGAAAUAAUGAAUCUGCAAUCCAUUGCUUUAAAUUCAUUUCCCCAACAAACAUCUCAUCCGUUGGCUUCCUUUUUGUGAAUGUCUCCAUGAGUACAAUACCAAAACUAUACACAUCCCCUCUUGUCGAAACGCUUCCUUCCAUCCCAAACUCUGCAAAAUUUGUAUGUGAAUUUAGUUAUAUAUGAUAAAAAGAAAAUUAUAACUCCUAAUAAGACCAACAUAUACAAAAUUGAGAAAAUACAUCACCUGGAGCCAUAUAUCCAACUGUGGCUAGGGUCAUGGUUUCUGUCAUCGAAUGUCCACCGCCGAUGAGUCUUGCAAUGCCAAAAUCAGCAACAUGUGCAACCAUAUCAUCAUCUAGUAGUAUAUUGCUUGGUUUCACAUCACAAUGAACAAUAGGUACCGAGUAACCAUGAUGAAGAUAUUCCAGUGCCAAUGCAACAUCUUUCAUUACGUCCAGCCUCUGCAGGAUAUUCAUGGAGCUGUUUGGAGAAUACAACCAGUUUUCGAGGCUUCCAUUAGGCAUCAAUUGAAGUAUCAGGGCUUUGAAAUCAAGUUCAUCGCAGCAACUUAUGAUUUUAAUAAGAUUCCGGUGACGGAUAUUGCUUAGCAUUUCACAUUCCCUAUCAAAACUUUUGAAUGCCCCUUCUACCUGUAAAUUGAAAACCUUGACGGCAAUGUCUAUCCCGUAUGAAAGUGUUCCUCUGUAUACUGAGCCAAAACCCCCCGUGCCUAGUAAGUUACUCUCGUGAAAUCCAUUUGUCGCAUUUACAAGUUCUAGGCGCGAAACUCUUCUCCAAAGAACUUGAUGUAGCGAGGCAGUUUCUCUUACAACUUCGACAUUCCUUUUGUUGCAUAGUAUCAGAAUCAAUGCAGCGGCCGCUAGGAGUAUUACUGGUAUGACCCCUGAGAUGAUAUAUUUAGCUUUCCUCCAAUUUGGCUUAACUUUUGUUCUAUUUUUGCACAGGGGAACAUGGAGUCGGGAAGCACCGCAGAGCGCACCGUUGGAUACAAAUGAAUCGGCAGAGAAGUUUCCGAAAGGCCCGCCGGUUGGAAUUUCUCCUUGGAGUUUGUUGAAAGACAAAUUCAGAUGCUUGAGAUACAAGAGUGCUUCCAAUGACUUUGGGAUCUCUCCAGAUAGAUUAUUUUGGGACAAAUCCAAGAAUUCUAGGCUUAGCAAGGUUUUAAAUGAACUGGGAAUAGGGCCUUGUAAAUAAUUGUUUGCCAAGGACAAAUUAAUCAUAUUUUGAAGACCACCAAUGCUACCGGGAAUGUUUCCGGAGAAGUGGUUAUUUGAUAAAUCUAUAUCCACCACUUCUUUCAACUUUCCGAUGUCUUCUGAGAGUGGUCCAACUAGAGAAUUGGAUGACAAGUUUAGGUGCAAUACAUACUUGAGUUCCCACAAGGAAGAUGGUAUUUUUGAAGUUAACAAAUUGGACUCUAACGAUAGAUUUCUUAGAGCUACUGCCAAACCACCCAAGCAGGAAGGAAUAGAACCAGAGAGCCGAUUAUGACCCAAACCUAACUCGGCUAGGUUGGUUAGUUGACAGAGUUCAUACGGGAUAUGUCCUUGCAGUUUGUUAUCAUACAGAAACAAACCUUGGAGAUUUUUUAGCCUCUGUAUUGAUGUUGGAAUUGCUCCACUCAACUGAUUGAUUUCCAGAUGUAGUUCUAUCAAGCUGCUCAAGUUGGCAAUAUCAACGGGAAUGUUACCCCUGAUGUUGGAAAUGCUUAAAUCAAAAUAUGUGAGUGGCGUAGAGAGAUUCCCACGAAAAGCUGGAAUCGUGGUGUUUAAUGGAUUACCUCCCAAGUCUAAUUUUGUCAAAUUUCUAAGAUUAAACAAGCAAGAGAGAGUAGAAGCAUCAAUCGUCAAAUGAUUCCAGAACAAGAAAAGAAGCUCGAGGUUUUUCAAGGAACAGAGCGUGCUAGGAAGAAACCCGGUAAAUGAGUUUGUGUCCAUGGCUAGGACCCUGAGCUUGGAAGCAUUGGAGAAGUUAGGGAGUGUCCCGGCCACGAGGUUAUUGGAGGAUACAGAAAAGAAUUCUAGGUUUGGAACAUUAAGACCUAUGUUUGCUGGGAGGCCACCUGAGAGCUGAUUUAAAGUAAGCGAUAUUACUCUAAUCAUGGAGUUAUUGAAGAGCUUGGAUGGGAUGACACCAUUGAGAUUAUUAGCACCCAAUCUCAAAACCUCUAACUGCGGAAGAUCACCAAUCUCAUCCGGUAUUGUACCUAUCACAAUGUCAGCACGUUUGCAUUAACUUUGUAACUUCGGUUUAUCUAAAAACUAAAAACGAAAUGAUUGUAAAACGCCCCCAAAUUUAUUACCUGUUAAAUUAUUGAAACGAAGAAAAAUCUCGGUUAAGUAGGUCAAAUUGCCAAGACUUUUGGGUAUGCUCCCACGGAAAUUGUUAGACUCUAAUGCAAUUACACGAAGCUCUUUGCAUUGCCACAGUUUGGAGGGAAUCAGACCGUCAAACUGGUUUUGAUUCAAAGAAAAUCGUUGAAUACUCGAAAGAUGCUCACACAUAUUGUCCGGAAGAAUACCACUCAUGUUGUUUCCGGAUAAAGCCAAAGUAGUCAAAGAAGAUAUGUUAAGGACAGGCACAAAAGCAGAGCCUUUAGGGCAUUGUCCUGCACAAACAACUCCUCCAACUGACCUAAACUGCCUAUCUCGUUCGGAAGUUCUAUAAAAUCAAUCCGUGUAUAUUGUUAAAAUCAUGUAUACAUAUAUAGGAGCAGCUUCUUAUUGGGAAUCCCGUUGUACCAUAGCAAAAGUGGGAUACAUUCUAAGGACCAUGUACUCACCAUAUAGGACCUCUUUUUUGCUCUAGAAUACGAGGGUCUUACACGGUCAAUAUACGAUCCUACAAUAGUCCUCUCAUCUCAUUUUUUGCCGAAGUUGAACAAGAUCCCAGCUAAGAAGGGGCUUGUGUUUAUGUGUGUGUGUGUGUGUUUGUAUAUAUAUGUAACAAAACCUCAGUCAUACAGUAUACCUUCGAACUUGUUGUCGUCAAGGUAUAUGCCCUUCACCAUUGUUAAGUUGCCUAUUUCUCUGGGUAUACUACCUGUUAAAUAUGUGCAUGCAUUCCAACAAAAAAGAAGGAAAAAAAAAAACAAACGAGAUGAUUGUUAUACAUCUUAUAUAUAGAGGUUAAAAUGAAACAAAGAUGUUAAAAUGUAAUGAUGAAGCAAGCAACAUUAAUUUAUAUUCCUAGGUAGUUGGUAAUGGUGGUAUGUACGUACCCGAUAGUUGGUUCCUCAUCAGGUAAAUGUUUUCGAGUGCAGAUAAGUUGAAGAUAGCAGCGGGUAUGAAACCAGAGAAGUCAUUAUCGUACAAUUUGAUGGUUUGAAGUUUAGCAAAGGACCCAAACCACAAAGGAAUGGUUCCCAUAAAGCUGUUGUUUCCAAAGUUAAUCGCCUUCAACCGGCGCAAACGAGACAGUUCUUGCGGUAGGGGACCAUGAAAACUAUUAUUCUGAAGGCCCAACUCAACGAGAAAUGAGAGGUUGCCAAGAUGCGGAGGAAUAACUCCGGCAAGACCCAUGUAAGGGAGAUUUAAGGCCGUGACUCUGUGGUGGCGAGCACCGCAGGUAACGCCAACCCAGUUGCAAAUGUUGGAAUUGGAGGCAGAGGACCAGUUGGCGGUCAAGAUGUUUUGAGGGUCACUAGUGAUGUGAGCCUUGAGAGCAAGAAGCGCAGAUUGAUCUGUGCUGAAAUUGGUAUGAGCUAUUGCUAAUGCUCCUGCAGUUAAGUAAUUAGCCACAAUCAUCAUAUAGAUAUAACACAAGCAUUGUAUCAUCGACAACAUCUUUGAUAGUAGGAAACGACUUCUCUCCUUAAUUGUAGUAGUUUUCGUCUUUCGGUAUAAAUUCGAUCGAAAACUAGAACUCAUUACAUUCACAUAAAUAGGGAAACAAGUUGGUGUUACCAAGACUUGUGAACGACUUUUGUACUGGUUUGAUACUGAGGUGCUUUUAUAAAAAAUGGGUAUAAAAAAAAAAGAUGAGCUCAAAAAGGUGUUUGGUAAACACUUAAAAACAGUUUAUUUUCACAGUUUUGGGUGAAAAAAAAUUAAAAGCGUGAAGCAGCAAAAAUAAGCUUAUUCUCACAGCACAACAUAAACAGUUUUUUUUUUCAAAGCACAGCAAUACCAAACCAGCCCUUAGACUUGCCCGGCUUCUAUGUCAAGGUGAGGAGACUUUAGAUUUUUUAACAUAUCAAACACACACCAUUCAUUUUUUGCUGAUGGCGUAGGUAGGUGAGGAGGAAUGGUGACUGCGAUGUAAGAGAGAUUCAAGGCCACGACUUGAAUGUGGCAUACCAACCCAGUUGCAACUUUCAAGUGAGCAAUCAAUGCUAAGGAUGUUUUGGUCUGUGGUGGUGAUAUUUGGUAAUUCGCUGAUAGGUUAGCUAGGUGAGGAGGUCUAGUCUAAGUCCGACUUUUUUGUCGAAGUGAGGACUUAGAAUAGUGGAACGAAGGCUUGUGAUUUGGUAAUUGGUGCUGCCAGCCGACGAGUUCUGUCCAUUUUGUGGGCAUAGCUGGAGAUGCCCAAAUGUGGAAUUUUAGUCUUCAGUUCACCAUCAAAACAAACAAUACCAUAAAUUUCAAGAUUGAUAUUUAAUGAUGACAUACAUUUUGAUUCAAAUGCAAAUGCAAAUGCGACCAAACACAUGACAGUUACAUUCUUCCGGAUGAAAUGUUUUCGACGACGUUUACAUAUAAUCAAGCUCUAGUUGAACACUCUUCGGAUUCGAAAAUCAUCUAAACUUGGCUAAUUAGUCAAGAAUUACGGUCUUAUGCUUCUAAAUUAUUAAUCACGAUCGCAUGUAUAAAUUCAUUGCAGCAAUAACGAAGAAGGGAAGUAACAACCAGAGAUUGAAAACUAGUUCAGAUACGUACAUUCACUAUCAUGCAGACUUGCCAUUGGAGACAGCUCUGAAUAUGCAAAGGUUUUUUAUAGGAAAAAUUAGUAUCCGGUCCCUAGUUCUUACUGUUCAUUGAUUAAGACCUUAUUAGUUCUCAAAUUUUGAUUCAAGUCCCUAGCAAUAAUGUGAUAAUGAAUUUACAUGUUUAUUAUAUAAUUUUUUAAUAUAAAAAUUAGUAAUUAAUUUAGGGUUUAAUACUCACACCUCUAUUAAACUUCUAAUUAAUUUUCAAUUCAAACAUUUCCAAAAUAAUAAAAAAUUAAAUUAAAUUAAGUUUGUACCUAUUACUUUAUAUAUAUAUAUAUAUAUAUAUAUAUAAAGAUUCUCAAUUUUUUAAUCUUAAAUGUACCCAUUCAUAUAAUUUUUCAAUUUUUUUAAUCUUAAAUGUACCCAUUCUCAAAUACAUCAAUUUGUUAUAUGUAAAAUGUACCCUUUUUUUUAAUAUAAAAUCCAUUCAAAUUUUUUAAUCCAUGUUUAAACUUAUAUGGGUACAUUCUUUUUCGUUGAUUUGAGAAUGUAUCCAUGUUUUGAUACAAUAACUUUUUUUGUUAAUUUUGGUUAAUGUACCCAUACAUAUAUGUACACACACAAUAUAAUAGAGGGUAUAAUUUAUAUUUUAUUAUUUUUAAUCCCAUAAAUUAUGGGUUUUAUUUAAAAUCUCAUUAAUAUAAACAAUUACAAAUUUCAAUUUUUAAUUUUUAAUUUAAAACAUAUAGUAACUUACAUUAUUAUAUUAAUGUCAGGACCUCAAUCAAAAACUAAAAACUAACAAGGUUUCAAUUAAAAAAUAUUGAUAGCUAGGGAACGCAUCCAAAGUGUCCAUUUUUUAUAUGACUUCAACAAGAGAGGACAUACCAUGCUUAGAGAUGAAGCAGGCCUGCACCUGCAAGCCACGGUGGUAAUCGAAUUCCAGUGAAAGGGAACAAAACUCCAGCCGCCACCGGCAUGCUGAGGAUAUUGUAGCCCAGGGCCCAGACAUAAUUCAAUCGAAUUUGAGACAUGGUCUUUCUAGAGAGAUCAAUGGCUGUAACUACAUCUUCCAAGUUGCUCUUCCUCAGAACUAUAAGCAGCUUCUAUAACUACGUCGGUGCCCGCACCAAUUGCCAUACCAACAUGUCCUGCAACCAUUGCCGGAGAGUCAUUAAUUCAAUCUCCCAUCAUUGCCACCACCAUUCCUUUCAUCUGCAUCCAAAUCCACUUUAACAAGUCAGAAAACACUAUGUAAGAUAGAUAACUCACAUAUCAAGUCAGAAACAAACUUAAUAUAGAAAAAUGAGUUUGAAGAUUGUUUGCAAGGUUUAGCAAGGUUUUAAAUGAAAUAGGAAUAGGGCCUUCUAAAUGAUUGUUUGCCAAGGAGAAAUCAAUCAUAUUCUGAAGACCCCCAAUGCCACCGGGAAUGCUUCCGGAGAAAUGGUUAUUUGAUAAAUCCAUAUCCACCACAUCCUUCAACUUUCCGAUGUCUUCUGAGAGUGGUCCAACCAGAGAAUUGGAUGACAAGUUUAGGUGCAAUAUAUACUUGAGUUCCCACAAGGAAGAUGGUAUUUUAGAAGUUAACAAAUUGGACCCUAACGGUAGAAAUCUUAGAGCUACUGCCGAAGUACCCAAGCAGGAAGGAAUAGAACCAGAGAGCCGAUUACCAUCCAAACGUAACUCGGCUAGGUUGUUUAGUUGACAGAGUUCAUACGGGAUAUGUCCUCCCAGUUCGUUAUCAUACAAAUACAAACCUUGGAGAUUUUUUAGCCUUUGUAUUGAAGUUGGAAUUGCUCCACUCAACUGAUUGUUUCCCAGGCUUAAUGAUAUCAAGCUGCUCAAGUUGCCAAUAUCAACUGGAAUGUUACCCCUGAUGUUCGAAUUUCUUAAAUUAACAUAUAGGAGUGACGUAGAGAGAUUCCCACGAGAAGCUGGAAUCAUGGUGUUUAGUGGAUUUCCUGCCAAGUAUAAUCUUGUCAAAUUUCUAAGAUUAAACAAGCAAGAGAGAGUGCUUGCUGCUUAUGGAGUAGAAGCAUGAAUUGUCAAAUUAUUCGAGUGCAGGUUUUUCAGGGAACAUAGCGUGGUAGGAAGAAUCCCGGUAAAUGAGUUUGUGUUCAUGUCUAGCUUCCAGAGCUUGGAAGCAUUGGAGAGGUUAGGGAGUAUUCCAGCCACGAGGUUACUUCUGGCUACAUAAAGGAUUUCUAGGUUUGGACCGUUAAGAGUCUUAACUUAAGACCGCUGUUUGCUGGGAGGCUACUUGAGAGCUGAUUGAAAGAACGCCCUAUUUCUCUUAUCAUGCAGAGAUUGAAGAGUUUGGAUGGGAUGACGCCACUGAGAUUAUUAAUAACAAGUCCCAAAAUCUCUAACUACGGAAGAUUACCAAUAUCAUCCGGUAUUGUAUCUGUUAUAAUUUCAGCACAUUUGCAUUAAAUUUUUAACUUCAAUUUAACUAAAAACUAAAAGCGAAAUGAUUAUCAAACAAUCCUAAAUUUACUACCUAUUAAAUUAUUGUCAUUAAGAUAAAUCUUGGUUAAGUAGGUCAAAUUGCCAAGACUUUUGGGUAUGCUUCCAAGGAAAUUGUUAGACCCUAAUAAGAUUUCACAAAGCUCUUUGCAUUGCCACAGUUUGGAGGGAAUAAGACCGUCAAACUGGUUUCGACCCAAAUUAAAUCGUCGAAUACUCAGAAGAUGCUCACAUAUAUUUUUCGGAAGACUGCCACUAAUAUUGUUUCCAUAUGGAGCCAAAGUAGUCAAAGAAGAUAUGUUGAGGACAGGCACAAUAGCAGAGCCUUUUAGGGCAUUGGACUGCGCAUACAACUCCUCCAGCUGAUCUAAACUACCCAUCUCGUUUGGAAAUUCUAUAAAUCAAUCAGUAUAUAUUGUUAAAAUCAUGUAAACAUAUAUAGGAGUUGCUUCUUAUUAGGAAUCCUGUUCUACCGUAGCAAAAGUGGGAUAAUAUUAUAAGGACCAUGUACAACUAUAUAGGUUCUCUUUUUGCUCCAGCAUACGAGGGUCUUACAUAGUAAAUAUACGAUCCCUAUGAUAGUCCUCUUAUUGUAUUUUUGCUAAAGUGGAACGAGAUUCCUGCUAAGAAGGGGCUCGUAUCUAAACUACUUACUACCUCAAUCAAAACUACAUGAAAUUACAAUUUUAACACCCAAACCAAAACUGCACAAAAAUAAAAAAAACUAUGGGUAAUUUAGUAAGGGCUGUGCUAUCCACACACCCCAUUUUACUUCUCACACACCCCUUGAUAAUUUAUGUAUGUUGAUAUUCUUCAAUUGAUUCGAUCCGACGGCCGAAAAUUAAAAAGGUUUGUGAGAAGUAAAAUGGGAUGUGUGCAUAUCACACCCCUUUAGUAAUUACAUGAACAUAACUUUUGUUGUUAUUUAGGGCAACCUCACAGCUAGGUCACCAUAGCAUGCCAUAUUUAAAAAUUAAAAAUAAAAUAAAAUAGUAAAUAAAAAACAUGCCUACUUUAGAAGAAACUGCUCAUCAUUUUCCCAAUUUUUAUAAGGGGUGUGCUAUCCACACAUUUUUUUACUUCUUACACAUUCCUUGUUAAUUUAUGUCCGUUGAUCUUCUUCAUUUUAUCCGAUACUACGGCUGAAGAUUAGAAGGGUGUGUGAAAAGUAAAAAGGGUGUGUGGAUAUCACACCCCUUUUUUUAUAAUUGAUUUAUUGUUUUAGAAUUUUAAAAACUAAUCACACUACUUAGUAAAAAAAACAAAAUGAAAUGAAAUUAUACAAAACCUAAGUCAUACAGUAUACCUUCGAACUUCUUGUCGUCAAGGUUUAUGCAAUUCACCAUUGUUAAGUUGCCUAUUUCUCUGGGUAUGCUACCUGUUAAAUAUGUGCAUGGAUUCCAACAAAAAAGAAGGCAAAAAAAACGAAGGAGAUGAUUGUUAUACAUCUUAUAUAUAGAUGUUAAAAUGUAAUCAUGAAGCAAGCAACAUUAAUUUAUAUUCCUAGCUGUUGGUAAUGGUGGUACGUACGUACCUGAUAGUUGGUUCGUGCUCAAACUAAUCAUUUCGAGUGCAGAUAAGUUGAAGAUAGCAGCGGGUAUGAAACCAGAGAAGCCAUUACCGUACAAUUUGAUGGUUUGAAGUUUAGGAAAGGACCCAAAUCACGAAGGAAUGGUUCCCAUAAAGCUGUUGUUUCCAAAGUUAAUUGCCUUCAACCGGCGCAAACGAGACAGUUCUUGCGGUAGGGAACCAUGAAAGCUAUUAUUCUUAAGGCCUAACUCAACGAGAAAUGAGUGGUUGCCUAGAUGCGGAGGAAUAACUCCGGCAAGACCCAUGUGCGAGAGAUUUAAGGCCGUUACUCUGUGGUGGCGAGCACCGCAGCUAACGCCAACCCAGUUGCAAAUGUCGGAAUUGAAGGCAAACGACCAGUUGGCGGUCAAGAUGUUUUGAGGGUCACUAGUGAUGUGAGCCUUGAGAGCAAGAAGCACAGACUGAUCUGUGCUGAAAUUGGUAUGAGAUAUUGCUAAUGCACCUGCAGUUAAGUAAUUAGCCAUAAUCAUCAUAUAGAUAUAACAUAAACAGUGUAUCAUCGACAACAUUUUUGAUGGUAGGAACCGACUUCUCUCCUUAAUUGUAGUAGUUUUCGUCUUUCGGUUUAAAUUCGAUCGAAAACUAGAGCUCAUUACAUUCACAUAAAUAGGGAAACGAGUUGGUGUUACCAAGACUUGUGAACGACAUAGACUUGCCCGGCGUCUAUGUCAAGGUGAGGAGACUUAGACUAGUCGAACGAAGACGAGUGGCAAGGAACACCUACCAUUCAUUUUUUGGAUUUUUUAACAUAUCAAACACACACCAUUCAUUUUUUACUGAUAGCUUGAAGGUGGCGUACGCCGUAAGCAACACCUACCAAUUGCAACUUGGAAGUGAGCAACGAGUGGUAAGGAUGUUUUGGUCUGUGGUGGUGAUAUUUGGUAAUUGGUGCUGCUAGCCGACGAGUUCUGUCCAUUUUGUGGUCACGGCUGGAGAUGCCCAAAUGUGGAAUUUUAGUCUUCAGUUCACCAUCAAAACAAACAACACCAUAAAUUUCAAGAUUGAUAUUUAAUGAUGACAUACAUUUUGAUUCAAAUGCAAAUGCAAAUGCGACCAAACACAUAACAGUUACAUUCUUCCGGAUGAAAUAUCUUUGCCGACAUUUACAUAUAAUCAAGCUCUAGUUGAACACUCUUCGGAUUCGAAAAUCAUCUAAACUUGGCUAAUCAGUUUUUUCUGAACAGAACAAACCAAAGAUGAUACGCAAACGGUCCAAGAAUUACGGUCUUAUGCUUCUAAAUUAUUAAUCAUGAUCGCAUGCAGACUUGCUAUUGGAGACGCUCUGAAUAUGCAAAGGCUUCUUAUAUGACUGCAACAAGAGAGAACAUACCACGCUUAGAGAUGAAGCAGGCAUGCACCUGCAAGCCAUGGUGGUAAUCGAAUUCCAGUGAAAGGGAACAAAACUCCAGCCGCCACCGGCAUGCUGAGGAUAUUGUAGCCCAGGGCGACAUAAUUCAAUCGAAUUCGAGACAUGGUCUUUCUAGAGAGAUCAAUGGCUGUAACUACAUCUUCCAAGUUGCUCUUCCUCAGAACUAUAAGCAGCUUAUAUAGCUAUGUCGGUGCCAGCACCAAUUGCCAUGCCAACAUCUCCUGCAACCAUAGCCGGAGGGUCAUUAAUUCCAUCUCCCAUCAUUGCCACCGCCAUUCCUUUCAUCUGCAUCCAAAUCGACUUUAACAAGUCAGAAAACACUAUGUUAGAUAACUCACAUAUCAAGUCAGAUACAAACUUAAUAUAGAAAAAUGUGUUUGAAGAUUUCUAUAAGACAUUAUUUUACCCUAGAUAAGUCAUUUGAAAUAUAAUUUAGUAAUCCUCAAUCUGCGUUCAAAACCAGAACAAAAUUACUUGUGGAGCUGGGUAAUUGUAAUCCACUCACACCACCCCUGUAACUAUUAUAUAAUCGUAACUGUAAUUCUUUGAUUCUAUCAGCUUUUCAUAGUGGAUCCGUCUCAGCACACCUUAUCAAUGCCAACCUCCAUCGCACUGGCUGCCGCUGUAGCCCAGUUAUCACCAGUAACCAUGAUGCUUGUAAUGUUUAUCGAGUGAAGAUAAGAGAUGACUCGUGCAGCCUCUGGCUUCACUGGGUCAGUUACAGCAAAAGACCCAGCAAUCUUUCCAUCAAUGGACACCAACACACACCUUCGAGCCAGAUUAUCAUGUUCUGAAACAUACUUGUCAACCUCAGGACCAACCUGGACAUUAUUUUCCCGCAUGAGCCUCAGCAAUCACCAUUUACCUACAUAUUUCUCAAAUAGAGGCAUGUUAGCAUGAUUGACAAAAUAAUAACAAUAAGUUGUCUCAUCUGUAACUUUACAAACUUCAAACUUUUCAUGAACAAAUUUGAAACAUAAGCACCAACCUCUGUGACAAUAGACACAGCACAGAACUCCUCCAUUGAGUAAUUGGAGAAGAGCACAGCAUUGACUACUACGGGUUUCCCAACUGUCUCUCUGGUUGAGGCUGCAUUCAUUUUGACACAUGGGAAGGGCUUACUCUCCUAGUGGCUCGGCUUGGUCUCGCUCCCUUCCCGCACUAUUCCUCCCCACUAAAAAGAUUUGAUAAUCUCAAUAACGUUCAGAAAGGUUAUUGAGAUAAAUCGAUGAAAUCUUUCAAGCCAGCAUGGGGCAAAAGCUAUCAAAACGGGUGAUUGGGGAAGGAGAGAUAGGUCCAUUCACGAACACUAUUGGUCCCUGUUUCAUAAAAAAACAACCGUUUUCACUGGCAGGGAUCAAACACGUCCGUAAACAUCCAGACACCAACAAGGUGUCAAAUACUAAGAAACGUAUCAACCUUCAUGAAUUAGGUACCGUCUGUUCAGCUUUUAAUUUUGGAAAGAACAAAAACCCCAAAAAGGACGAAACAAUUAUUAGCCUUGUUAUAAAAAAGGGAGUUGGGGUAAAGAGAACUCUCCUUCAAUGAGAGCUGUCAUCUACAAGAAAUGGGGAUAUAAAACUUGGCGAGUACGGCUUGGUGACAUGGACAAGGUGCAUACAGCCAUCAAUCGUCCAGAACCAAAGGGUCAUAUGAGACAGAUUCCAACUAUGAAAUAAUAGUUGCAUGUUCAAUCCCAAUAUAUGCAGGAAGAACAUCCUCCAUACCCAAUGACAUAGAUUGCAUUUAGUUUUAUGUCACGAGCCUAAACGUUGAUCGAACCAAGGCAGAGCGUUUAACUGGUCAGGAAUGAAGUCCAUAACUUGUUCUCAUACGGAACACUAACAUAAUGUAGGGUGGUAGUAUAGGGGAUAGUAUGAAAUGACCAGAACAAUAUGAGGAGAGCAACUUCAUAAUGGAGGAAUGACGAGAAAAAAAAAACUACACUUGCACCCUCAAGACAUAUAGAGAAUGUAUCUAAUCAGAAAUUGGUUUUUCCUAAACCACAACAAACAGGUUUUCGACGUCCUCAAAGGAAAUGUAGGAACAAGUAUAAUGAAGCAACUAAACACACCAGCAAAAACAACAUGAAAAUAAAAUGCAUGAAAACCAGAUUCUAAAUUAAAAAAGAAAUUUGUUUCCAAGGAUAAGGUGGUCUUACCUUAUAAGCCUUUUCAAGUACACUAGCAAAAAUGCCCGCACUCCGCUGCGGGGACUUCUAGAAGUAUGAUCUUGUACCAUUUGAUUUCUUUUGCCAUUCCUAGUUCUUUUUGGCAUCAUGUGCAAAACCAAAUUGAUAGAUAAAAAAAGGUCGUACCCAGUGCACAAGGCUCCCGCUUUACGCAGGGUCUGGGAGAGGUGAAUGUCGGCUAGCCUUACCCCCAUUUAUGGAGAGGGCUGCUCCCAAGUCUCGAACCCGAGACCUACCGCUCAUGGGCGAAGGCACUUGCCAUCACACCAAGUGCGACCUCUUUAUUAUAAUUAAGUAAAAAAAUGAUAGGUAGGAAGAAAAAAAUGAAAACACCUGCAUAAAUUCAAUUUUCCAUCACCCCUAUAUUAUAAUUAAAUAAAGCAAAACAUAAUAAUCAUCUCACAAUUACAGAAGCAAGGACUUUCAAAUGCCCCAAUUAGUUAACAGCCACUAUGCAUAAUUCUGAAAAAAUGAGUAUAAAAUUAACCUCUUUUGAAAAACGAAGGAAGAAAGAUGAAACCUUAAGCCAAGGAAUAUAACUAUGUUGAACUCAAUUAUUUGACAUUAAUUACACAAACCCAAUUCCAUAUAUAUAGCCAGACAGAAGCUUUAUCCUAGAGAGAAACCAUGCCCAAAUGAUUAUAAUUCAGAGCAUAAAAGGGAAGUGAGUUCCUUGGUUCCCACAUUGUAGAGACUAAAUCUCAAAACUUUGCCAAGCAUUACAGGAAACCAUGGAAAGAAUAAAAAUGACCACAAAGAUUGCAAAACAAUUAACCACAGGUGGUGUUUAUAUGCCCACUGAGAGAAAAGAGCUUGUGCAAGUGAAAAAACGUAUUUAUAUAAAACAGGCAUGCACCAUCUGAAAGAGCCUCUUGUAUCCAUUCCAAUUAUACUUAUGUCUACCAUAUCCCUCUACAAUUCCCCACCACCAAUCAACCAUAACUGAUUUCAAUACCCUUAGCUGCUUUAGUAGACCAUCUAGUGACACCAACUGCCACCAAAAUAAAAGACACGAUCAAGACCAUACAAAUUACAGACUAAGCUUAAAAACAACGGUUAUCUAUUAAGCAAAACUUGGAACUCCUUGACAUGGCAACCUCUUAAUCCAGGAUGUAGAGUAGAAAAGCAAAAUUAUUGACAAACCGAAAAAUAACAAUUUAACUUGCAUAGUAAACGAAUAUUAGUAAAGUUACAUAACUCAAUGGAUUACAUAAAUCUGUAAAAAAGCGAAACAUCAGUGUUUGGGAAGUUACCUUAUUUGAAAUGUCAGGAGCAUCUGGUGUACAUACAGGGUAGACAGUCCUUGCAAAAUUCAGGGCUUCAAAAUAAAAUAAAAUAAUAAAUUCAAAAGAAAUCAAAACUAUUAAUCCUAACAACUGUUUAGUAAAGGAUAAAACAAUCUUUCCAUCAAGCAAAUUUGAGAAACAAGUAAUGAAUGGAAUAACCCAAUUUCUAUCGCCAAUCACCCUUGCUGAGUGAUGAUUCACAUACUUCCUCAUAUUUGUUUAUGGGUUCCUGUCCAACAAAAUUUCGACUUAGUACCCAAAAACUGUAUCAGCUCACAAACACACAGAGGUUUAUCAAAUUCAAAGCAAAACCCACAUAUAUUCUCAAGAUUCUAGAGUUAAAAGAGGAGCAAGGAGGUUCGGUUAAGGAACCCAAAACGCUAUUUUAAUGAGCAAAUGAAUAUCUAAACUGGGGUUAACAAGUUUCAGCAAUAAAAAACAUGUCUUUCGAACGAAGUUGCAUAAAUUACAGAACUUUGGGAUUAAGGAGGAACAAAAAGCCCAAAUUCCAAUCAAGAAAAAAAAAAUGUAUGUAAAUUUAAGCUUUACCUGUAGAUUGGCAGCAGCAAAACAUACUGGAUCCAACGGGAGCCACGUGUGAGAACUGGAUGCCCAGCCUUUGACACGUUAUUGAGUGAGUUUAGGGAUCUGGGUUUUGUGUUUGCCGUUGAAUUUUGGAAUGAUCUGGAGAAAUUUGGGUUUUAGGGUUCUAAGGAUUUGAGUGAACUGAAAUUGAUUUGGAUGAGCAACUUUUAGUUUCGAUUCGCGGUGGAGCAAGGAUGAAGAGGUGGAGGAGGAAGGAAUGAAAGACUUAACUUCUAAAGUUUCAAGUGCUCAAGGAAGAAAAUAUCGGUAAUAUCGGAAAUAUCGGUAGUCUGAAAACAUGGAAAUAUCGAUGGAAAUAUCGGGAUAAUAUCGAUAUCGAUAAAAAUUACAUGGAAACCACGGAAAUUGUAAGAAAAACUUGGAAAUUUUUAUUGAAACUUUGCAGGAUGUUUAUUUAGUCAAUUAUCUAUUUGUUUAUCACAAAAAAUUGGAAGGAAAGGCAUUACAUGAUGGAUUUAACAUUAUCAAGUUGAUUAUAUAACGAGCUGACAAACAUUGUGAGUGUAGAAAAUAUGUAGAAAUUAAUGAAAGAAGUCUAAACACACCAUAAUCAUUUAUAUAUAAUGAAUUAGUACAAUAUUUUACACUUUAUACAUUGCAUGGUAAGAUACAUGAGUGACUUAGUACCACAUAGAGUUCCUAUGAGGUUCAAAAUUUUCACUAUCUUCAUCAUCUCUAUGUGUAGAGUGAGUGUAUUUUAAAGAGUAGUUAGCAACCAUGGCAAUGGUUUUCAAGAACCAAAACCCAAAAGUCAAUAGGAAACCGAAUACUUCGGUAUUUUUCGGGAUUACCAAACAAAUGGGAUUUGGAAACCAAUCCCAUAUCGAAAAUUUCGGUAUUUUUCGGGAUGGGAUUCCCGAACUUCAGGAUGGUUUUGGUUUGGGAUUUUUCGGUUUGGGUUUGGGACUUUUUCAAUUUGGUUUGGGAUUUUCCGGAAUUUUUUCCAGCCCUACCAUGUAAGUGACCAAAUAAAAAAUAGAAAAAUUAAAAACCACAUGCCAUUGACUAAGUAAUUAAUUGAUACAAUUUAAAAUAUAAUACCACAAAAAAUUUGGAAUAUGUGCAAAUUUGUUUCUUGUAAAAAGAAUUCAAAACAAAACCAUAUAUAUAAAUAUUGUAGCAUAUUAUCACAACAUCAUAAGUGGUAUAGUGGUUAAGGCGUUAAGGAGGUAAACUCGAGGAGUUCGAACCCUUCUAUGCUCAAAAUUGAGACUUUUCCAAAUUUUCAGGAAUUUUUUGACUAAUAUCGCGAUAUUUUGACGAAAACUCAUUGGAUACUCAUUAAAAUAUCGGUAACUCAAAAAAACGAAAAUAUCGGCGAAAUAUCGUCGAUAUUUUGGAUAUUUUCUUCCAUGCAAGUGCUCAACAAAUUUCGAUCAAUGUAUGUUUCAAUACUUCAAAAAAAGGGACAUGCAUCAAAGACUUUUAGGUGGAAAAAAAUAUGCAUUGGCUGAUGGAGAUAAUUAGGAUUUAAAAUGUUAAAAAUUUUCUUUUUGGCUCACUAAUUAGAUGCAAAAGUGAGACUGUGUGAACAAUUUUACACCCAGAAACAUGAACUACACAGAAUCACAACUGAUCGAACAAUGAGAAAGUAUAUAAGACAAUACACUAUCAAUAGGCUAAAACACUCUUUUAAUUGAUCUAACAAUAGGCUAAAACACUCUUUUAAUUGAUCUAACAAUAGGCUAAUAGGAUUAACUAAACCAUUAGAGACUGCAACAAUGAGAAAGUCUGAAGAUUAAAGUUCUAGUUGAAUAUCUUUGAACCCCUAGGUGUUGGAAACACUUUCAGUAAAUUUGUUCAGGAAAAUAUAGAAACUCAUGAUGCAAUUCCAUCGUCUGGGAUAGCACAUAUUUACCUGGAAUCCAACAUUAAGCUAACAUUUUUCAUAAGUUUAUUCUUUUUGUUAACUACACUGGAAUUUAUAAAACAAUUUUAGAAAAACUCGAGUCUAGAUAAUGAACUUUUGUUCCAGUUUAAAAAAUUUUGACUUGUGUUCUAAGCAACAUAAUGUAUUCACAUUUCAAUUGUGAAAGGCAGCAAUAAUCCCCGACUGAAGAUAUUAAAAAUCAGAACUUCUUCUCCAAGUUUUCAUUUAGUUUAUUUCACUUGUCCAUCGGAAUUUUAUGCAAAGAAGAUUAAAUAAAGACAAUAGCAUGCCAAAGAUUAAAACCCCUCAUUUCAAACUCUGCUAAUGCACAACUCUGUUUGGUUUUCUUCCCAGAGACCAGACUGAGUGAGGAGUCAAGUUCUCCAAUGCACCAACAAUCUCCCGUUCGAGCAGCCAUCACCACCUCACUUGCCACUCCGGCGAGGCACCACCUUGCCACCACCCUCAUGUCUCACUCCCUUUCUACCACUCUCCUUAUUUCCCUCACCUCUUUCUCUCGAUACUGUGCUCGCUGCACAGAAACAGCAAGGCAACCACCGUCGCCUUUUUUCACAGCGAACUACACCGUAACGAAACCAUCACCAUUAAUCUCGCUACCUAGGCGAGUUUUACCACCCUCUGCAAACUGCCUUCAUGCCUUCUAAUUUCAAUUCUUGCAUUUCUUGUAUGGUAUCCAUGUCUUGCACAUUCAAAUACUUAUAUACCGACUGAGAAUAACAAUAUAAAUCCCACACCCACCUCUUUUUCCCCACUUGAAAAAUCACCUAAAAACAACAUUAACCACCAUAGUUUAAGAAUCCAAACAUGGCUCCAAAUUUCAAUCUAAUUAAUUAAAUUACAGAGGAUUCUACCUACCUCAUGAAAACAAAUAUGUUCAGUUAAAGAAAUUCCCUAAUCAUUGCAGUGCAUCUUAAACUACUUCUUAACUAUGUCAGCCAUACCAAUCUAAUAAAAAAUCCAUGUUUCAAUCGAUUCUUAUUAAUUCCAACUCCAAGUAUUUCAGCAUCUAGAUUAUAGAAAAAUCAUAACAAAACAAAACUCAAUCUUGGUGCUAAAGCACACUUCGUUAACCUCACCUUCAUCAAGUCCAUGAUUCCUGCCAUGAGAUCUUUCUCUUAAUCCAGACUUGGCUUCAGAUGCAAGAUCAAAAUAACGAAGCAUUCAGUUCCAUUUCUACGCACAGCAAAUUAAAAAUUGAAAUAUGUUAUAAUUUACUCGGAAUCUUCAUAAGUAUCAUGAAAGCAUAUAAACAGAUACAUUUGAAAACUGAUAAAGCUACCUAAUUAAGUUGAAAAGUCGCUAAUUAAGAUCAAGUGCCAGUGCAUCCAGUGAGCCUUCCAAGGAAAGAUGGCCCCAUGGACUUAGACCUUGAAAACUAAGGCUUGUUUUGCCUUGUAAUUGUAUGAUCAGUAGCAUUCUUAUGGAUUGUAAUUGUAUGAUCAGUAGUAUCUGAAAGAUAUGAUUUCUGAAACUCAACUCAAUGAUUUGAGUGAGCCAAUUAGUAUUGAUAUAUAUAGCAUUACAAAGUAGACAUGUAGUAGAAUAUAGAAAGUUCAAUUACAAGCAGUAUCGGAAACAAAUUACUAAUCAAACUAGAACUCGGCUGCUGCUCAAGUAUCUGUAUAGGAAUGAACAUCUUGAGCGGAGAAUGAUGGAACAUCCUUGUUCUUGUGGGAGACUGGUUUAUCACUCCCCCGCAAACUGACAGGGAGGCCACGAACUGGUAGUUUGGAGAGCAUAAAAGUAAAGCGGGCAGCAGAGAGACCUUUAGUAAGAAGAUCAGCCAGCUGGUCAACAGAGGAGACAUAACCAAUAGUGAGUUCAUUGCGAGUGACCUUUUCCCGAACAUAAUGAUAGUCCACCUCCACAUGUCGCAUGCGUUGUUGAUAGACGGGAUUAGAGGCUACAGAAAUGGCACUGAUGUUGUCGCACCAGAUGCGGGGAGGAGCAAGCGGGAGAUGAAGCUCUCGAAAUAAGGUGCGAUACCAAGAGAGCGCCGUAGCAGUGAACGCAAGCUGGUGGUAUUCAGCUUCGGUGCUGGAGCGAGAGACACCUCGUUGUUUCUUGGAGCUCCAGGAAAUAAGGUUAUCACCAAGGAAAAUACAAUAGCCACCAGUAGAACGACGGUCGUCAGGAUCGCCGGCAUAGUCCGCAUCAACAUAGGCAGUGAGGUGAAGGGGACUCGGUUUGUAAACAAUGCCAUGAUUCGGAGUCGCUUUAAGGUAACGGAGGAUGCGUUUAACAGCAACCUAAUGGAUUGUGGUUGGCCGAUGCAUGAACUGGCAAACCUGAUUUACAGCAAAGGCGAUAUCAGGACGAGUGAAAAGAAGAUAUUGCAAGGCCUCUACAACACUUCGGAAUUCUGUAAGAUCAGACAAUAGUUCUCCAUCUGAUAAGAUGAGGCGUCGACCAGGAAUAGUGGGGGCCGAAAUAGGCUUGCAGUCCAGCAUAUUAGUACGUUUAAGAAGAUCAGUGAUAUAUUUUGCUUGAGUAAGAUGAAGGCCGGCAGCAGUAUGAUGAACUUCCAUUCCUAAUAAGUAAUGAAGGGGGCCAAGAUCCUUCAUGGAAAAAAGAACGCCCAGCUGUUGAAUUAAGCGAGCAAUAUGAUCCGUGCUAUUACCAGUAAUAAGGAUGUCAUCCACGUAUAUUAACAAGUAAAGGAUGACAGAGCCAUCAAAGAAAGUAAACAAUGAAGAGUCGACAUGAGAAGAAACAAACCCCAAAUGUUCCAAGUGUUGGGAAAAGCAUUGGAACCAUGCACGAGGAGCUUGUUUAAGGCCAUAUAGAGACCGUUGUAAUUUGCACACAUGAAUGGGACGUUGAGAAUCAACAAAUCCUGGAGGUUGGCGCAUAUAGACAUCUUCAUUUAGAGAACCAUGAAGGAAAGCGUUUUGGAUAUCGAGUUGCUGAAACGGCCAAUUGUAGUGAAUAACAAUGGAGAGAAUCAGCCGAAUGGUGGCAUGAUUGACGACGGGGCUGAACGUCUCACCAUAGUCCAAACCUUCUUGUUGAUGAAACCCAUUGACGACUAACCGUGCUUUGUAUCGUUCGAUGGAACCAUCAGAGCGCCGCUUGAUUUUGUAGACCCAUUUGUUGGGGAGAACGUUCAUAGUGUGGUGGAAUGGGACUAAGGUCCAGGUACCAUUGCGUUGUAAUGCAGUAAACUCGUCAGCCAUGGCUUUGCGCCAUUCAGUGUGUUUGUGUGCCUGACUAAAACAGGUAGGCUCAACCAAAUCAUCAGAAAAAGUAGUAACAAAAACAUAUUUGGGAUUAGGUUUUCGAACACCAACUUUGCUGCGAGUAACCAUGGAGUGAGACCGAUCACUUACCUCGGGAGUAGAUGAAACGGAUGCAGCGGGGGCAACAGGUGGUAGGUUUGCUCCAGGGGCUGACGGAUGGGUAGGAGUUAUGGGGAAAGCAGGUUGGGGGGAAGAAGCUGUGGGGGAUAAAGGAGAGGCAGAUGUGUCCGGCGGGAAACGGGUAGGGCGAGAGGGCCUACGAGUAUAAACUUGAAGGGGGCGUUGGGUAGGGUGUGAUGGUAGGGUUGAGGGAAUGGAAGAGGAAGGCUGCGGGAUGGAGGGUGUGGGGGCACCAUGAGAUGGUGAUGGUCCGAUGGUGAGUACUGGAUCCACAGACGAGGAAAGCAAUGAAGGCGAUGGAACAAUGGACUCUUUAUAUGGAAAGGUGUGCUCAUCAAACACGACAUGGCGAGACAGAAAUACACGACCUGUGGAGGGAUCUAAGCAGCGAUAACCAAGAUGGUUUAGAGAAUAACCCAAGAAAACACAGCGUUUGGAACGAAAUUGCAGUUUGUUAGUAUUAUAUGGACGUAAAUACGGAAAACAGGCACACCCAAAAACUUUAAAAAACUUAUAUUGAGGAGGUUUGUGAAACAGUUUUUCAAACGGGGAGAUAUUGUGUAAAAGGCGAGUGGGUAAACGGUUAAUAAUGUAAUUGGAAGUAUGAAAGGAUUCGGUCCAAAAGGGAGUAGACAGACCGGAUUGAGCUAAAAGAGUAAGGCCAGUUUGAACGAUGUGGCGGUGUUUACGUUCCGCCACACCAUUUUGUUCCGGAUGAUGAGGGUAGGUAAGACGAUGUAAGAUGCCAUGGUGAUUUAAGAAUGUUCGAAAACUAUGAUUAACAAAUUCACCUCCACCAUCCGUUUGGAAAGCUUUAAUCUUAACACUGAACAUGUUUUCAACGAGGUUUUUAAAAGUGACGAAAGUAGAGAAAACAUCAGAUUUUAAUCGGAGUGGAUACAACCAAGUAUAACGAGAAUAAUCGUCCACAAAAAUCACAUAAUACUUAUAACCAGAAAUGGAGAGAGAGGGAGACAUCCAAACAUCACAGUGAAUUAAUUCUAAAGGUGAAGCAGCCAUGGAGGAAGAUAAAGAAAAUGGCAAUUUAUGACUUUUACCUAAAGGACAAAAUUGACAAAACUUACUAGAAAUUGAGCCUUUAAUUGGCAAUUUAUUUGCAGACACUAAAUGUUGUAAAAUGGAAAACGAAACAUGACCUAACCUAGAAUGCCACAAGGCAUCCGAGACACGUUCACCAACACAAGCAAAAACACCAGAAGGUUGAUGAGAGGAAUGGGAAGGAUAGAGUCCAUUGUUACUAGGGCCUUGGAAAAGGAUCUUCCCCGUCCGCGAAUCCUGCACACGAUAAAAACGAGGGUGGAUAGUAAAGAAACAGUCAUUAUCAGCAGCAAAACGAUUUAAAGAUAUGAUAUUAGUGGAAGCAUGAGGGCAGUAGAGAGUAUUCAGUAAUAAAAAAAAAGCGAGUUUAGUGUGAAGAAACGAAUCACCAAUUUUGGAGAUGUGCAAACCUGAACCACCAUGAAUAACACCAAUCUGAUCAGUUCCAUGAUACUCACGAGGAUUAGAAAGCUGACCCACAUCAUUGGUUAUGUGGGAAUUGGCGCCAGAGUCAAAGAGCCAUGGUUGAGCAGGCGAGGCAGAAGGAGCAUGAGGGACACCACGGGACUGAGGUGCAGCCGCAUAAGCCUGAAGAUGAGACGAAGGAACCCUGCCUUCAUAGGACAUGUUGAGACGAUUGUAACAAUCAAUAGCGGAGUGACCAUAACGCUGACAAAUCUGGCACUGAAUACGACCAGAUGGGGAGAACGCAGGGGCAGGAGAGAAGCCACCUGAAGCAGGAGCAGGGCUGAGGAUGCCAUUGGAGGAAGCAGGCUGUCCACGGGAGGAAGCGGCUGGCGAAGAAGAAUGGGAAAAAUCACCAUGAUAGUUGCGAGAGGAACCAGAACCACGAGCGUAGCCGCCACCACAACCACCCCGAAACGCGCCGCCACGGCCGUGAGACGUACCACGGCCACCACGCACAGCAGCAAACGCAGAAGUACCGACGUCAGAGGGAAGAAAGAAAGCAGUGUGACGUUGUUCGGCGCUAAGAAGUAAAGAUUCCAAGGCAGUGUAAGUGAUGGGAGUAUCACGGGCUUGGGCAGAAGCAACGGUGGUCUCAAACUGUGGUCUCAAACUGAGGACCAACCUUACUCAUAAUAAUGGCAACCAAGUCUGAUUUAGAAACUGGGGCGCCAGAGAUGGCAAAGUUGUCGGCAAGAAUAUUCACCUUGUCGAGAUAGUCGGCAAUAGAGAGAUCACCACGAGAGGUAUUCAUCAAUUCUGUUCGCAUUUGAAUAAUACGGUUCUGAGAGGUAGAGGCAUAGCGUUCCUGAAGAGACAACCAAGCAGAGGCCGAAUCAAUUUUGUUGACAAUAGUAGCAAGGACCUUGGGAGUAAGAGAACUAGUAAUCCAAGAGAGGAUCAUCUGAUCAGUUUGGAUCCAGUCAAGAUACGACGGAUUGACGGUGUCGGUAAUGGUACCCUUGUCAUCAGAAAGAAAAGCAGAAGGGCAUUUAUGUUCACCAGUAACAAAGGAGAGAAGGUUGCGGCUGCGCAGCAAGGGAAGAAACUGAGCACGCCAUAGGGGAUAGUUGUUGCGAUCGAGUUUUAUGGUAAGAAAAUUCGUAACUGAGGGAGCAGCAGCAGUAAAGGUAGAAGAAGAGGACGCCAUACUGGGAAGAGAACGGAGAGAGAAAAAAAUAAAAAAAAUAAAAAUUAAACGAUGAACCGUUGUCGUAAGACGCUGGCUCGUGAUACCAUGAAAGAUAUGAUUUCUGAAACUCAACUCAAUGAUUUGAGUGAGCCAAUUAGUAUUGAUAUAUAUAGCAUUACAAAGUAGACAUGUAGUAGAAUACAGAAAGUUCAAUUACAAGCAGUAUCGGAAACAAACUACUAAUCAAACUAGAACUCGGCUGCUGCUCAAGUAUCUGUAUAGGAAUGAACAUCCUGAGCGGAGAAGGAUGGAACAUCCUUGUUCUUGUGGGAGACUGGUUUAUCAGUAUCCUUAUGGAUUCCCAGAUGAAUCCUCAAAAUUUUGUUCUCAUCCGUUAGCUUAUGCACAUAGGACAAAAGCGGUUCAAUUGUUUCACACUUCUCAUUGUUUCUCCUUAUCAACUCAGCUCAUUGCUGCAUAUUUCGUCCAUGAGUUCCAAGAUCUUUUCAUGCAACAUUUUAUCUUUUUCAACCAUAUUACCAUCAGAUUCUACCCCAUGAUCAAUACUCUCUUUUUCCAUAUAUUCUUCAAAAGUACACAAACCAACCUUUUUUAGGAUAGACCAGCAUUUGUUUGUUUUGAUGGCACUGAAUUUUGUUUCCGUUUUCUCUUUUGUGGUAGUCUGAUAAAGAUGCACUCCAAAAAAUAAUUUGAGUGCCUAUACAGAUGAACAUCGCAUAAAAAUCAAAAAAUCAAAAAUCAAAAACAGCAGCAGAGAUAAAAAAAAAUGACAAUAAUUCUAAAAAAAUUUAAAUAAAAAACAGGAACCUCUGUGAGUUAAUUUUUUGGGCAAAAAAAAUUCUAUUAAUGCAUUCUCAUACAAAAAAUUUCUUUAAAUACUGAUUUCAUGCAAUCUAGGAGCUAAGUGCUUAAAUCAGAAAAUUUUCUUUAACCCAGAUACUCUUGUACUGCAGUGCAGCAAAGUUUUUCUUGAACCCUGACGAAUAUUGCUCUAAAAAUAUCCCAAAUAUAUCUCAGAGAUUGCAGAGAUUCAGACAAUCAAUAAUGGGACAACCGGAAUGUUCCUUGUUCGUUUGUCCUCCAUACUCUACCCUAAUCUUCUUAGGAUUUUAGUUAAACAACUUGCUCCUGUAACAGCUAUAUUAAAGCAUAAAUAUUCAUGAACACUCAUCACCAAUAGCAAAAAGGCACAAAGUAUUUUUACAGAAAUCUAAAGAUCCCUUUUGUGUCCCAAACCCAGGUCUGUCCACUAUUUGCCUUCCUCCUUCAGGGCAUAAUUAGAGAUACCCGCCAACAGUAUAACCAAAAAAAUUGCAGUGAGAUUUUAAAAUACGAACUUUAUUUGAUAUUGCAAUGAAAUAUAACAAAAUGUACAAAAAUUGUUAUUUUGGUAAACAAAUAGACAGUGGAAUAACAGAAGAAGCCGAACCCAGAAAAAAUAAAAACACAGAAUCACAGUAGAAGAAGCAAACCCAAGAAAAUACAGAAAAUAAAACAAAAAGGGUGCAACUUUUAUUGACGGGUGAAUGAGUAGACAAUAAAAAAAAUGCAAACUUUGAGUUCAAAACAAACCUUGUACCGUUUGAAAUUUGAGACUUGGAGUCGCCCACGGGAAGGGUUUUAUGAGAAGACAGUAUUAGGCGUGCUGAAGUUAGUUUAUGCUUUUAGUUGUAAAUUCACAUCUAAUACUGGUUGAACACAAAUUUCAGCAAAUACACAGAAGAAAUAGCAAGAAUUGAUUUCAGAAUUGGGAAAAAAUUAAAUUAAAAAUAGAAAACAAAGGGUCGAAAAGCUGCAUACCUAAACACCAUUUCAUAUCUUUUUAUCCUCUUCGAGUACCGAUCGAUUCCAUAGAGAGGGAGAGAGGAGGGAGACGACGAAGGGGAGAGGAGGGAGAGGAAGGCGAGAGGAGGAGAACGACUGAGGCGAUUUACUGUCUGUGUGGUUCUCGCGGGGACUGCGAGGUGAACUAGGAGAGGAAUGACCAGGUGGCUCUGGGCUUGAGGUCAGAGAGAAAAUGAGAGACCUAAACGGCUAGGGUUGGAAAUGAGAAUCUGGGCUCAGGGGCACAGAAGAUUUGGAAAUGAUUUUUACCUUUCAAUUUGGAAAUGAUUUUUGCUGACCACUGCUAUGUUCUGUGAUUUCUUCGAUCACAAGAAAUCAAGUUGGUCUCAAAUUGUAACCGUUUGGGUUCAAUUUGCGAUUUACAGCUUUUAAGUAGUAUUUUAUUUUACUAGUUUCUCUGUUAAUGCCAAGUGGCAAGUGACACAUGCGUAGUAUUUUAUUUUACUAGUUUCUCUGAGUAUGAACCUGUAAACUUGGUUAUAGGAUUAGAGAUUGAAUACGAAGUCUUGUUGAGAAUGGAUUUAUGAAUCCAUAUUGUAACUGAACUACUAUUUAAAAGAAAUUGGUUUUCUGUAUGGAUUUUAAUAGAGAAUUUCUUAUAGAAUUUGGCUAGGAUUAUGUAGUAUAUAUAUGAUGGCCUCUGUUCUCACAGUGUGUGUACUCUACUCAGAACUAAUACCUAUUAUUAGUUGAGAACCUUGAACACUGAAGAGAAGAGAAGGUGCACUGCAGGAUUCUUGUAGAAAAUCGAGCAUGGCGUCCAGUUCCGGUUCAUCUGCAGGUACGGUUUUCUCCGUACAUUGGUUUAAUGAACAAUGAUUUGUGUUUUGAUAACAGUAGCUCAUAUAACUUGUUAUUGGUUUAUGUUUAUUCUAACAUUCAAGUCAUUGACCCUUGAAGAAGGGGCUAGCAAAUCAGCUUAUGCCAUCUGGGAGUCAUCAAUUGGAACGUACAUUCGUGAUAUCUAAACAAUAAAACAUUUGACCAAUAAAAGAAAGAUCCAAACAAAGACUUGUCCAGCACUCAAAAUUUCCCACUAUAUAAAACCCAUUGAGCUCUUCCAUUUCCUCACACUUCCGAUCACAAAAACUUCACUAUAUUAAAUUGAGAAGAAAAAAAUGAGCCAAACAGCAGGUAGGCUAAUGAAGCCUGGUUUAGCGUUUGUGUUUGGGACCAUGUUUGGAGCUUUCAUCACCAGAGCUAGUCUGCACCGUUGCCACCACCGCUUUCACGACCACGAAGGUGAUCGGAAGCAUUGGCCUUGUCCUCGCCAAGCUCAGGAUAAAAAGAUUGGUUCAAGCCCAGGAGGGCUGGAAACUACAACCACUAGAAACAUGGAAAACUAGCCCCAUGCUUGCGACAACGACUUAUAUAACAUAGUUACACCAUUACGAUGGUUCUAUUCUAAUGAAAUAAAGACAUGGGUAAACUUUUGUCUACAUAUCCUUAUUUCAUUGACAUAAAAUACUAUGUAGUAGUGUAGCUGUGCCAUCUAAGUUGUUUUCCAUGCAUGCAUCGUGCAUGGUCCAAGUUCAAAAAUCAGCCCAGCUGGCUAGCUUUGCUUCUAAUUUUAUAUGCUUCUGUUGUAUUACAUGAGUAGUAUGUAUUUGGGUUUUUAUCAGAAAUCAGCCCAGCUAGGUAGUUUGAUUUGUUGGCCGAUUGUUUCGGUUCUUUUUUGGCUUUUCUUAUUGUUUAGCGUGCAAAUUGGUUUGUUAAUGAAACUUAGUGAGGAAAUGAAGUCAUCAUGGUUUGUAAUUUUCAAAUGAUGAUUUUUUUUUUUUUAUAAUUUUUCUAGCAAAUACUGUGAGAAUUUUGGUUAUCCUAAAUCACAUUUAGCACUCUAAACACACAACUUAUUGUCGGCUGAAAUUAUAAUUAAGGUAUUUUAAAGAAUUGACUGGUAUUAGCACUUGCUUAUGUGCCAAAGAGCAAAUUAAGAGCGUUUAUCCCUACAUUUGAGACUAACUUGACAAAGAUUUGGGUCACUAAAGAUGCCUCCUCCCAUCAUGAAAAGUGAAAACCAAUAUAUUCGAGGUAAUGCUAGGGAAACUAAAUUUGUAGACAAAAUUUACAAACUAAAUGAUGUGUCGUCAACGUCCAACUUUAAUAUAUAAAGGAAAUUUGCCCAAAAACAGUGCCAAAUUAAUCAAGACUAAAUUUUUACAUUACAGUUUAAGAGACCCUAAAACGUUUCCGAAAACUGCAAAGCACCACAGGAUUAUGCCAGCAUCCAACUAAUUAAUCGACGGUUCAGCUUCUCUAUGUUUAGUUGAUGAAGUAGCCAACCAAGAUGCCCAGAAGACCGAACAGCACCACAAACAACAACGAAAAUCCGCCACCGCCGUUUUUGCUAAUUUCUUUUCUCAACACAUCCUGCUCAAAUUCAAAAUUUUCUCUUAUUGCCAAAAGGAAAUAAACGAAAACAAACAUGAAAAUGAACUCCGAUAAAGGGGAACUGAAGCAUCAAACACCCAACAAUACAAAUAGAAACAACAGUUCAUAAAAAGGAGAUUGACAGCUGAUGAAGUUAAACGGGGAUACAUACUAGUAGAACCGUUAGCAUAGGGACAAUCAAAAGCAUGAGGCUUGGAUAUACGUAAGAAACUAAGAAUUAAACAAAAGCUGAGCUGAUCUUCCUCCGUCAAUCAAGUCAGUGGAAUGCUCACAAAAUCCUUCACUCAAUCGAGUCAGUGACAACCUCCCUCAAUUUCCUCCCUCACCCUCUGCAACACUGGCACAUCCCUCACCUAUUCGCUCAAUCCCAUCGAACCCACACAACCCCAAACUCUCCCAAAAUAGAGAAUGACCAAAAUACCCAUGUCAAUAGGCAUUUCACGUUCAGGGCUUUAACCAUUUAUUGGACACCACCGAAGCCCACUUCGGACCCAAAUUCUAAUCAAUGGCAGAGAUGUAAAUAUUACGAAAUCAAAGGAAAUUCAUUGUAGCUUAGGAACAUACCCAUGUCGUACUACUUUAGAUUCGGAUGGUCUGUCUAUUCACACCGGUGGGUGGUGGUAGUGCCUAGUGGUGGCUUGCCGCCGUCUAUAAUGUCUAUAAUUCUAUCAGUCAAUUGGUUUCUUCUAUAAAAUGUGUGGCCUUAUGCUUUGUUUAUUGGAUAUUUAUAAUAUUAUACAAUUCCAAUUACUUUAGUCGGAAGAAGGAAAUCCAAUUGCACUGUUCAACUGAACAGUGUUUUGGACCGAAUUUCACUUUGUUUACAAAAAUUUCCACCACCCCUAUAUGUCGUUCAGAUAGAAAAUUUCAAUUUAUUUACGAAAUUGCCACCGUUUUACACAGGGGAAGGGCGCCCACGAGUCAAUCAUCUUGGAUUCUGCGUCGACUACUUUUCCGUUUCCAUCCCCUAUUAUUUCCCUUUCUCGACUCUGUUUCCGUAACCAUCCAUCAAAUACCCCGUCCCUCCUCCCUUAGAUCCCUCACCGAUUCUGUCUCUCGCCAUUCUCAGUCUCGCCAACCGCGAACCCCUUGACAGCUUGCAGCUCUAUGCUCCACCUCCAGAUUCGUCGCAUAUACCAGCCGAGACUGUCGUCAUCGUCACCCUAUGAACAAUUCCAUGCUCAGAAAUCAGAGAUGAGAGCCCCAAGACAGUCGCCUGCACCACCGUCUUAGAAAAGUGAGCCAAAAUCUCGCGAGAUUCAAGCCGCGCACGAGCGAAUCCGAAGGACAAACCUCCGAUAAAAAUUUCUCAUCCUCUCUCUUCAAUUUCAUAUUUGUUGUUAGAUUAAAAGGGAAAAAUAUGAGAACUAACUCGAGCAAAUGUUCUGGAUGUAAGCUAAAAGAUCAAUUUAGCUUUUCUUCCCUGUCAAUUUAGUGCUUUUUCUUUUCUUAUUACCUUUAGGAGUUAAUUUUUUGAGAUAUAAUAUGACUAACAAAUUUACUGUUGCCUCUGUCAUCUUUUUUGCUGAAGAUUUCUUUUUUAAAAAUUGUAUGCCAUGACAAAAUAAGGGUUGUAUUCAAUUGAAAAUUUGAGAGAUUUUAAUGAAUUUAUAAAUCCAUGAAUUUUUAUGGAGUUUAAUUGAUAUGUAGAGAUUUCAUAUAAAAUUUUGAUUCAAUUCUCUCAAAAUCUCAUGGGGAGAGGUGAGAUUUGUAGAUGCUUAAAAUACACUACGAAAUAUCUCAAAUUCCCUCUAAUUCCUCAACUUUCUCAAAUUCUUUAAAAUCAAUUUCUAAUUGAAUACACCUAGAAUGUUAUAAACUUUUUUAAAAUCCUAAUUGAAUACACCGGAUUUCUAAGGAUUUUAAUAAACUAUCUUAAAAUUAUAAUUGAAUACAUAUUGAAUUUCAGAGAAUCACUUAAAAAUCCUAAUUGAAUACCCCUAGAUUCAUAUAAAGAAUUAAAAUCCCUCAAAAUCCCAAUUGAAUACACCCCUAAAUUUACAAAUUGCUAAUUUUCUGUUUUGUAUAAAAUCUUUGUUCACUCUACCUGAACAGGUACACUUGACUGAUAAGGAAAGUCUUCAUAUUAAAUCCAUGUUAGCCUCUAUCGUGUUCUUUGUAUUUCGUUAUCUGAACUCUGUUAUUUGAAUUUGGUCACCUGAAUUGUGCCUAAUAUUUGAUGUGGCUAGUAGCCUUGUAUGGUUGGCUGGUGUGAUUUGGGAGUGCUUUUGGUCAAUGGGAGACAGGGGACACAGGUGUGGAGCAGCAAAGUCAAGUGGGAUUAGGAAUUUAGGAUGGUAGAAUUUUUGCUAAUUUAUGGGAUUAGAAGUCUUCCUUUAUUUUUGUCUUGGUGUGAUCAAUUGUAACAAAGAAUUUUCAUUAAAUUGAGGUAGUGAACCUACUAAUUUUCAUAUGUUGUUUGUCUACAGUCUUCUCCAUUCUCUUGGACCAAGCAUGAAAUCCCAAGCACUAUAUCACCACAAAGCAAGCAAGCUGAAAGCAAUCCAAAGAAACCCUUUUUCCAGAAGCACUUAACAAAACCUUUCUAUGGAUGAAUUGUUGUUUCAAUUAUACCAGAUUGAAAACAAGUAUGGAACCAUUGAUCAAGCAUACGGGGCUGUCGCCCAAACCUAUAUUAAGUGGGCAACAAGCAUGGUUGUGUCCUUAGAUACAGGUGUGCCCUGUUAAAUGUAAUCUUGUCUUGGCCCAAAAUAAUGGAUCCAGCCCAUGCACAAAGAAAGAUUCAUGCACAUGCUAGAGAAUUUUAGUAAAGUUCAAGUUGGUGGAAGAGUCUAGAAGAAUGAUGAAGAUUCCACCAACAUACAAGAUUAGUGUAGAUAAUACUAGCAUAGAAAGGUAGUGGAAUUAUCUAGAUAUAUCUAGCAUGAUGUUUCCAUGCUUCUCCAAGGUUCCAUCCAUGCCUAUAAAAGGAGGAGGCAUCCACACCAUUUGGAACAACCAAGAGAGCAAGUAGUGAGAAGUGAGAAGAAGCAACAAAGCUUCUAAGAGUGUUUGAGUGUUUCCUCUUGUACUAAGUUUGUUAGUGAAUAAAAAUCUUGUGUAAUACAUUGAGUGUACUUUCUUUCUCUUGCUUAUCAGUUCCGCUGCAUUACAUUAUUCUUUGUGAGAUAAACGUUUCCAAAGUAGUGAAGUCUUUUUAAGCCCCAAUAUGCCCUAGGUCAUGUGCCAACAAGACGAUGCUCCUGCAUCCGCGGUGAGGCUUUUGUAGUAUGUUUUCAUUUGUAUUGUAUUGUAUUGACUUUGACCUUUUUGAUCAACGUCCAAUAGCAGUAGGUGCAGUAAUUCUCAAACCCUAAUUUUAACUGUUUGGAUCAUUGCAGAUUUGGGUUAUUUAUUUAUUUAUUUUAAUUGCGUUGCUUCUACUUGCUGUAUAUUGGCUGAUGGAUUUCAGAGUAUUUUUUGUUUUGUGACUGGAUUUCGUUGUGUCGGAUUAGUUUGGUUUGCUAUGAUCGGUGAACCUUAUGUUAUUUUUUAUGGGUUUGGUUAACAUGGUUUUCAUUCCUUUUCAGAUUUGUUUCGACACACACUUCUCAAAAUUUGCGGGAUGCUAUGAUGAUAUUUUCUAUGAUGUAAACAAAUUAACUAUUUAAUGUCAAUAGUUUGUGUUAUAUAAAGCUACGCAUGUUAGGAGUAAAGUAAUUUAUUAUUUGUUCUUAGCCCCUGGUUUAUAAAUCCCAACUUUAAAAUUCCCAGUGGAUGUGUCUGUUAAUCGAUUGCGUUUGGGAUAGAAAUUUGUGUGUUUUAUUUAUUUAUUUAUUCGGGUUUUUGUAGCUGAUGCUGAUACAUAUUAGGUUUUGUGUUACUGGGUUUUAUCACUAAUUAAUUGUCAAUUGGAUUUUCCGGUUUCAAAAAUAGGUGAGGCGUCGACUAAUCAGCUGGCUGAUCAGCAGAUGCCAGUGUAUAAUCUUGCAUCGAAGAUUCUUUGUUGGGUUAUCAAUGUAUUAUUGAAGGUUGUGGUGGCUGAUCUGAUAAAGAAAACUAAGAAUUUUAGAUUUAAUUGUUUAGCUGCUUCUUUUCUACUCAAGUUAUUGGGCUUUGCAAGGGAAUAAUAUGUUUCUUUCUGCUGAAUUAUAGGCUGAACCAGACACUGAAGAAUUAUUUGCACAACUCACUUUACUUCCCAAAUCAAAUGUAAGUUGUUAGCUUGAGAAUUCUGAUUUAUUGUGGGCGGGUAAAAUUGAUUAUGGGUUGAGAUUCUGUUGGUUUGAUGUUCUUAUAAAUUUGAGCAAGAUGAGAAUGCAGUGGAGAAGGAAAUAACAUAGGCACGCGUCCUUAAAUGUGAAAAGACUUUGGUUAGGCAAAGCCAAAUUAAGGAAGAGAAGAAUAGGUAGAGGCUAAAACCUAAUCAAGUGGAAAUUUUAGGUAUAAAAUGUGCAGUGAGUCAAGAAAUUAUACAAUGGUGUCCAGCUGCUUUCCACCACGGCCACGUUAAACGGCUUAGUUCUUUUUCCAAGUGCAAGAAAUAAAUGGCACUUGAAUCAUAGAAAUAUUAACAUCUAUAUACUCAAAUGAAAAAAACUGCAUAUUUGAAAGGAAAAAACACACCAGCACACACUUGGAAAUAGCUGGAGAUAUUGGCAAACCUCACAAUGUAUAUGCAUGCUUUAGCGAUAUUUAUAAUGAGGAUAUUUAUAUUGGCAAACCUCACUUAUGCUCUGUACACAUUCUACUGUUUAAGUAAUGAACAAAACUAUUCUCAAUGUCUCUAGUUAUUCAUUUAUUAUCUUCAACGAUUUCGAAACCUGCUACUAUAGUUUACAGAAUGGUUAUGUCACACUCUGCUAUUCUUCCUGUCAGAAUCGGGAAGGUUUGCAUCUAUUCAAAUAAUGACUUCUAAAUUUUGUCUUUACAGGGAGGCUUGAUUGAUAGUGACGCUUUAACCCACAAGAGGAAUGUUAAUACCACAACGCAGUUCAAGUUGGGCCACUGGUGACUUUUCUGCUUAAAUGGAUUCAUCAACUCAAUUUUGUCGUUAAUUUUUGUUUUGAGUCCAUUUUCCUUGAUGAUGUUGUAUUAGGAUUUUAAGCUUAGUCGUUCAGGCGUGACACAUUUUCAGUGGGAAGUCACAAGCAUAAUUCAUUUUUCUUAAAUUAGACUCAAGAUUUUUAUGUGCAUUAUUCUUCUGUUUUACGAAUAUAAUUGGCUAAGCCUUAAUGAUAUUGUUGACGAAUCUUCACAAAAGGAUUUAAUUGCCUAAGCCUUAUAUGUUCAUCCGUUUUACGAAUUUAAUUGGCUAAGCCUUAUAUGUUCAUCUUUUGUGAGUAUUCAUUCUAGGAUUCUUCACAAAUUUCUGAGAAUUUCAUUUGAUCCAUACUAUGGCCGUUGAAAUGUUAGUACCUUUUUUAAAUUCAAUUUUUUUUAUUUACAGAAUUGUAUAAUCCUACAAGAAGAGAAGAGAACAUGUGAUCACCUACAAGAGUGGGUCGUCAAAAACACAAAUAGAUUUUCUUCUAAUGAGGAAAGGGGACCGUAUAACUUGUAAGGAUUGCAAAGUUAUACGGGGAGAGAGCUUGGCUAAUCAACAUCGCUUGUUGGUGAUGGAUGUACAUAUCAAAAGAGAGAGAAAAAAGAACAAGACUUGGAAGUGCCCAAGGACUAGAUGGUGGAAUCUAAAAGGAGAAAAACAAGCCAUUUUCAAAGAGACAGUAAUCACCCAAUGCGUGUGGGAUAGAGAGGGGGAAGCUAGCCAAAGGUGGGAUUCCAUGGCUAGUUGUAUCUGAAAAGUAGCAAAAGAGGUAUUAGGAGAGUCCAAGGGCUUUGCUCCACACCAAAAGGAAUCUUGGUGGUGGAAUGAGGAGGUACAAACAAAGGUGAAGGCUAAGAAGGAAUGUUGUAAAGCCUUAUACAAGGAUACGACCAAUGAAAAUGGUGAAAGGUAUAGAAAAGCAAAGCAAGAGGUGAAGAAAGCUGUGAGAGAAGCUAAGCUAGCGGCUUAUGACGAUAUGUAUAAGCGACUAGAUACCAAAGAAUGAGAGUUGGAUAUCUAUAAACUAGCUAAAUCAAGGGAAAAGAAGACAAGGGACCUAAACCAAGUGAGGUGCAUCAAUGAUGAGGAUGGAAAGGUUCUUGCUACAGAGAACGCGGUCAAAGACAGAUGGGGAGGUUAUUUUCAUAAUCUUUUCAAUGAAGGACAUGAAAGGAGUACUUCUUUAGGGGAGUUAAGUAACUCAGAAGAGUGUAGAAACUACUCCUUUUACCGCCAAAUUAGGAGGGAAGAAGUGGUUGUAGCUUUGAAAAAGAUGAAGCAUAGAAACGCGAUGGGCCCAAAUGAUAUACCGAUUAAAGUGUGGAAAGUCUUGGGAGAGACGGGUAUAGCAUGGCUCACUGACCUUUUCAAUAGGAUUUUGAAAACGAAGAAGAUGCCAAAUGAGUGGCGAAAGAGCACUUUGGUGCCUAUCUACAAGAAUAAGGGUGACGUACAAAAUUGCAUGAACUAUAGGGGUAUUAAGCUAAUGAGCCAUACAAUGAAGCUCUGGGAGAGAGUCAUUGAGCAUAGAUUGAGGCAAGAGACACAGGUUUCGGACAACCAAUUCGGAUUCAUGCCAGGGCGCUCAACCAUGGAGGCAAUCUAUCUCUUACGAAGAUUGAUGGAAAGAUAUAGAGAUGGGAAAAAGGAUUUACACAUGGUCUUUAUAGAUUUGGAAAAAGCGUAUGAUAGGGUCCUAAGAGACAUUCUUUGGAAGAUUUUAGAGAAGAAAGGAGUACGAGUAGCAUAUAUCCAAGCUAUAAAGAUAUGUAUGAUGGAGCAAGGACUGCCGUAAGAACUCAUGAAGGACAAACCAAAAGCUUCCCCAUAACUGUAGGGUUACAUCAAGGCUCAUCCUUAAGUCCUUACCUUUUUGCUUUUUGCAGUGGUAAUGGAUGAGUUAACAUGACAUAUUCAAGAUGAUAUUCCUUGGUGUAUGCUUUUCGCAGAUGAUAUAGUGUUGAUAGAUGAAACUCAGGAAUGGGUAAAUGUGAAGCUUAACCUUUGGAGAGAAGUGUUGGAUUAGGGGUGAGGAUCGGAGAUCAGGAAAUACCAAAGAGCGACCGUUUUUGCUACCUAGGAUCUAUCUUGCAAAAGAACGGAGAAUUAGAUGGAGACCUCAACCAUAUAAUACAAGCUGGAUGGAUGAAGUGGAAGGGUGCAUCAGGCGUGUUGUGUGACCGCCGUAUGCCACUGAAGCUCAAAGGAAAAUUUUAUAGGACGACAAUAAGGCUGGUGAUGCUGUAUGGCACAAAAUGUUGGGCGGUGAAGCAUCAACACGUACAUAAAAUGGGUAGCGAAGAUGAGGAUGCAUCGUUGGAUGUGUGGGCACACGAGAAAGGAUAAGAUUAGGAAUGAGGAUAUCCGAGGUAAAGUAGGAGUAGCCGAAAUUGAAGGAAAGAUGAGAGAAAAUCGGUUACGGUGGUUUGGACAUGUGCAAAGAAGGCCUACUGACGCUCCAGUUCGAAGAUGUGACUACGGGACAGAGGUUCGGGGCCGAAGGGGUAGAUGAAGACCUAGGAAAACUUUGGAAGAGACCCUAAGAAAAGACUUAGAGUACUUGGAUCUCACGGAGGACAUGACAGAGAACCGAGCACAAUGGCGUUCGAGGAUUCAUAUAGCCGACCCCACUUAGUGGGAAAAGGCUUUGUUGUUGUUGUUGUUGUACAAAAUUGUAUAAUCCUUUUGAAGCAGUGGGGAGCUGCGGUUUCACUCACGCUUUCAAAUUUUGACCACUCGCUCAUUGUAAUAUCUCUCUCUCUUUCUCUCUCUCCCUCCAUCCCUCCCUCCCUCCCCUAUUACAUUUGGGUUUUCUCCUGUUUCUCUUUUUGUUGAUCUAAUUUGUGGUGAAGCUGUUUAGUUUGCUUGAAUUGGAAUGUGGGUUUAAUUGAGUUUCCUUUUGUUUGUCAAUUCGAUUUUGGGAGGAUUGGCAUGUGGUUGUUCAGGCCUUUACAACCACUUUGUGUCUGGCAAAGGUAAUAAUAUUACUCUUCGUUUCAUAAGCUUCAUUUUUAAUGCCCAGAAAAAUUUGGAAUUGAGAACAUGAUGGGGUUUUAGGCAAUACCUAAGUUCUGUAAUUUUCCCCGUUUGUUGUUAUUAGCAAUUUCUUGAAUCAUGUUAGUUUGAUAGUGUUCUGCUGCCCAGGAUUUUUUUUUUGAAUUUAAAAUAUCAUGGGAUUGGGGUUUUAAGAUUUUAACAACAAUUGGUAAGAAUUUUGGUGAAUUUUGAUGCUCAAUGGACUUUGUUGAAAAUUUGGAAUUAAGACCAUGAUGGGGUUUUGGGCAAUACCCAAGUUCUGUAAUUUUCCCCGUUUGUUGUUACUAGCAAUUUCUUCGUUCAUGUUAGUUUGAUAGUUUUUUGCUGCGCAUAUUUUUUUUUUUUGAAUUUAAAAUAUCAUGGGAUUGGGAUUUUAAGAUUUUAACAACAAUUGAUAUGAAUUUUGGUGAAUUUUGAUGCUCAAUGGACUUCGUUAACAGCUUCUAACUUUGUUAUGCAUUGAAAUAUUGGUGGGUUUUCGUCAGAGUUUGCUUAUAUCUUUGUAUAGUAUGUCUGUUGUAUUAUCUUGUCACAGAUACCUUAGUUCAGUAACUUGAGAAGCAGGGGGAGAUAAUAGACUAAUCAAGGAGGUGCAUGUGAUAAACGAUAAACAAGUAAGCAUCAUCCUCUUCCUUCUUUUGUUAUGGUUGGUUGUAUAGAGAAUUGAGAAAAAAGUUGAAGACAAUUUUGCGCUUUUGAGUUAUAUCAAUAAAAUGACAUUGAUUAGUUCACUUAAGUGUUGAAUCAUUCGUUAGUUUAUCUGUGGUGUGUGCUUGAGAAUGAAAGCAAUGGACUUUAUAUGGAAUUGAUGUUCCUUUUAAUGUCACUAAAGAAAGGAGUUGUUCCUUUAUUAGCAAUUAUAUGAAGUAGGCAUAUUAUGCAAUACAAUGUCUACAAUCGACUAUUUUACUUUUUGUAUAGUACAACUGUUGAUCGAAAGCCACAGAAACUACCUAAAGGUCAAAGAACUGUUUGUGUUAGAAGAACAGAAUAUGGUGUAAAGCUUAAAUUUUGGGCACUUUUUUUCAAUUACAAUAACUUGCAUGAAAGUUCAAUUGGGUUUGUUAUGGUCUCCAAGAAUUUUGGUUUGUUUGGUUACUAAUUAAUUUAUGUGGUGGGAGUUUAGUUUUUCCUUUUCUGCCUAUUUAUCUAUGAUUCAAAAUGGACCGUACAAUUUGCUAUAUAUAAAUUUGUAAUAAAAAAGCUCGAAAAAGAGGUGAAUUAGAAACAGUGAUGAUAGAGUGAUGGAGUUGAGAAGUCAAGAGUUUACGGGGUUUACUUGAAUUUUUGUAUGAUGUCCCUGGUAUGUUAGAUCAUUGAGACUAACUGUCUAGUUGGUUAAUCACUAAUUUGAAGUAUUUAAAGUGUAACUUUCCUUUAAAUCCUUUUCCUUUUGUAUUUUCAUUGGAGCACAGAUAAAAUAUAUUUCUUUUAUCUUUUUCAACCCCAAACUUUCAUUGUCUUCUGAGAGUGGUCCAACUAGAGAAUUGGAUGACAAGUUUAGGUUUAAUACAUACUUGAGUUCCCACAAGGAAGAUGGUAUUUUAGAAGUUACCAAAUUGGACACUAAGGAUAGACUUCUUAAAGAUACUGCUACAGUACCCAAGCAGGAAGGAAUAGAACCAGAUAGACUAUUACCGCCCAAAAAUAAAUUGGCUAGGUUGUUUAGUUGACAGAGUUCAUACGGGAUAUGUCCUCCCAGUUCGUUAUCAUUCAAUACAAACCUUGGAGAUUUUGUAGCUGUCACACCCUGAUCCCGACAUACGUUCAGGAUCGAUACGUGACGUCACAAAAAACUCGUGUCUCUCACAUGCCCCGCCUCCAAGAUAUGGCAAAUUACAACUCGAGAAUCAAAUUGCAAAUAAAUUUUUCGUAUACUUUAGGGCUGCAUCUAACUUCCUCGUUAGACUGCCUACGUACCCUCAUUAGGGAUCAAGCCAUUCGUAGUUCGUUAUUCACUAAUUUAGACAAUUAUUCCAGUGCGUUCUAACAGGAAUACAUAACAUUUUGUAAUAAAUUAUUAGAACUUGACAUGCAUGACAUUACCAAGUUCCGGCUACAAAACAAACCAACAUACUGUUCAAAAUUCUCAUUCCAUCCAUCAUAUAAAUUCCAUAUUUUCAGCACGAUACUUCCAUUCACAACAUGUAACAUAUCAAAUAACCAACGAAGCACAUAAUAUUCUCAAGCCACAUUGAUCAACUAAAAAUAAUCAUAAUAAUAACAACCAUAACCAAGGUCAUUCCCCAAUCUCGUCAAUCAAUCAAUUCAUGAAUUAAAGAUACAUGAUCUUAGCAUUUAAUUAUGUUAAUCAAUGCAUGUAGUAACAUAUCAUUUCACAAUUUAACCCAGGGAACUCUAUAUAAUACCCUUCUUGGAUUAUGAGCAAUAACAUGGUAAAUCUAUUUUAUAUUCACAAGGUCUAAUGUGGAUAAUUCUCAUUCACUUGGAUCUAGAGUUCUAGACUAACCCUUUGGAAAUAUGUGAGAGUAAGGAUUCCGGACCACUUAACAGAAUCCAACCAAAUCGGGUUCCGGACCACUCAACGGAACCACCAUGUCAAUCGGUUUCUCGUAAUCUAUCCAGACCUGUUGUAUGUAGAAUCAGUGCCAUCGAUCACAGUUAUAAAUCUCAAAUAUAAGUUCAUAAAUAUGAAUACAUAGACAAGUCUUAAUAACUCUGAAGGAAUCACCCAGACAUCCAACGACUUUUAUAAUUCAAACCACAAGAUUCUCAAAAUCCAUCGUUCAUAUGUACAUUAAACGCUAGGGUUAGAGGAACGCAGUUGGGCUGAAGCCUACAUAAGUAACCAAACAGGAAUAAGUAACCAAACAGGAAGUGGCCCCCCAAAGUGGAUUAACCAAGCAAAGACACCCUUGAGAAAAUAACCAAGUAGACAGUGACCUCCCAAUGCGGAUUAACCAAGCACAGUCACUCAUAUAGCUGUUAGAAAGUGAUCACCCAAUGCAGAUUAACCAAGCAUGAUCACUCUUAAGCAUACAUGCCAUAAGAAUCGCCCAAUGCGGAUUAACCAAGCGCGAUCCAUAUAUAGUAUGGUCCCUCAAUGCGGAUUAACCAAGCAGGACCACUAUUGACCCCCCAAUGUGGAUUAACCAAGCAGGGUCAAAAUAACUAAGUAGGUAGAGACUCCCCAAUGCGGAUUAACCAAGCAGAGUCACACCUACAAAACUGUUAGGCAGUGAUCACCCAAUGCGGAUUAACCAAGCAUGAUCAUCCCUAAGUAUAAAUGGCCAUAAGGAUCGCCUAACGCGGAUUAACCAAGCAGGACCAUCCGUGUACCGCUGCUACAUGGUGCAGAAAAUUCAAUACACACAACUUACCCAUCAUUUACCCCCAUGGGUUACAACAUAAUCACCUACACCAACAAUUCUCAUGCCCACCAACUCAAAUGCCCCACAAGCAUAUAAGUUCUACAAAAAUACUUCUAAUAGGAAUCUACGAUCAUAUUGUCACAACAUUUAUCGGACUUACCCUUCACGUUACUAAAAAGAUAAUUAAACGCACAUAUAUCACAAUCAUCAUCCGUACACAAGCCAAUUCAUGUUUAAUAAACAUAAGUCUAUGGCUAAACAUAUAUAUAUAAAUCAUAUUUCAAUAGAAAUCCUAUUUAUAAGGCCAAUUCAUAUUCACAAUUGAUAUCAAUAUAAGAAAUUAAGAUAAUAAACAAUAUCAAAAAUAUUCAAGUCACUCUCCAACCAAUGUAGGCCCACUCGACUUCACUUAAGUCUCCCGUAGUACUAAUUUUUGUAUCCAGAACGUCUCGAGACAUGUUGACCAAAAGUUAAACUCGAUUUAGUAAAUUCCACAAUUCUACACAAUUCAAUACGGAAAAUCAGAGCAAACGGAUUUAUACCUAUGAACCAAAGUCCACAUUAUGGCCUAGAAACAACCUCAAUUUCACUCAAUUCGCGUCGAAACCCUAGAAAAAGGUGCAGUUCAAUUCAACGUCAAGCUCAAUUCCGCCGCCUCCAAUGUCGAUUGGGCUUUGUUCCUGGACUCCAAAGACACCUGAGGGUGGUGAUGGUUGAAGAAAAUCCCUUCGGAAAUGAAACGGAUUGCCCCGUGGCAAACACCCAAAUUGUUCUUCUUCACGAAAUUACCCCCAAAUUCCUUCAAAUUUUGGAUGAAAAUGGAAGAGGGAAUGGCGAGAUGAUGCUCGGGCAUGUUAAAUUGGUCCAAUUCGACGGAAAUCCGAUGGAAAACCAUCGAAAAAUAUGGAAAAAUGGGUUGGGUCGCGCGGGUCAAGGAGAAGAACCGUUUUCCCCCUCCUUCUCACCUUCCCUCCCUUCCCUCCUUUCUCCCUUUCUGAUUGGGCACUCCCUUUUCUCUCCCCCCUUUUCAUUGGUUCCUUUAACUCACAUAAAUAUCCUUUUCCUCUUCCCCACCAGAAGGGAAUUUAUAAUAAAUUUAAAAUCUAUAGAUUAGUAACACAACUUCAAAUGUCCGUAUCUAUACCGUUAUAAUCCGGACUCGCAAAUGGCUUUUGCCUAUGUGCUCGUAGUUUCAAAAUCUAUUUGAAUACGUUACUUGUGACCUUGAAAGGUCAACGAAUUUUAGAUAAUUACUUUCCAAACUUCAAAUUUCAUAACUAAUUUAAUUAAACUCUAAAUUCAAACAAUUUAAAAUAAAUUCUCGAAAAAAUAAUAUAAAAUCUCAAUAAUACAAAUUUGUAGGUGAUAACAGUGAAAUCCAAGAACGGGAUUUCACAAUAGCCUUUGUAUUGAAGUUGGAAUUGCUCUGCUCAACUGAUUAUUUCCCAAGCUUAAAUCUAUCAAGUUGUUGAAGUUUCCAAUAUCAACGGGAAUGUUACCCUUGAUGUUGGAAAUGCUUAAAUCAAUAGACUACAACAGUUUGAGUAUUUUACGACUUGAAAUAUACGGUGUACAAACGGGCAUGCCUUAAAUGAUAUUAUUCAUGACAUUCAUAAAGUUCAUGUCGUAAUACUUGCUCAUAAUCUCGCAUUCACGACAUCACUUUUAUGCUAGUCAUUAAAUAAAAAAAAAUUUAAGUGUUGUGUGGCAUAUUUGACAAUUUAUACGAUGCACUUUCCUUCUCUUUUAAGGCUUUAUGUUAUGUCGUAGAGUAAAUUUUCUAUAUAUUUGGGUAACUACGUUUUAUAGCACGAAUAACACGUCAUAAAUAAUGGCGUCUAACUUCCGCCUAAAUUUCUCACCCCGUGCGUUCUUUUAUUUUUCUUGAAUCAAGAUCUCACGGCUUCCUCAACAUCCCUUUAUUUUUCUUUAAUAAAUGAUGAACCGGUACCCAGCCUGGACUGUUGAUUUCAGAUCCAAAGAUAUUCAAUCUACACCUAUCUCAGGUUUUGUCUGUCUCUCUCUGCCUUUCUCACGCAGUCUCUUUCUCGACUUUCACUCUUUUCAUAUUCGUAUCUCCCAAUCCCAACAACCUCGAUAUCUCUCUCGUCUCAAACCACGGUACCACCAUCAUCUUGUGUCAACUCUCGACUCUUUCCCACCACCUGCACUUGACGGUCCUGACUCCUGACCACCAUCUAUGUUCCAAAUAAGGUAUGCAGUUAGGGAUUUAAGAUUGAAAUAAAUUGGGGUUUUCUAGAUUUAGGGAUUUGAAUUUGAAUUUAGAGAUUUGGAUUUCGUCAAUUCUGGAAUCAAAUGUUAAUUAUAAUUUGUUUAAUUUUUGGCAAUUUGAGUGCAAAAUUAGGGUAAUUAGUGCUGUAGUUUUGUUUUAGUUUCUGUCAUCUGUCAGUACAAAAUCACGGCUUUUAAUUUUCAGUUUACAAGUCAUCAUAAGGAAUAGAUAAUUCUAGAAUUAUAGUGCAAACUCUUGAUUUUCAGUUUUAGACUUGGUUAUGUUUCAAAAUUCUGAAUAGUUUUAAUUAUGGUGUUGGGGAUUUGUUAAUUUUGCUCUCUCUCUCUCUCUUUAUGAUUUGGUUGGGAUUGCAGAGUGACUUGUGUUUCUUUGUAUGCACGCCCCGGACAUCCAGGUCACAUGGGGUAACUCAGCAAGGUUCUACUUUUGCAAAGGAGAUGGAGUUGUUACAGACUUAUAGUGAUACUGCAAUCCAAAUAAUCUGUUUUGAAAAUCCAAAUAAUCUGUGAGUAUGUUGUAGUAGUAGAAUAACACUGUGGGGCUUUAGCCUAGUACUUCAAUUAUUGACUUUGUUGCUUAGCCUAGUACUCUGUGAGUCUGUUAUAGUAGUAGUGUAGUACUUUGUUUAGUUUGUACUAUUGGAUAUUGGAUAAAAAUGAUAAUUUGAUUGAGUUCCUUUGGUAUGAUUUAUAUUCACUUAUUUAUUCUAUUUCUUUUUACUAUUUUUCAGGUAGCAUUCAAGUCUUUGGUGAAUUUUUAAAUGAAGAGGUUGCAAAUGCAACGGUAACGAGUGGAAAAGUUUAUACUUAAUUUUAUUAGUAUUAAAGUCUUUAUCAAUUUCUCAGUUAACAUUUUGUUUUGACUAGCUCUUAACUUACCAAUCGAAUCCAUCUCCUUUGACUAGCUAGAGUAUCUUGGUUGGGAAUUCUAUCCAUUCCCAGCGCCUAGUUUCCAAAGACGAAGUUGAGACAGGUUGGGAACUCUCUCUUUCUCUCCUUUUGUUUUAGUUCCCAAUAAAGUUGAUUGGAUUGAAGAAAAUAGAACAAUAUGAUUAUUAAUGAAAUUAUUGUAUUAUAGUAAAUGUGUAAUUUUGUCGAUUCUUUUAUAUAUAUAUAUAUAUAUAUAUUUAUAUAUUAAAAAUUAAAAUUAAAAUAAAUGUAAGUUACUGUAUGCAAAAUCAGCAGUAAUUGUUAAUGCUAGUCUUCGUUUACGAUGAACGACGUAUGCCGUAAUUGGUUUCACAGUGUUACGACACUCAACAAACGCGGUAUCAAAUAUAAAUUACGGCACACAGGCAUGCCGUAAUUGUUUUUGCAAUAUUAUGACACUUCAUUAACGUUGUAUCUAAUACCAAUUAAGACGCGCAACGCACGCCUUAAAGGGCAUUUACGACGUGUUUUGCUUAAAUUAUUCAUGGCUACUAGAGAACGUUUUUUUACAAAAACAUAUUUUACGGCAGGGGUUUUUACUGCUUGGGGACUCACGCCAUGAAUAAUUGUUUACAACGCUCUUUGUGCGCCGCAAAAGACCAAUCCUGUUAUGUAACAAAUGCUCAUUUUUCUUUUGCACUCUUUUAUGAAUUUCAUUUGGAUGGGAAUGGUUAGGUGACAUUACUUGUUACACCAAAAAAGGUCUGGUUUUGGUAUAAAAGCUUAACUGCAAAAAGGCAUCUGAAAGGUUUCGUUUAGCUACUAAGAAAGUUUGGGAGGGGCCAAACGUCUUAGGUUGAGAUUACAUAUACAAGGGUGUUAGAUUUACAUAAUGGGUUUACAUAAUGAGUUGUUGAUGACUACAUACGCAUUGAGAAUUUAGCUUUUGUCUUUGUGUCUGAUGAGGUAGUGGUUUUUUUUUUUUUUUUUUUUUUGGUGUCAUUCCAUUUUAAUCUUAGUUCCAUUUAAAUGAAGACAUUUGAAGAACCUAAUGUAAAACAUCCGUACAAGCAAAACACAUCUUAGCAACGCCAAUAAAAUCAUCUACGAGAGUUGAUCCAAUCCAGGCAGGCCGCAUUGGCGGGGGGGGGGGGGGGUUAUUGAAGACAAAGUUGCCGAGAUCCAUAUUAAAACUCCAAUUUUGCAACUGAUGAGCAACACAAUUCCGCUCCUUGGAAACAUGCUUCAUGCUUCAGGUCAGCUCACAUCUAACCAAUUGACUCAUCAAUGUUUUGCAUCUACUCACAAUUGUAUCAAGAGGAUAAUAGCUCUCAACCAAAUUUUGUUAGAACAAAGUGACAGCAAACACCUUUGUCAAUAAAAUUUCUGUGUCCCAAAUUGACAGAGAACUCCACCUGCACCAAUCUUGAACCAUCAAUAUUAUACCAACGAAUAUUAGGAGGUUCCCAAGCAAUGGGAGCAGCCUUCUAUUAGGUUUAUGGGGGAGAACCAACUCAAGCUUUCACCCAGUUCUUGACAUUUUGCGUGUUUACUAACAAGCAUGGAAUCUGAAGGGCUAGUUGAUUCGUAACUCAAUACUUGAAAAUUAGGAAUCAAAUCAAAAUGUUUAUUUUUUAUUGAUAACACAUUUGCAUAUUUAGUUUAAAAUUUUGGUUACCUGUAUUAUCCUAAUGCAAAUAUCUUUUGACAAAUAAAAAAUACAUACAAUGAUAAUUUUGAGUGGUGAUAUCCACACUAGGGGUGCAACUUGAGUUAGGCCAAUCCGAACUCGCACAUGUCCAACUCGACUUUAAACCCGAACAAGAAGGUUUUUUUUUUUUAAGUUAUAACCCGCCCGAACGUAACCCAUUUCAACUCGUUCAUUGAUUGGGUUAAGUUGGGUUGAUCAUUUGUGUGAAAUUCUGUUCCUAGAUUUCACUGUUAUAAUCUACGUAUUUGUAUUAUUGAGAUUUUAGAUUAUUUCUCGAGAAUUUACUUUAAUUUGUUUGAAUUUAGAUUUUAAUUAAACUAGUUACGAAGUUUGAAGUUUAGAAAUUAAUUAUUUAAAAUCAUAGACUUUUCGAGGUUAUAAUUUAUAUCUUCAAAUAGAUCUCCAAAGCACGAACGCAUAGGUGAAAGCCGUUUGCAAGUCCGGAUUAUAACGGUAUAGUUACGGACAUUUGAAGUUGUUUUACUAAAUUAUAGAUUUUAAAUUUAUUUUAAAACUCCCACCUUGUGGGAAAGGGACCAUUGAGAUAAAAGGGUGAGGGACCAAUUAGAAAGGAGGGAUGUUUCUUAAAUAAAUAAAAAAAAAAAAGAGGGAGGAGGUCUGAUUCUAACCCGUUUUGGGGGGAGAUUGGACUCGUUAACCCACCAACUUGACCCACUUGUAUCUCCUCUGUUCGAGCUUCGUUUUGGGUGAUCUUGGUGUCCAUGGAAAGCUCUUGACGAGCCCUACAUCUCUGUAGUGUUAGAUUUCCCAUUUUCUUUUCCAUCUUUGCAGUUCGAAGCCACAAAGCUCACGACUUUUUCGGCGAUUUUAUCAUUUUUCUGGUGAUUCCGGCAACCAUUUCCUUUGAUUGAGGUAUGAAACUUCAUCUACUCUUCAUAAUCUUCAAGUUGGUAUGCUUAGUUUGUGCUUUUGUAUUCAUUUUAGAGUUAGGUGUUUAGAACCCUAGAAAUCCGGUUUUCUUCGAUGAAUUUGGACGGUUUCCGGUUAGAAUUUAUUGUCGGCCUAGAUGUGAAGUGUUUCCUUUGUUGAGCUCUAGCUACCACGUAAAUUUGAGCUCACUUAGUUAAUGUUGAAAAUUCAGGUUUUCUAAACCCUCCACCUUGGCUACCACCACGUGUGGCGGUGCGUGGGACGGUCUACGAGUAUUGUCUAAGUACCAUAUACCUUCUAGUGACCCUAUGAACCUAUGUCUAGCUCGGUUUCCUGAAAUUCAAUUGUUUGGUGUGGUGAUUAAAUUGGACCACCACUUGUUUGUGUGAUUGAUAACAAUCCGAUCGUUGGAUCGUCGUACAAUUUUGUGAGCACCCUAGUUAUCAGUUGUUGGACCUUUGAGAACUUAUAGAUCGGAAAUCCAAUGUGCAAAUCUUCCGGAUUGAAUAACCUUAGAUUGUUGACCUUAAUGGACCUACCUUAUCGACGGUUGACGUUCUAGUCAACGUGCUCUACUCUAGAGUGUCGUUUAUCUCUAGUUUGUUGUUGAGGCUUGAUGGAGCUUAGUUGGCUCAUUACGAUGACGUGUUGUUCCCAGUUGACGUGUGUCUCGAUAUAUGUAUUAGUGGGACCAUAUUGAGUUAUACUUGUUUAUUAAAUGUGCUUUCUAUUGAAUUGUUAUUUUUAUUUUUAGCAUUGAUCUAUGUUUAUUAAUUGUGAAUCGACUGUAGCUUGGAAACGUUUAUGAAAUGUGGUUAGAUAUGUAUGAUUAGUAUGAUGUGUAUGAUUGUUUUUAUGACAAUGUGAACCCAGAAUCUUAUGAGAAGUAUUAUGUAGAACCUUUAUGCUUGUAUGAUAAGAUAGUGGUCAUGAGAAGUUGAUAAUGCAAGUGAUUACGAUGUAAAUCAUAGCAGAUGAGUUAAGGGUAAGUGGUUUGUGUGUUGAUCUAACUGCAUCAUGUAGCAGUGGUACAUGGAUGGUCCUGCUUGGUUAAUCCGCGUUGGGGGACCAUACUAUAUAUGGAUCGCACUUGGUUAAUCUGCGUUGGGCGAUCCUUCUGGCCAUUUAUACUUAGGGGUGAUCAUGCUUGGUUAGUCUGCAUUGGGUGAUCACUGCCUAACAGUUCUAUAGGUGUGACUCUGCUUGGUUAAUCCGCGUUUAGGGGUCACUACCUACUUGAUUAUCUUGACCCUGCUUGGUUAAUCCCUAUUGGGGACCAUACUAUAUAUGGACCGCGCUUGGUUAAUCCGCGUUGGGCGAUCCUUAUGGCCAUGUAUGCUUAGGAGUGAUCAUGCUUGGUUAAUCCGCAUUGGGUGAUCACUUCCUAACGGCUGUAGAAGUGACUCUGCUUGGUUAAUCCGCAUUGGGGGGUCACUGCCUACUUGGUUACUUCCUCAAGGGUGGCUCUGCUUGGUUAAUCCGUUUUGGGGGGCCACUUCCUGUUUGGUUACUUAUGUAGGCUUCGGCCGAACUGAGUCCCUCUAGCCCUAGUUUUUUUUGGAAUCUUGGUGGUUUGAAUAGGAAAAGUCGUGGGAUGUCUGGGUGACUCCUUCGGGGUUUUCAGCUACUUGAUUAUGAUUUCAUAAAGCAUGAUUCUAUACUCGAUGUUUAUAGAUCGGGAUCGAUGGUAUGGUUUUUAUUGAAUAUCACAUAAUUGUAUUAUUGUCACUCGCCCGAGCUUCGCAACUUAACCGAGUUCUGAUUUGCCAGUGCACCAUUCCCUUGAUGUAGGCACUGAUUUUACAGAUGACAUGUCUGGGUAGAGUACGAGAAACCGUUUGGUAUUUUGGUUCCGUUGAGUGGUUCGGAAUCCUUGCUUUUGCUUAUUCCCAUAAGAUUAGUCUAGAACCCUAGAUUCGAGUGAAUGGGAAUUACCCACAAUAGACCUUGUGAAUUUAUAUACCAUGUUAUUACUCAUAACUCAAGUAGGGAAUUAUAUAGAGUUCUCUAAUUGAAUUGGUGAAAUGGUAUGUUAUCUCAUUGGUUGAUUAAUAUAGUUAAAAGUUAAAAUCGUGCAUCUUUGAUUCAUGAAUUGAUUAAUUGACGGGAUUGUGAAAUGACGUUGGAUAUAGUUGUUAUUAAUAUGAUUAGAUUAAUUAAUGAAUGUGACUAGAGGAAAAUAUUGUGCUUGGUUGAUCCUUUGAUAUGUUACAUGCUUGGAUUGCGAUAUUAUGUUGAAAACAUAGUGAUUUAUAUGAUGGGUGGAAUGGAAACCUUGAAUGUCAUGUGAGUUUGUUAUGUAGGCCUAAACCUAGUAAUUUCAUGCUUGUUAAUUCUAACAAUUGAUUGAGAAAUGCUAUGCUUUUUGAUUUGACGUACUGUGAUAAAAGUCGGUGUGUAGUGAAUGACGAACUACGAAUGGCUUGAUCCCUAUUUAGGGUACGUAGGCAGUCUAACGAGGAAGUUAGAUGCAACCAUAAAAUGUACGAAAAAUGCUAUGAAAUUUGAAUCUUGAUCUAUACUUUGUACAUAUCCCGGAGGCGGGGUAUGUUAGAUAUACGGGUAUUUGGUGAUGUCACGUGUCGAUCCUGGAUGUAUGUUGGGAUCGGGGCGUGACAAUUUGCCCGUCCAUCUCCAACCCGAUUAAUUAAACCCAAUCUAACAAGAUUGUAAAUCAUAUCAAUUUAUGCUCAUACUACAUCCAAGUGGGCCAAGUCCAAAAAUAAGAAACUUUGAUUAGUUAGCUCAUAUUCAUAAUCUCUAAAUCCUAAAGCUUUAUAAUCAUUAGUCUCCAAAACCUAAAUUCUUUGUGUUUCGAAGCAAUUGCUCAUCAACUUUGAUUUAUUUAUGAAAUUAAAGUUAACUAGCUUUGAUGCUACUUGGCUUAAUUUUUUUAGGAAUUCUUGCAAACUAAGUUAUUACAAUAUUACACUCAAAAUAGUUGGGCAACCCCGAACCCAACCAAGUAAACCCGAACCCAAUUAAACCCGAGCCCAAAUGAACCCGAAUGAAACUCAACCCAAGCCUGAAUUGUAAAAAUUGGGUUAGGAUUGGGUUGACCUUCCAACCCGUCCAACCAGCCCGAGUUGCACCGCUAAUCUAUACACUCAUUUUUACUUUUCACACACCUCUAUUAUUUCCUGACUGUCGAUCAAUUGAAACAGUCAAAUGACAUAAAUUAAUAAGUGAUGUGUGAGAAGUAGAAAUAAGUGUGCGAAGAUGCAACAAAACUAAACAGAUACCCAAAAAUACCACAACACAGAGUCGGUCAGUACAUUUCAGUUGCAAAUGAAAAUUAUAAACACUGGGAUUUGCUCUCUCUAUCGCUAAGAGAUUCUCUGUGAUCGAUAGCAAUGGCGGACAAUGGCAGUCGUCUGCAAAUGCACAACAGCGAGGAGGAGCUUCUUCUGCUUCAGAGAAGUCAGUUUCGACGACAAGCCCGACCACCGAAACCUCCUCCGAAACGUUUCGACUCUUCCCGUCUUUAAAAAAGGCCUCUUCACUCGCUGCAGCCCAUCCCUUGCCGGAAACAGUAUUCUCAGGUUUAUCUCACACAAUUACGUUUUUUUUUCCGUUUUCUUUUUAGUUGCACUGUCUGUUUGGUUCCCGAGAAAACGCAGGAAAAUUUAUAAAGUUUUGAGCUUCUGUAGGGUUUACUGAAGUGAAUACUUGACUAGGUUCAGUUGGGUUGCUGAUGAAUUCAAACAAUGAAAUUUAGACGUGAAUGCUUUUAAUUGAUUUGAAGAGAAGUUUCUGAGCUAGUUUAUUGCUUUUGAAUGUUCAAAUUGGAUCGUAUAAAUGUGUCUCUGUGAUAAUUAGAUGAUUUGUUGCUUGCAGUAUGGAUGCACGAGAGAAUUCGAGGUCCUCGAUAUUGUCAUCAUCCCUAGAUAAGAGAAUUCCCAUAUAUGUGAUGAUGCCUAUUGAUGCCUUCUGCAUUGAUGGUACGGGGCGUCCAAGGAUUAGGAAGUAAGUUUUAUUAUGACUGUCUGUUGAUGAGGCUAUGAUGCAUUUUCAUUCUUAAUUUAAUUGUUAUACUCUUUUAAACGACGGAGUUUGAUUAGCUACAAGGUUGUAGCUAACUAUUUUGAUCUCUUCCCAAUUCAAGUUAUAUAUACGUACGUUUCAAAAUGGUUCUAAAUUUAUUUAUUUUUAAUUUAGUUUCCUUUCAAGUGAGACAGAAUCUCCUUAUAUAUUGCUCGAUUUAUUGUUGUUUCAGAAUCAAGGCCUUAACUGUAGCUCUAAAAAGCACUCAAGUUGGCAGGUGUCCACGGAAUUGCAGUUGAGGUUUGGUGGGGAAUCGUAGAGCGUUUCUCUCCUCUUGCAUAUGAUUGGUCUCUAUAUGAAGGGCUUUUCUAACUGAUUUCUGACUCAGGUUUGAAGUUGCAUGUUGCCUUGUCUUUUCACUCAAAUGUUAACUCUUCUUCUAGCAGAAAAGGGGGUGUAACUCUUCCGCCUUGGAUCAUAGAGGUUUGUUUUCUCUGCAAUUUUGAAAUCCCAUUUGACUGUUUGGCCUUUAUUGGUAAAGUGCACAUGGCAGUACUGGAAUGCUUAAUUUACCCAGUCAUACUCUAUUGUGACAAGAGUAUGAACUUUUCUUCAGUUUCCUGCUCUGCAACAUGCUAUGGUCCUGUGUUCCCCAUUAGCAUACUUGAUUUUAGCUUUGAUGUGCAUAAAAAGUUUAUCUUUGCAAAGGGAUGUAACAUAAAAACGAUAGUUUGGCCUUCAUAACAUGCCCAUCAGUUUGAAUCCUGAAUUUAGAUAAAGAAGUUGACUUCUUCUGUUUUUUUUCCUCCCAGAUUGGUGAUCAGAAUAAGCAUAUAUAUUAGGGGGACCAAAAUGGAUUUUCCAAUGAUGAUUAUCUUACACUCGGAGUUGACCAUGUUCCUCUCUUUUGCGGCUGGACUGCUCUCCAAUGAUAUGAAGAUUUCUUGUCAAGUUUUGCUAAGAAAUUUGAAUCCUUAAUUGGUACUGUGAUAGAAGAAAUUAGUGUUGGUCUUGGUCCUUUUGGUGGACUUAAGUAUGUUACUGUUACACUAGAACCACAAGUAUGAAGCCAGUCCAAUGAUUUCUUAUGCAACAUUGUUACAUUGCUCACACAGAUAUCCUGCACAUCCUUUUGGUGAUGGUAGAUGGAAGUUUCCUGGAAUCGGUGAAUUCCAGUGCUAUGACAAGUGCAUAAAAGGUCGUACCCAGUGCACAAGGCUCCCGCUUUACGCAAGGUCUGGGAGAGGUGAAUGUCGGCUAGCCUUACCCCCAUUUAUGAAGAGGCUGCUCCCAAGUCUCGAACCCGAGACCUACCGCUCAUGGGCGAAGGCACUUGCCAUCGCACCAAGUGCGACCUCUGCUAUGACAAGUGCAUGUAUGCUAAAAAUCUUUCAUUCCUGUGACAGAAAUUUGGAUGCUAUUGAACUUUUCCUAUUUACAACGUUGUUCCUUUUCGGAUGGGCGACCUAAAGAUGGCUGCAGGCAAGGAAGGAAAGCCUCAGUUGGGAGAGAAGGGACCACAAAAUGCUGGCUGUUACAAAGUCUCCCAUCUGAAGUUCCAUUCUUUGAAGAGGGAGAGGAAAGCAUUCUUUCUGAUUAUGGGUGUUUUUUCCUUGUAUGAAACUGAUGGACGCAGCUUGCUUUAUUAUUUCCCAUGAAAAAUUUCUGCAUAACUGAAGCCUAGUGUAAAGUGCACGAAAUCAUUGUUUGUAUUUCAUCCUCGAACUACCACAUUGUUUCUUUAGCCAGGAAACACUUCUGUGUAGGUGCCUGUAAACAAUGCCUGCAAUAUAUAUUUUCAAUCUUUAGUGGAACUUUUCUUAAAACUAACUCUAUUUGCUUCUAGGGGUUAUACUUGCAGACUGUUUGCUACUGGAGUCUUAAAUACUCUUACGCAACAUGAUUAAAAGUAGAUGUGUUUUAAUGAUUUAAUAUGAAGUCAUGACAAUGGAAUGGGUUCUUAAGACACUGCACUAGGUUAGAUGCAAUUUGAUUAAGAAUGAAAUGCAUUGAUGCUUGUCUUCUGGAAAGAAAAAAAAUCGUCAUAGGAUGUACUGGUUAGUAAACUAAGGACAAUUAUGGAUGUAUAAGUGGAAAUUUAAAUCAUGUCUGGUUCUUUAUCAUGCAAUACUUGGCAUAACAUAAUUAAACUUAUUGGAAAACAAUGUGGAGCUUAGGAGAUCUGACAGUGGCUUGACUUGUUGUAGGAAUGGUACAGUGGUCGGUUGCUCCAUCAUGCAGAUGAUAGUCAUGCAAAGGCAGCUAACAUUCUGAAGAAAUAUCAAGAAUAGAAGCAAACUUCUAUUCUAUUGGCAGCUAAAAUUGGUGGUACCAGACGAGAGCACACCCUGCUCAAUUGACAGCUUGAUACUACAACAGUGCUCUUAGAGAUGGUUAUGAUCAUGUAGCUUCAAUUUUGUCUCGUCAUGCUGCUUUGCAUGUUUCGUAAGAUUCCAAGUUUUAAGGUUUUGACUGGAAUUUUGUUCAUUGUCUAACCUGAUAAUUAAGGUUGCUUACACAUUCGCUUGAUUUCAAAUGUAUCUAUUCUACCAUGUUCACGUACUAAAUAUUUUAUUGCAGCAGCUUAAAAAUGAUGGAUGGUGAUAACCCGGCAUCCUAUCUUUGCAGUCCAGAAGGAUUACUCCAACAAGUACGGGGCCUGUUAAUUAAUAACGCUUCCUUAGCUUGUUGCUUUGUUGGUACUUUUUUUUAACUUACUUUAGAAAUUUUAUCCGUAUAAUUCAAGCUUUUGAGUUAGGUAGGACUAACCCAUGCAGCUGUGCUUGUCACAGCAGGUCGUGCAGGGUCUCUAGGUUCAACAUGGGCUUGGAACGGGCCAAUAUGAGCUUUUUCAGUAUUACAGAUAUUGGGUAUUAUUGAUCUGUUUUUUAGGCUUCUUUUAGUAUCUUAUAAUUCAUUCUGAAGUAAAUCUUUAGUUUUAAUUGGGUUGUCUUGCCCAGAUAAUAAAGAAGAAACAUAUGACAAGUUGAUCAAUAACCAUUUUUCUAUUUUAUUGAAGUUUGGAAUACAAUUGAUAAUUUGAUAUUACUAAACAACAAAAAUAGAAUUGCAUCACUAUACCGUAUAUUAGUGUUGUACUACUUUAGAUUGGCAUGGUCUGUCCAUUUACCCCUGUGGGUGGUGGUAGUGCCUAGUGGUGGCUUCUGUUGUCUACAAUUCUAUCAGUCAAUUGGUUUCUUCGAUAAAAUGUCUGGCCUUAUGCUUUGUUUAUUGGGUAUAUAUCAUAUUAUACAAUUCCAAUGUAGUCUAACAUGAUUCGAUUUGCACCAGAUAUGGAGUGUUUCAAAGAAAAGGGUACAUUUGAUCGGUAGAAAUACCAAUGAAGGAUUUGACAGGGUAAGUUCUUCCUUUCCUCAAGAGCAAAAAAUUUCAGCUACCAUUUAUUUCUAUUAGACAUAUAUUGGAUAUUGCAAAUGUCUUAUAACUAGAAACACAUGGCUUCUGAUAGGCUGAUAGCGUUAGUUAAACACUUCUUCUUUUGCCCAUUCUGCGUUGCUUGUUCACACGUCUGCUUUUCUCUUGCACGUUGGUUUAUGGCAAAUACAUACUAACUAUUACCAUUCCCAGGCCGAAGCUGUAAGAUCAUUUACAUAUUUCCGAAUGAAUGAUAAGAUCUUUAGGCCUGAAAAUUGGAGUAAUUUCGUUCCUUUUGUUAAAAAGAUGAGCACAAAUUGGUGAAGCAGCCAAAAAACCCAACUUAAAUAGUAAAUUUAUUGAUCUAGAGUAGCAGCUUCACUGCCCUAUAAUUUUUUGUCAAGGGCAUGUGUAGAAGUUUAGAAGUUUGUCACUUCCUGAUAUAUUGACUGAAAUAACUGUGUUUCCAUGACAGGCGUUCUUGACCUGGAAGUGUAAAUUUUUGAAACGGAUUUGGUUGGCCGUACAAACUAAACGCUUUACUAUCAAAAUAUGAGAAGAAUAAUCGGAAUUGCAAUCUUGGUACUACUGGUCAAAUACAGGUACAACAUUUCACCUUAAGGAAUAUCCACAUCCUGUCAUAUCUGUCACUAUACAAAAAUAAUGUAGUCUUUGCAGAUUGAAAACAACAAUAAGAAAAUGGAUCCGAAAAUAUAGAGAACGAAAAGAACUAAGAGUUCACUCCUUCACAGUCCUUCAAAUACUUCGUCUUGAUUUUGGUGAGUGUGAUUGCAACAUCUUUCAUGUUAAUCCUCGCUCUCGGCAAUGCUGCAGUGCAAGCUAGAGCUAAUCUCAUAACGGAUGAUAAGCAAUCCCUCCUGCUCACGAAAUCACCAUCUUCCUCCGUCCCAAGUAUAUCGGCAUCCAUAACUUCAUCUAUAGCAGCAUCUGGAAAUAAUGAAUCUGCAAUCCAUUGCUUUAAAUUCAUUUCCCCAACGAACAUCUUGUCUGUUGGCUUCCUUUUUGUGAAUGUCUCCAUGAGUAAAAUACCAAAACUAUACACAUCCCCACUCGUCGAAAUGCUUCCUUCGAUCCCAAACUCUGCAAAAUUUGUAUGUUAAUUUAGUUAUAUAUGAUAAAAAGAAAAUUAUAACUCCUAAUAAGACCAACAUAUUCAAAAUUGAGAAAAUACAUCACCUGGAGCCAUAUAUCCAACUGUGGCUAGAGUCAUGGUUUUUGUCAUCGAAUAUCCACCGCCGAUGAGUCUUGCAAUGCCAAAAUCAGCAACAUGUGCAACCAUAUCAUCAUCUAGUAGUAUAUUGCUUGGUUUCACAUCACAAUGAACGAUAGGUAUCUUGUAACCAUGAUGAAGAUAUUCUAGUGCCAAUGCAACAUCUUUCAUUAUGUCUAACCUCUGCAGGAUAGUAGUGGAGCAGUUUGGAGAAUACAAUCACUUUUCGAGGCUUCCAUUAGGCAUCAAUUGAAGUAUCAGGGUUUUGAAAUCAAGUUCAUCACAGCAACUUAUGAUUUUAAUAAGAUUCCGAUGACGGAUAUUGCUUAGCAUUUCACAUUCCUUAUCAAAACUCUUGAAUGCCCCUUCUAGCUGUAAAUUGAAAACCUUGACGGCGAUAUCUAUCCCAUCUGAAAGUGUUCCUUUGUAUACUGAGCCAAAACCCCCCGUGCCAAGUGAGUUAGUCUCAUGAAAUCCAGUUGUCGUCUUUACAAGUUCUAGGCGCGAAACUCUUCUCCAAGGAACUUGAAUUAGUGAGGCAGUUUCUCUUACAACUUCAACAUUCCUUUUCCUGCCUAGUAUCAGAAUUAGUGCAGCAGCUGCUAAGAGUAUUACUGACAUGACCCUAGAGAUGAUAUAUUUAGCUUUCCUCCAAUUUGGCUUAACUUCUGUUUUAUAUAUGCACAAUGGAACGUGGAGUUGGGAAGCACCGCAGAGCGCAUCGUUUGAUACAAAUGAAUCAGCAAAGAAGUUUCCGAAAGGCCCGCCUGUUGGAAUUUCUCCUUGGAGUUUGUUGAAAGACAAAUUCAGAUGCUUGAGAUACAAGAGUGCUUCCAAUGACUUUGGGAUCACUCCAGAUAGAUUGUUUUUGGACAAAUCCAAGAAUUCUAGGCUCAGCAAGGUUUUCAAUGAAGUGGGAAUAGGGCCUUCUAAAUAAUUGUUUGCCAAGGACAGAUUAAUCAUAUUUUGAAGACCACCAAUGCUACUGGGAAUGUUUCCGGAGAAAUGGUUAUUUGACAAGUCCAUAUUCAGCACAUUUUUCAACUUUUCGAUGUCUUCCGAGAGUGGUCCAACUAGAUAAUUGGAUGACAAGUUUAGGUGCAAUAUAUACUUAAGUUCCCACAAGGAAGAUGGUACUUUAGAAGUUAAGAAAUUGGACCCUAACAAUAAUUUUCUUAGAGCUACUGCCAAAGUACCCAAGCAGGAAGGAAUAGAACCAGAGAGACGAUUACCAUCCAAAAGUAUCUCUGCUAGGUUGUUUAGUUGAUAGAGUUCAUAUGGGAUAUGUCCUUGCAGUUCGUUAUCAUUCAAAUACAAAGCUUGAAGAUUUUGUAGCCUUUGUAUUGAACCUGGAAUUGCUCCACUCAACUGAUUGUUUCCCAGGUUUAACGAUAUCAAGCUGCUCAAGUUGCCAAUAUCUACUGGAAUGUUGCCCCUGAUGUUGGAACUCAUUAAACCCACAUAUAGGAGUGAUGUAGAGAGAUUCCUGUGAGAAGCUGGAAUCGUGGUGUUUAGUGGAUUGUCUCCCAAGGAUAAUCUUGUCAAAUUUCUAAGAUUAAACAAGCAGGAGAGGGUGCUUGCUGUUUGUGGAGUAGAAGCAUCAUUUGUCAAACUAUUCGAGAACAAGGAAAGAAACUUGAGGUUUUUCAAGGAACAGAGCGUGCUUGGAAGAAACCCGGUAAAUGAGUUUGUGUUCAUGUCUAGCACCCUGAGCUUGGAAGCAUUGGAGAGGUUAGGGAGUAGUCCGGACACGAGGUUAUUUGCGGCUACACCAAGGAAUUCUAGGUUUGGAGCGUUAAGAGUUAUGUUUGCUGGGAGGCUACCUGAGAGAUGAUUAUAAGAAAGAAAUAUUAUUCUUAUCAUGGAGAGAUUGAAGAGUUUGGAUGGGAUGACGCCAUUGAGAUUAUUAAUACCUAGUGACAAAGCCUCUAACUGUGGAAAAUCACCAAUCUCAUCUGGUAUUGCACCUGCCAUAAUUUCAACACGUUUGCAUUAAAUUUUUAACUUCAGUUUAACUAAAAACUAAAAACGAAAUGAUUAUCAAAUAGUCUUAAAUUUACUACCUGUUAAAUUAUUGUCAGCAAGAUAAAUCUCGGUUAAGUAGGUCAAAUUGCCAAGACUUUUGGGUAUGCUUCCACGGAAAUUGCCAAGACUUUUGGGUAAUUUAGUAAUUACAUGAACAUAAAUUUUGUUGUUAUUUAGGGCAACCUCCAGCCAGGUCACCAUAGCAUGCCAUAUUUAAAAUUUAAAAAUAAAAUAAAAUAGUAAAUAAAAAACAUGCCUACUUUAAAAGAAACUGCUCAUCAUUUUUCCAUUUUUUUAUAAGGGGUGUGUUAUCCACACAUCCAUUUUUACUUCUCACACACCUCUUGUUAAUUUAUGUCCGUUGAUCUUCUUCAUUUCAUCCGAUCUGAUGGCCAAAAAUUAGAAGGGUGUGUGAAAAGUAGAAAGGGGUGUGUGGAUAUCACAACCCUUUUUAUAAUUGAUAUAUUUUUUUAGAAUUUUUAAAACUAAUCACACUUCACAGUAAAAAAAAAAAAAAAUGAAAUGAAAUUAUUCACACUGUGUUAUGUUGCCUAUUUCUCUGGGUAUGUUACCUGUUAUGUGCAUGCAUUCCAACAAAAAGGAAGGAAAAAAAAAAACAAACGAGAUGAUUGUUAUACAUCUUAUAUAUAGAUGUUAAAAUGAAGCAAAGAUGUUAAAUGUUAUCAUGAAGCAAGCAACAUUAAUUUAUAUUCCUAGGUGGUUGGUAAUGGUGCUACAUACGUACCUGAUAGUUGGUUACUACUCAGAACAAUUUUUUCGAGUGCAGAUAAGUUGCCUAUUUCUCUGGGUAUGCUACCUGUUAAAUAUGUGCAUGCAUGCCAACAAAAAAGAAGGGAAAAAAAAAACAAACGAGAUGAUUGUUAUACAUUUUAUAAUAUAGAUGUUAAAAUGUAACAAAGAUGUUGAAUGUAAUGAAGCAAGCAACACUAAUGUAUAUGCCUAGGUGGUUGGUAAUGGUGCUACCUACGUACCUGAUAAUUGGUUAUUACUCAGACCAAUUAUUUCGAGUGCAGAUAAGUUGCCUAUUUCUCUGGGUAUGCUACCUGUUAAAUAUGUGCAUGCAUUCCAACAAAAAAGAAGGAAAAAAAAAAUGAGAUGAUUGUUAUACAUCUUAUAUAUAGAUGUUAAAAUGAAACAAAGAUGUUACCUGUUAAAUUAUUGUUAUGAAGAUAAAUCUCGGUUAAGUAGGUCAAAUUGCCAAGACUUUUGGGUAUGCUUCCACGGAAAUUGUUAUACCCUAAUUUCAAUUCACGAAGCUCUUUGCAUAGCCACAGUUUGGAGGGAAUAAGACCGUCAAACUGGUUUUGACCCAAAUUAAUUAUUUGAACACUCGAAAGAUGCUCACAUAUAUUGUCCGGAAGAUUGCCACUCAUGUUGUUCCCGAAUAGAACCAAAGCAGUCAAAGAAGAUAUGUUGAGGACAGGCACAAAAGCAGAGCCUUUUAGGGCAUUGUGCUGCACAAACAACUCCUCCAACUGACCUAAACUGCCCAUCUCGUUUGGAAGUUCUAUAAAAUAAAUUCGUAUAUAUAUUAAAAUCAUGUAUAGACAUAGGAGCAGCUUAUUAGUAGAAAUCCCGUUGUACUGUAGCAAAAGAGGGAUAACAUUAUAAGGAUCAUGUACUCACUAUAUAGGACCUCUUUUUUGCUCCCGAAUACGAGGGUCUUACACAGUAAAUAUACAAUCCUACGAUAGUUCUCUCAUCUCAUUUUUCGCUAAAGUGGAACGAGAUCCCUGCUAAGAAGGGCCUUGUAUGUAUAGAUGUAAUAAAACCGAAGUCAUACAGUAUACCUUCGAACUUCUUGUCGUCAAGGUAUAUCCCCUUCAGCAUUGUUAAGUUGCCUAUUUCUCUGGGUAUGCUACCUGUUAAAUAUGUGCAUCCAUUCCAACAAAAAAGAAAGAAAAAAAAAUUUGAUGCUUGUUAUACAUCUUAUAUAUAGAUGUUAAAAUGUAAUCAUGAAGCAAGCAACAUUAAUGGUGGUACGUACGUACCUGAUAGUUGGUUCCUGCUCAGAUUAAUUAUUCGAGUGCAGAUAAGUUGAAGAUAGCAGCGGGUAUGAAACCAGAGAAGCCAUUACCGUACAAUUUGAUGGUUUGAAGUUUAGGAAAGGACCCAAACCACAAAGGAAUGGUUCCCAUAAAGCUAUUGUUUCCAAAGUUAAUCGCCUUCAACCGGCGCAAAAGUGAGAUUGUAUGAACAAUUUUACACCUAGAAACAUGAACCACACAGAAUCACAACUGAUUUAACAAUGAAAAAGUAUAUAAGAAAAUACACUAUCAAUAGGCUAAAACACUCUUUUAAUUGAUCUACCAAUAGCCUAAUAGGAUUAACUAAACCAUUAGAGACUGCAACAAUGAGAAAGUCUGAAGAUUAAAGUUCAAGUUGAAUGUCUUUGAACCCCUAGGUGUUGGAAACAUUUUCAGUAAAUUUGUUCAGGAAAAUAUAAAAACUCGUGAUGCAAUUCCAUUGUUUGGGAUAGCAGAUAUUUACCUAGAAUCCAACCUUAAGCUAACAUUUUUCAUAAGUUUAUUCUUUUCAUUAACUACAAUGGAAUUUAUAAAACAAUUUUAGAAAAACUCGAGUCUAGAUAAUGGACUUUUGUUCCGGUUUAAAAUUUUUUGACUUGUGUUCUAAGCAACAUAAUGUAUUCACAUUUCAAUUGUCAAAGGCAUCGCAAUAAUCCCCAAAUGAAGAUAUUAAAAAUCAUAACUUCUUCUCCAAGUUUUCAUUCAGUUUAUUUCACUUGACCAUCAGAAUUUUAUUCAAAGAAGAUUAAAUAAAGAAAAUAGCAUGCCAAAGAUUAAAAUGAGAAAGUAUAUAAAAAAAUACACUAUCAAUAGGCUAAAACACUCUUUUAAUUGAUCUACCAAUAGCCUAAUAGGAUUAACUACACCAUUAGAGACUGCAACAAUGAGAAAGUCUGAAGAUUAAAGUUCAAGUUGAAUGUCUAUGAACCCCUAGGUGUUGGAAACAUUUUCAGUAAAUUUGUUCAGGAAAAUAUAGAAACUCGUGACGCAAUUCCAUCGUCUGGGAUAACACAUAUUUACCUGGAAUCCAACCUUAAGCGAACAUUUUUCAUAAGUUUAUUCUUUUCGUUAACUACAAUGGAGUUUAUAAAACAAUUUUAGAAAAACUCGAGUCUAGAUAAUGGACUUUUGUUCCAGUUUAAAAAAAUUUGACUUGUGUUCUAAGCAACAUAAUGUAUUCACAUUUCAAUUGUCAACGACAUCGCAAUAAUCCCCGACUGAAGAUAUUAAAAAUCAUAACUUCUUCUCCAAGUUUUCAUUCAGUUUAUUUCACGUGUCCAUUAGAAUUUUAUUCAAAGAAGAUUAAAUAAAGAAAAUAGCAUGCCAAAGAUUAAAAUGAGAAAGUAUAUAAGAAAAUACACUAUCAAUAAGCUAAAACACUCUUUUAGUUGAUCUACCAAUAGCCUAAUAGGAUUAACUAAACCAUUAGAGACUGCAAUAAUGAGAAAGUCUGAAGAUUAAAGUUCAAGUUGAAUGUCUUUGAACCCCUAGGUGUUGGAAACAUUUUCAGUAAAUUUGUUCAGGAAAAUAUAGAAACUCGUGAUGCAAUUCUAUCGUCUGGGAUAACACAUAUUUACCUGGAAUCCAACCUUAAGCUAACAUUUUUUCAUAAGUUUAUUCUUUUCGUUAACUACAAUGGAAUUUAUAAAACAAUUUUAGAAAAACUCGAGUCUAGAUAAUGGACUUUUGUUCCAGUUUAAAAUUUUUUGACUUGUGUUCUAAGCAACAUAAUGUAUUCACACUUCAAUUGUCAAAGGCAUCGCAAUAAUCCCCGACUGAAGAUAUUAAAAAUCAGAACUUCUUCUCCAAGUUUUCAUUCAGUUUAUUUCACUUGUACAUCAGAAUUUUAUUCAAAGAAGAUUAAAUAAAGAAAAUAGCAUGCUAAAGAUUAAAACCCCUCAGUUCAAACUGCUAAUGCACAGCUCUGUUUGGUUUUCUUCUCCAGAGACCAAACUGAGCGAGGAGUCAAGUUCUCCAGUGCACCAUCAAUCUCCUGUUGAUAGGAGCAUAUUUAUGCGACUUAGUUGGCUUGUUCUUGUGCAUUUAUGUCGUGUCUCUUUAGUUAUUUUAGUGUUUAAAGUCAUUUUCGUGUGUUUUCAGAUUUUAAGGACAAAGUAGGCAAGAAGAUGCAUUUUGGAGCAUUUUGGAGCAAAAUGGAGCUUGGAAUGCAUGUAACAUAUUUGGAACCAAGGUUUGGACGAAAUUGAAGAAUUAAAGAGGCUAAGAAUGUGAAGAAUUAAUGUACAAAGGAUCAAGAAUUCAGCCACAAAAGAACACCCACUCCUUGCCGUGUAACCACAUAGCAUUCCCUUUGGAUUCCCAUGCAUGCUUAAUCAUCCUUGUCCCCUAAAAUAUUUCUGAUUUCAUGCCUUAAUUCACUCAAUUAUCAUACUCAAUUGCUGCAUACCUCUUGUUCCCUUCACCCAUCAGAUUUCACACAACUUUCACAACCAUUCCAUGCACCAAUUGAUGCUCCAUCAUCCACAUUUGGGAUCCAAUGCUGUGUGCAACACAUGUUGCUGCACCUUUGACUAAUUUCUGAAACAUUUCACCUCCCCUUUUUAUUUCCAUGCAAUGAACACAAUCAUUCAUGCUCCCUAGCUGAAAUACCACUCCAUUUUACCCUCCAUACUUUGCAUCAUUGCUCCAUUUUCAUCCUUGGACCAUUGCACACCACAAAUUCACCCUCCUUGCUGUGCAUUUUCCCCACUGCCCAAUCUGAUUCUCUAGGGUUUUUGGGGCCUAUAUAUACAUGUUUACACCCCUUGGCAAAGGGUUCACACUCUCAUAUUCACCAUUCAUCACAGAAAUUCGUCCAUACUCACCCUAGGCAGCAAAACACCCCAAAAAACACCAUUCUAGUGCCCAGAAAAUAUCACAGCCACUCCACCUUCUUCCACCCUCUUUGCCGAAGUUCUCCACCACCCUUCCACCAUCAAACACUCCUCUACACUCACCAUAAACCUUUCUGCACCAUAGAACUACCCAAAACCUGUCCACAAACCAAUCUGCCACAAGCAAGGGAAAUGAGGAAUCUUGGAUGCACUUGCUGCCAAGUUGGAGCAUUCUAGGUGUUUUCUUUCUUUGGAUUUUAAUGUCUAAUUCAUGUAAUCUUUGUUUUGCUUUAAGUAUGAUUGGCUAAUUUCGUUUUGGCUAAGGGUGGAUUCAAAACCAUGAUUAUAUAUGUGAAAUAAGUUGAUUACUUUCAGUUAUCGUUGUAUAAGUCGUGAAUACAAUUUGCUUAACCGUUUGAUUUAGAACUUAUUCUUGUAUGUUGGUUGAGAGUGCACGCUUAAUUUGCAUGCUUGAAUUUGAUGCUAGGAUAUAAGUUUGUUUCACCUAAUCGUUAUGAAUUUAUAUUCGUAAGUAGUGAAGGUCGCUAGUCACGAUCGUGUUAAGUAGAUUCCUGGCAAGAGUAUCAUGCUUUUCAUAGUUACGAAUGCCUUGUCGAUGCUUAUGAUUUCCAAAGAACGUAAUGAUUCUAACUUGUGUCUUUAUCAUGCUGUUCAUAUAAAGAACUUGUUGGGAAUAUUUUGUUUGCGAUGCAUAUUCAUCCAAUUCAAUGAUUCUAGGGAAAUCUGAAGGUUAAUUUAAGUGGACCUAAUUAACUUGGAGUGUCGAGAUUCAUAACUUAUUAAAUUGAUAACUGAAAAUUGAUUUAGGUUGCAUAUAUUUCAUGUGUGGAGAAGAACCCCUUAGCCAUUCCAUCAUCCAUUGAUUAUUCAUAACUUUGUGUUACAAUCUGUUUCUAUUACAAUCUGUUUUCCUUGCAAUCUGUCCAUUUAGUUCAUUUUCGUCCAAAUCAAUUCCCCAUUUAUUUUGAAGUCCUAGAUUAGUUAGAGAGUGUGUUGGUUUAUGUUUUUUAGUGUUUUGGUACAAGUUAAAACCCAAAUUCGUCCAAAUUGGUGCUUUGUGUUCAAAACUGCCCAGAAAGUGUUUUUAAGGCAGUUUUGAGUCUUUUAGUUGCUGUUUUGAGUUAUUGGUUUAUUUUAGUAUUUUAAUCGUGAGUUUUGCAUUCUUUGAGUCUAAUCUAGUGUUUAAACUUUGUUUUUACAUUUCUAAGUCAGUUUUCAAGUGUUUAGCAAUCCCUCCUAAUCCCCGGUUUAGAACGAUCCCUACUUACAUACUUUGCUACAAUUGAUAAAAAGAGGGUUUAAUUUUAUGUGUUAACUUAUUUUUCACAUCACCUGUUCAAGCAGCCAUCACCACCUCACUCGCCACUCCGGCGAGGCACCACCUUGCCACCACCCUUAUGUCUCACUCCCUCUCUACCACUCUCCCUAUUUCCCUCACCUCUUUCUCUCGAUACUGUGCUCGCUGCAUAGAAACAGCAAGGCGACCACCGUCGCCAUUUUUUCAUGGCGAACUACGCCUUCAUGAAACCAUCACCAUCAAUCUCGCCACCUAGGCGAGUUUUACCAUCAAUCUCGCCACCCAACGUAUGAUCAGUAGUAUCCUUAUGGAUUCCCAGUGACUUGGAUAUUUCAAGUCUCCAACCGAGAAGUUUUCCUCACUCGAGAAAUUAAGGGAACACUACCUCAACCUACAUGCUCCAGUCACAAAGCUUCAACAUACAAGCUUCAACAAAAGAAAAAUUCAAAGAACUUAGUGAAGAAGGCUUUGGUGUAUUUAACACAAUACGUUGAAAUGAAGCAAAGCUUAUUUAUUGAUAUCUCCGAUAAGUUACAAAUAUGUACAUAUACAUGAGUCAAAAUAAACAAACAAGAGGGAGGUUUCAUAAAGGUUGCUUAGGAGAAGUCUCAGUAGUCGGUAGAGCCCCAGAAAGAGAAGGCACCGGAGGGGGAUCAUUCGGAGCCUCAGUACUGGACAGAACCCUAGAAGAAUGAGGCAUCAGAGGUUGAUCAUUUGGAGCUUCAUUACGCGGUACAGCCCCAGAAGACGAAGGCAAUAAAUGCCUUUGGAACAAACCCACAAACCUCUGAUGAUCAAGUAAAACCUGACCUCAGAAAUCGAAGAGGCGUUUGCUUUCUCAAAAGCUGGGCUGCUUAGAGACCACGAGGGUCGAUCUCAGAAAUCGAAGAGGCGUUUGCUUUCUCAAAAGCUGGGCUACUCAAAGACCACGAAGGUCGAUCUCAGAAAUCGAAGAGGCACUUACUUUCUCAAAAGCUGGGCUGCUCAGAGACCAUGAGGGCCGAUCUCAGAAAUCGAAGAGGCACCUGCUUUUUCAGCCUUGUCAGCACCUGUCACAUGCACACUCAGCUUUGCGAAAAUUACGGGCAUUCUGUCGAAAAUUUUUGGUGAAGUAGAAAGCAUGUGAAUCUUACUGUUCAAUCAUCCACUUUCCACACGCAACAUCAGCUCAUGGGUACCAUAUAUAACUUUGCCAAAGAUCUCUGAAAAAGUUUAGACACGUGAAGCUUGCAGCUCCCACUACAUCGCUAUGACCAAGAAGGGUAAAAGAAUAGCAAAGAAACAGCACUAACAAAGUUUAGACACAUAAAUUUUGAAGGUCUAGCUACCAUAUUAUUACCUACAAGGGUAAAGGAACAACACGAUUGCUGGAUAAUUGGAAAGUCCCUAUGUGUCAACCUCUGUGCUCCGUGUCAAGGUAGACUAGCAAACAUGCCCAACCUUUACUCACAUUCGAGAAAACACUCCCAACAAGAUUGCUUGCUCCAAAAUUGAAGAGGCACCACCAUCCGAAUCUCGAGAGCCAGACUCCCAACAUGAUUACUUUCUCAAAAAUCGAAGAGACACCGCUCUUCGAAUCUCGAGAGUCAGACUCCCAGCAGGAUUGCUUUCUCAAAAAUCGAAGAGGCACCGUUCUCCGAAUCUCGAGAGCCAGAUCCCCGACAGGAUUGCUUGUUCGAAAACCGAAGAGGCACCGCUUUCUCAACUUCGAGAGCCAUAUCUCCUUAGAUAAAGCUUGUCUGUAAUCUUCACAUGCAACAUCAGCUUUCCAGAUACCAUAGACCACUUUUUCAAAGUGUUCUGACAGAGUUAAAACACGUGAAGCUGGCAGCUCCCACUACCGUGCUAUGACUAAGCAGGGUAAAGAAAUACCAUUACUACUUGUUGUGAGGGAAACUCCUAUAUAUGUCGACCUCCAUCCUCAACGGACAGGCAGACCUGCAAAAAUGCUCAACCCUUCCUCAUAUCUGAGAGGGCACUCCCAACGAAGCCUCUCGAAAUAAUCAGCUUUCUUUCCUCCAGAUAAUACCUCUGCAAACAAGCUACACCAGAGUAAGAAUAUCUCAUAUCAUUAGGGUUAAAAGCAAGAGUAUCCCAUAUCAUGCUUUUUCCCAGUCUUUUCCUUUGACCUUGUUCUUACCUGCAAGACAAGGAGAAAGAGAGCAAUCAGUCAGCACUUGGAAUUAAGCUUCCAGUUAGGAACUGAUUGCCUGGAACCCCUUACCUAAUUACUUACCUGGCAUUGCUCUCGAGUACUCAUCUUUAACAUCUUAUGCUUCCAGAGAAGAUACCACAUUUGCCUGAGGAACAGAUAGGGCAAGUGAGAAGGAUACAAGGAAGCAUGUGGAGACAAGCGUAACAGAACAUGUGCCGAUACAUCCACUACUUUGUCAACAGCAAAAGUAUCCCAUAUCAGCAAGGUCAAACGUACUCUAGAUUUGAUGGACUUGUUUUGACCCUCAAAUUCUUCAGUCGGCCUUAUACUCUGGAGGGAAACUAGAAAACCCUCCAGCCCAGUUCAAGAAUAAGCCUGUGGAAAGUUACUUCUUCAAAAGCAAAAGUAUCUCAUAUCAUCUCUUCUCCUUUUUCUUCUCUUUAUCCUUCAUGCUGCCUGCAAGAUAGGGAGAAUGAGAACAACCAGUCGGAACUCGAAAUCAAACUUCUGAUCUGGGACUGAUUGCUUGGAGUUCUGAUUGCUUACCUUGUCUGUCACCUCUUUCAGCAGAUCUCCUAGCUCGGUGACUUGGGGUACUCCUACUACAUGGUUUGUAUUGCGCUUGACCAAGCUUGAAACUACAAGUAAGCUUCAAGUGAAAUUGAUACAUUACCUUGUGCAUCUCCACCAGUUAAAGAUACCACCUCUGGAUGGAGGAAGAGUACUUCCAGAGAAGAUGACACAUCUACCUAUGAGACAGAUAAGGCAAGUGAAAACGAUACCACACUUCGGUACUUAGAAGUUUCGUGAUUACGAGAUCAUUCUCCUACAAUAUUUCCUAAUGUCAUUUGUACUAAAUCAUUCACUUGUACUCACUAAAGGAGAGCUUGAACCUACGUACUUGUGUAAACCCUUCACAAUUAAUGAGAACUAUUCUAUUCCGUGGACGUAGCCAAUCUUGGUGAACUACGUACAUCUUGUGUUUGCUUUCCUGUCUCUAUCCAUUUACAUACUUAUCUACACUAAUGACCGGAGCAAUCUAGCGAAGAUCAUAAACUUAAUACUUUCUGUUGUACCAAAGUCCUCACUGAUUUUGUGCAUCAACAAUCCUUAAGUUCUUACCUUUUUGCGUUGGUAAUGGAUGAGUUAACAUGACAUAUUCAAGAUGAUAUUCCUUGGUGUAUUCUUUUCGCAAACGAUAUAGUGUUGAUAGAUGAAACUCAGGAAGGGGUAAAUGCGAAGCUUAACCUUUGGAAAGAAGUGUUGGAAUCUAAAGGUCUUCGUCUAAGCCGAUCAAAGACAGAAUAUAUGGAGUGCAAGUUCAGUGCAAAUGGAGGCCAAAAUGAGUUAGGGGUGAGGAUCGGAGAUCAGGAAAUACCAAAGAGCGACCGUUUUCGCUACCUAGGAUCUAUCUUGCAAAAGAACGGAGAAUUAGAUGGAAAUCUCAACCAUAGAAUACAAGCUGGAUGGAUGAAGUGGAAGAGUGCAUCCGGCGUGUUGUGUGACCGUCGUAGGCCACUGAAGCUCAAGGAAAUUUUUUAUAGGAGGAUAAGGCCGGCGAUGCUGUAUAGCACAGAAUGUUGGGCGGUGAAGCAUCAACACGUACACAAAAUGGGUGUAGCGGAGAUGAGGAUGCUUCGUUAGAUGUGUGGGCACACGAGAAAGGAUAAGAUUAGGAAUGAGGAUAUCCGAGGUAAAGUAAGAGUAGCCGAAAUUUAAGGAAAGAUGAGAGAAAAUCAGUUACGGUGGUUUGGACAUGUACGAAGAAGGCCUACUGACGUUCCGGUUCGAAGAUGUGACUACGGGACAGAGGUUUAGGGCCGAAGGGGUAGAGGAAGACCUAGGAAAACUUUGGAAGAUACCCUAAGAAAAGACUUAGAGUACUUGGAUCUAACGGAGAACAUGACACAAAACCGAUCGCAAUGGCGUUCUAGGAUUCAUAUAGCCGACCCCACUUAGUGGGAAAAGGCUUUGUUGUUGUUGUUGAUCCGUUAGCUUAUGCACAUGGGACAAAAGCAGCUCAAUUGUUUCACACUUCUCCUUGUUUCGCCUUAUCAACUCAGCUUACUGCUGCAUAUUUCGUCAAUGAGUUCCGAGAUCUUUUCAUGCAACAUUUUAUCUUUUUCAACCACAUUAACAUUAGAUUCUACAUCAUGAUCAAUAUUCUCUUUUUCCAUAUAUUCUUCAAAACUACACAAACUAACCUUUUUUAGGACAGACCAGCAUUUGCUUGUUUUGAUGGCUCUGAAUUUUGUUUCCGUUUUCUCUUUUGUGGUGGUCUGAUCAAGAUGCACUCCAAAAACUAAUUUGAGUGCCUACACAGAUGAACAUCGCAUAAAAAUAAAAAAUCAAAAUAAAAAAUCAAAAACAGCAGCAGAGAUAAAAAAAAAAUGACAAUAAUUCUAAAAAAAAUUAAAUUAAAAGCUUAAGAAUAACUUACAGGAAGCUCUGUGCGAAAAAAUAUUCUAUUAAUGCAUUCUCAUACAGAAAAUUUCUUUGAAUACUGAUUUCAUGCAAUCCAGAAGCUAAGUGCUUAAAUAAAAAAAAAAAUCUUUAACCCAGAUACUCCUAUAUUGCAGUGCAGCAAAGUUUUUCUUGAACCCUGAUGAAUAUCACUCUAAAAUUAACCCAAAUAUAUCUCAGAGAUUGCAGAGAUUCAGACAAUCAAUAAUGAGACAUCUGGAAUGUUCUUUAUUCGUUUGUCCUCCAUACUCUACCCUAAUCUUCUUAGGACAACUUCAUAAAUAUUCAUGAGCAAAAAGUAUUUUUACAGAAAUCUAAAGAUCCCUGUGUCCCAAAGGUCUAGCCUAGUAUAGAGAGAUAAGAGAGACGAGAAUUGAAAACAAACAGUGGCAGAAAUCCAGAAUGAAUCACGUAGAAGAAGCAAACCAAGAAAAUACAGAAAAUAGGGUGCAACUCAAACAAUAGUGCAAUUAGUUUGAAGAACUUGGCGCCAAACCUUGGCAAGUUAAUUUAUUCUUUCAUUGUAAAUUCACAGAACACAUUUUAUAUUAGAAUCGGUUGAAUUAUACAAACACGAAAUAAUUGCAUUUUAGAUUGAUAUCCAUAUUUAUAAAUGAAAAGAGGAAAGACACUGCCAAGGUUGAUUAUCAGAAAUUCCUUUCCAAGCUGCGACGACGCCGAGACCGCGGGCAUUUCUUCGAAGGUCAGCAUCUUCGUCCGUGCCGCUGAUGUAGGAAGCUUGAUCGACGAAGGAUUUGACAACGACAGAUUAAGAACUCGUCAUUAAAGAGAUCGUCAAGAACACUUCUGAUUGAAAAGUGAGGGCUGAAGAAGGUUCGGUCGAAGAUGAGCAAGUUAGAAGCAUUUGAUCGAUUCCUCUUCUUGGUCGAAGCAGCGUGAGUUUGGCCAAUCGUCAUGGCGUUAUAGAUUAUGAUCUAAAUUUGCCAAUAGGAGCCCGUUUUCGUGGCGAAGAGGCUUGUGAAGCUCCUUUCUCGAGGGUGUUUGGCCUUAAGUUAAGGUUCGAUGGGUACCUAGAGAGGGCAGCUUCGAUUGGGAUUCCAGUUGGGGAAGUCCCCAAGAUGGCAGUAAGAUCAAGGAUGGUGGGGCCAAUGGGGCCGAGAGGGAGGACCAUAGUGUUGGUGACCGAACACCAGAAACAUAAGGCCGCUAGGAGGAGUUCCUUGUCCAGGAUGAUAUCCAUAGAUGAGAGGUGAAUGGCGUCGUAGAUGCCUAGGGCUUUCCAUUGCUCGCCGAAGAGCUUUUCCAUUCGUACAACCCAGGCUGCCCAGGUUGUAAUGGUCGAGGGCCAAGAGCCUUGAGGCCUUGCCACAUCCCACUUCGACCAUUCGAACCCUUGUAGCAAGGAUGAUAGGCAGUGCUCCUGUGAUGGUUGACGGUACUGCCGCUUUAAAGAGAGGACCCAAGAUUUGAUGAGGGGUGCUCAUGUCACUUUCAAAACGUAUGGUUUUGAUCGAACUUCGAUCAAUAAUUUUCUGACAUUGGUCACAUUCCUUGGAAAGCUUGGAGAUAAAGGAAGCCAUUGUAAGGGGGUUAAAAAUGCGACACGAAAUGAGUUUUUCUGGGUUAGGAGAUGUGAAGACGAAGAUCUGGAAGGAGGAGAUGCACUGGAGAGCGAGGGAAGAAAUUUCAGAGAAUUUGAAAGCAUGAAGUACAAAUGAGAGAAUUUCGGUAUUUAUAGAAUUGUGAAAGGAAGAGCAAUCGUUCAAAAUUCAAAAUGAAGGGUAAAAUCGACUGAAGAAUUCGCUAAUCAUUAUGAACGUUCAGAGAAUCCAGUUGAGAAGACCGAGGGUUUCAUGUUUUGGGGGGCGCGCGAUUGCGUGUGGCGGCGAGAUUUAUGGCGAAAGAUGUUUUGACGUUUGUACGAUGACGAAUGGCUCGCGAAUUGAGGUGGCAUGGUUAUGUUCAGCAACAAGGUCAUGAUGGCAUGACGGUUCAGGGAGCUGCACGCCUUAGGCGUCAUUAUUAGGGAUUGGCCGUGUUAAGAGAUGCCACGUGGUGUAUUGGUCAGCAGGAUCAAGAUCGUGCAAUCGUGCUCAAUAAAUGGGCCUUGGAAAUAGAGUAUUUGGGUUCUGAGUAUUAGAUUCGCUUCUUCAAAGUCGGAACUCGACCAAAGAAUUCAGGCCGAGGACCUCAUAAGCGAGGGGGCAAUGUUUGGGCCCAAAAUAUCAGUUUGGGCCGAGUAUAGAAUCAUUCUCGGCCCGGAAGGCCUUACGACAAGGGUACCAUGGAUCGUUUAGUUCGUGGGCCUCCAAACCUAGGUCGGUUAGGUCAUGCUGCAAGACAAGUCGAGUCCUGUCGCAAUAAGGAGUCUCGGCAAGAUUAAUAACCCGAAAGUGAAUCCAGCUCAAUAAAGGACUAGGUUCACAAUUAUAGUGAAAAUAGGACUGGUCGAGUUGAUGUUUGAUCAGGAGAAGAAGACCUAGUCUGAGUAGGGUUUUAACUCGACCUUAAAGGUAUCCAGUGCUAUAAAUAGAGGAGGAUGUGCAUCAUUCAAGCCCUCUCCAAUUCAACACACAACUGCCCUACGCAAACUCUCUCAACAACUCUUGAGAUUUUUUAUUUUCUCUUUUCGCUGACACAUCUUCUGUUGGCAUCAACAGCACUGUGAAAGCAACCGGUGAUAUCUUAAGUUGGCAUAGAUAGUUCUGUCGCCGUAGAAUUAGCCGAUCUCGCAGCAUUUUCCGUUGGCAUCAACAACACUGCGGUGAGGACGGUUAGUUACCUAUCCAAGUCUCGGUCGAGAAGGAUUCCUGAAUCCUUAUUGAUUGAGGUCAUCUCAUUAGCCUUAUCGGCGAAGUGAGGUGUUACAGUUUACUGAGCUCGGCGCAUUGUACGCCGAGUUAUUUUAUGAUUGGAUACUCUCAAGUGGGAUUUAGAGUUCGGCAUUCAGACGGCCGAACCACGUUCACUAUUAAGACUUAUAUUGGCUUUGAGUAUUUGUGCCCUUACACUUUGGUGUCGAUUCGGCGUGAGUUUACUCUGACGAAUAACAUCACUGUGUUCGAAUCCGACGACGGCGAUUCGUGAACUUCGUAAGAAUAGUAGCCUUGUCUUCAGGUUCGAGAACCCAAGAGGCCGAGACGCGUUCCUUCCUCGGCCGCAAUCGCAAGACGCAGCGCACCCAACGCAACAUCAACAAAUUUACUCAUCGGCCGAGCUCGGCCGACGAGUUGGCACGCCCCGCAUUCACCGAAGGACGUAGUUAGCUUAUAGAUUACUCGGCCUGCACGCCACAUAGGCUUGGUAGUUUUUAGGGUCAACAACUACAGUGCGUAAUUGAAUUUGAGGAAGAGCUUGGUGUGGUGAUCAAAAUUUUGGAAUGGUUUUCAGUAUUCAGGCAUAAAUGGUGAAUUAGAUGGUCCAUAUCCGUAUGGAUUUUCAGAACAAAAACAACUGAAAAAGGCAAACACAAAAGCAGAUUCCUCCCCAAGAAUUUGGCAACUUCAUCCUCCUCUUGUAGCUCCUUGUAUUUGCAUUUCUCCACAAAACCCAUUACUGAGUCUCUGUUUCACUCAAGUGUUCCUUUAGUUGCAUUUACAAGUUUUCAAAGUCUUCGAUGUUGUAUUUUUGUAAACCUUUAACACAUUGGUGAAUGCAAGAUUAAUUAGCUGUGGUUAUGAGUUGAAUGUGGUGAUAUAUUGUAUGAAUAAUGAGUGAACUUAAUGAUACAUGUAUGCAUAGAGACAAUUUUCGUGUCAAACCGAAUGUUUAGGAACAAGUGAUUGAUCAAGUAUAUAUAGAAGGAAUUCAUGUUUGUAGAAAGUGUAAGUUGUACCAAGAAAUCAGUUUGGAAUAUCAAAGGGUUCGUUCAAUUAAGUUGUUGUGUGAGAGCUCUAUGCAACCCUUGGGAUGUUAAUCUCUAGAAUUUUGUUAAUAUGCUGCUUUUUCCCUACUUUUUCACGUGUUUCCCUUUGCUUUCACAUGAAUAUACAAAUUUCCAACAUUUUUGCUGAUAUUUCUUCUCUUUUUAAGUGAAUUGUUAAUUUCUUGUAUGUGUAAGAAUAUGAACCUUCUAGUCGUAUAAAUUGGAUUUUCCUCUUUGUAAUCCUCUUCAUAAUUUGACAUUUUUCGUCAGGCAAAUUCCGUUGAAAUGAGUUCAAAACUUGCAAAACUUGGGGUGGCAGCUGUGCUCGCUUAUGGUCUGUUUGAUGCGGUUGAAUAUACCGCCUUUCUUGUCCUUGCAUUUCUCGGGUACGAGAAAAGUAUAGGGAAAAAUCCAGUAGCUCAUUAUGUAACAAAUGCUCAAUUCUCUUUUGCACUCUUUUAUGGAUUUCAUUUGGAUGGGAAUGGUUAGGUGACAUUACUUGUUACACUAGAAAAUGUCUGGCUUUGGUAUAAAAGCUUAACUGCGAAAAGGCAUCUGAAAGGUUUCGUUUAGCUACUAAGAAAGUUGGGGAGGGGUCAAAUGUCUUAGGUUGAGAGUACAUAUAAAAGGGUGUUAGGUUUACAUAAUGAGUUGUUUUUUUUUUUUUUUUUAAGCUUAUGUUGAGAGUGCAGAUGACUACAUACACAUUGAGAAUUUGGCUUAUGUCUUGUGUCCGAUGAGGGAAAUUUUUUUUUUAAUUUUUUUAAUUUUUUUAAUUUUAUUUAUUGGUGGUUACGAAGAGUAAGAAGUAACGAGAUGGAAAUCGAUCAAAUUUCAGAUUUUUGCACUUUGCUUGUUCUUAUAAGAAGGAAAUCAAUCAGUUGUUCCAGUUUUAUCUUCCAACUCUCUACUUUCCAAUUGUAUUUUGGUGUCAUUCCAUUUUAAUCUUAGUUCCAUUAAAAUGAAGACAUUUGAAGAACCUAACGUAAAACAUCCGUACAAGAAAAACGCAGCUUAGCAACGCCAAGAAAAUCAUCUACGAGAGUUGAUCCAAUCCAAGCAGGUUGCAUAUGGGGUUAUUGAAGACAAAGUUGCCGAGAUCCAUAUUAAAACUCCAAUUUGGCAACUGAUGGGCAACACAAUUCAGCUCCCUGAAAACAUGCUUCAUGCUUAGCUCAGCUCACAUCUAACAAUUGACUCAUCGAAGUUUUGCAUCUACUCACAAUUGUAUCAAGUAUCAAGAGGAUAAUAGCUAUCAACCAUAUUUUGUUAGAACAAUGUGACAACAAACACCUCUAUCAAUAUGAUCUUCUUGUUCCAAAUUGGCAGAGAACUUCACCCGCACCAAUCUUGAACCAUCAACAUUAAGCUUAUACCAAUGAAUAUCAGGAGGUUCCCAAGUAGUGGGAGUAGACUUCCAUUAGGUUUAUGGGGGAGAACCAACUCAAGCUUUCACCCAGUUCUCAACGUUUUGCGUGUUUACUAACAAGCAUAGAAUCUGAAAGGCCAGUUGAUUCGUAACUCAAUACUUGAAAAUUAGGAAUCAAAUCAAAUGUUUAUUUUUUAUUGAUAACAUAUUUGCGAAUUUGGUUUAUAAUUUUGGUUACCUGAUAUUAUCCUAAUGGAAAUAUCUUUUGACAACUAAAAAGUACAUACAAAGAUAAUUUUGGGUGGUGAUAUCCACACACAUCCUUUUUACCUUUCACACACCUCUAUUAUUUCCUGGCUAUCGAUCAAUUGAAAUAAUCAAAUGACAUAAAUUAAUAAGUAAUGUGUGAGAACUAGAAAUAAGUGUGUGAAGGGUCACAAAAAUAAACAGAUACCCAAAAUUAACACAACACACAGAGUCAGUCAGUACAUUUCAGUUGCAAAUGAAAAUUACAAACAGUGGGAUUUCCUCUCUAUCGCUGAGAGAUUCUCUGUGAUGGGGGACAAUGGGCGAGUCGUCUGCAAAUGCACAACAGCAAGGAGGAGCUUCUUCUGCUUCAGAGAAUUCAGUUUUGACGACAAGCCCAACCGCCGAAACAGUAUUCUCAGGUUUAUCUCACACAAUUACGGUUUUUUUCCGUUUUCUUUUGAGUUGCACUGUCUGUUUGGUUCCUGAGAAAACGCAGGAAAAUUUAUAAAUUUUUUGAGCUUCUGUAGAGUUUACUGAAGUGAAUACUUGACUAGGUUCAGUUGGGUUGCUGAGAAAUUCAAAACAAUGAAAUUUAAACACGAAUGCUUUUAAUCGAUUUGACGAGAAGUUUUUGAGCUAGUUUAUUGCUUUUGAAUGUUGAAAUUGGAUCGUAUAAAUGUGUUUGUGUGAUAAUUAGAUGAUUUGUUGCUUGCAGUACGGAUGCACGAGAGAAUUCGAGGUCCUCGAUAUUGCCGUCGUCCAAGGAUUAGGAAGUAAGUUUUAUUAUGACUUUAUGUUGAUGAGGCUAUGAUGCAAUUUCAUUCUUAAUUUAAUGGGUAAAUUACAUUUCAGGUUUGAGGUCGAUUUCAAUUCCUUAAAACAUUUUAAAAAUAUUUUAAUUUCUUACAUUUACUUAUUAUUUUUUUUCAAUUUCAUACAUCUCUUAAAAAAGGACAAGGAUUGUCUGCCCUCCUGUUUUCCAUGCCCUUCCAUACCCUCUUGUUUGUGUGGUCACGGUUAAGACACGUCAACAUUUUAUAUUACUAUUCAUUUUUGUCUUAUUAUCUUUAUAAAAAAAUAAUAUAAAAUGUUAACGUGGCUCAACCGUGACCACACAAAAUAAGAGGGCAGACAAUCCUUGUCCCUUAAAAAAAAACCAUUAAGUGAUGACGUGGUGAUGAUGUGGCUGUCAAAUUUAUACCAUUUAUCCUAUUAAAAAAAAAUCACCAUUCUUCUUCCUCGAGCACACCCCAUCCCACCCCACCCGCAACCCCCCAGAAACCAUCUUCCUCCCCCCCCCCCCGGAGACCCACCUCCCUCUCCUCCAGUCUCUUCACCUGCCCUCCCAUCCACGAUCCCCAUUUUCACUGCCUUCUCUGCCUUUACCUCAUCCCCCUCAACAUCACGUCCCUCCAACCCCCGCCUCACUCAAAUGGUCAUCGCCUUCAAGCCGGUGGUCGUCACGCUCCUCUUGCUCCCAAUUUCGACGAUCGUCGCGGUCCAAGGCCACGCCGCCGCAGCCGGCUUCUUGUUCGCCCAGAACCACGAUUACUUCCUGAUGAGGCACGCGACAGAGGCGUGUUGUACAUGAGCGAGAUCGAUUUGGGGCUACCGUUCCCGGACUACUUCAUGGCGGCGUUACUGUCGAAAAUCGGGUCUGUUCGUGGCUAGAAUUUCAGUUGGGGAUGUUUCCUAGCAGACGAGCACACAACUCCCCGAGAGGUUGGUGCCGGUUGAUGCUUUCUGUCGGGCUUCUGCUCACUGGCGGGCUUGUCGGGCAAGGCUUGUCGAGCAAGGCUGAAAGAGAAGGACAGAGUUAACUUUGAAAUAUGCCUUUGUGAGGCCUUAGGUAUAGGCUUUGAGGCUCACAAUCAAGAUUAACUUUUAGGUGCUCAGGCGUGCCACUGCCAUCUUUAGCAUGGCAGAUGUAAACCAGAUGUUAAGUUUUAGUUGUAUAUAUACCCAAGAGGCCGUGUUAGUUAUGACAGGUGCCUUUGUGGGGCCUUAGGUGUAGGCCUUGAGGCUCUCAGUCAAUAACUAAUCCAGUACUCGAACAUAUAAUGCUUGUUUCAUUGAUUGCAAAAGUGUUAUGACUAUUAUACUUAUAAUUACCCGAGCCCGAAGAGCAGAAUGAAUCCAAAUAGGUGCCUUUGUAGGGCCUUAGAUAUAGGCCUUGAGGCUUCCCAUCAGAAUUCCUUCUAUACUCAAACGUUCUACAAUAAUCAUAAUAUAACAGAAAUAAAACUAAGAAAUAGGUCGAUUACUUGCGCCCCAAGUAACUUCGGACUUCUUGUUUAUCAAGGACUGUCAUGGAUGGGUUAAGUCCACAUAAGGUUCUUUUUUAUGCCUUGAGACCACGAACUUUUGAAUGAUCAAUCUUACAUGCCCGAGAGCUUAGAACUUAUAUCUGAUUUAAACUGUGAAGACAGAUUCCAAUUGGAUUCAAGAACUGAGGAGUUUUUUAAUCAUCAACUUGCUAGAAAUAACUUGGAUACAACUGGAAGUAUACAACAUAUUACUAGACUAAUGAAGGAAAAGACAAAAACAAAGAGGGUCGGGCAAGGCUGAUCGUCUUGCAACUUCCUAUCUUUAUGGUUUAUCAAGGGAUUUAAGAGCUUAGAAAGAGGGGUAGGGAGAUGAGUUUACAGAAGGAAAUUGGUACUACAGCAAGAUUUAGACAAGGUAGCAGAGCUAUUACAAAGGUUUCUAGUGAGGGUUGAUCCCGAAAGGGAUGAAAGUUUGGGCUAACUACAGCUUUGUUGAAGGCAAAUCUGGUUUGAGCAGAAUUUGUGCUUGUAUUUGUUUGUUUGUUUGAGUGUCCUUAUCUCUGAUUUCUCUUUCUUCUUUUAUAGACAAUUUAGCUUGGCCCCCUGUAGCAUUAAUCUUGCCCGAAUGCAGCUUGAAGGGCAAUGACUCAUCAGUUUUUUACUUGUACUGCCACUGUAAAGUGCUUUUGGGCUGAUUAGCUGGCUGGUCUACACCACUUGGUCUCUAGGUAGGUGAGCAAGCGGUUUAAAUGAUCUGCACCUAGUCGGGAAAAGCCAUUUUCUGCCUUCUGGGCUUUGGCUGAGCUCCGGGCUCCUUUCCUCCUUUUGGGCCAACUCCCUUUUGAGCCCAAAGUUCAAGUUUUAACCCAAAUAAUGCCCCCUUCAAUUAAUAUUCAGGCUGCAAUCUCAGGGGCCAAUAUUGAUUGAAUAGACGCAUGUCUGUACACCUCCUCUCGGAACUUGUGUUUUCUACAGGACGAAUGCAAUCUUGCAUCUCUUGCUCUUCUCAUGACCUUUGAGCUAUCCUCUGAGGUUUCUAUAAAUUCAGACUCGAAAUUGCUCCUGUCCAGUCAACAGAUCCUCUUCAGCCUUCUCUUUUAUCACCCUCAGACGUUUCUGCCUUCUCAGUUUUCUUCUAAAACUGGAAAAUGGGUUCGUCCGAAUUCAAUUGGGGUUUCCUAAAACUCCCUUUUCGUGAGAAAAAGGAUUUUCAUCAAAUAACUACUAUCUCCAACACCUUUGGUCAAACACCCCGCUAUCCCCAACACCUUUGGUCAGGCGGUUUCCUCCUAAAGGCUUGCCUUCCUGCUCGUUGCUAUGAUAAGUCGGGCUUCAGCAUCAUAUAUGGUGAUGACUCUAUUUGAGGAUCCUCUACCAAGCUCAUCUUGGCCGCACAACUCGAUCACCUGAUCGGAUUCUAUCCAUAAAGACAUUGGAAAACCAGCUGAGACAUCGUUGCAUCCAGAAGGAAUCGAACAUAGCACAUCAGAACUGAAUCUGUUGUAAAUUUCACCAAUUUGUCGAAAUGAAAUGAACAUUAUUUUAGCAACCCUUUUGUCUUUCUGUCUUCUUGAAUAAUUGAUGAACAAACACUACACUUUGUAUCCCGAAGUCUUCUUUAUCUUACAUCCUCUUCAAUAUAACAAUCUCUAACAUCCCAUAAUGUAGGACAGUAUUUUUUCAAGAAUUUAACAUUAAUGGGAUGUUUCUGCCAAUUUCCUUCGAGGUCCGCCAAGUAGUAUCCUCCCUUGCCUAAUACUCGACUAAUCAUGAAAGGACCUUCCCAUGUCGGGCUCCAUUUUCCAAAGCUCCUAAGCUGAGCUCCUAGAGGGAGGACUGUCUUCCACACUAAAUCUCCUUCCUUGAAAGACUUUAUCUUUACCUUUUUGUUAUAAGCUCGGGCAACAGCUUUCUUUCCUUCCUGAAUCUGGUUCAAGGCUUCAAUUCGGGCUACAUCUAAGUCUUCAAUCCCUUGACACAUGGCUUCAAUAUACUCUUCACUGUGUAACCCAAACUGAUUUUGAAUUUUGACAGAACUUACAUUGAUCUCCAUGGGAAGCGCUGCAUCUUGCCCGAAAGUUAAAGCAUAAGGAGUUGUCCUUGUUCCUGCCAUCUUAGAAGUUCGGUAUGCCCACAAAGUAUUCCCCAGCUUUUCGUGCCACUUUUUCAAACUAUCUGUCACCAUUCUUUUGAUAAUGUUUACCAAAAUCUUGUUGCUGGAUUCUGCUGGCCAUUUGACUGUGGGUAGUAAGGACUGGACUAAAUCAUCUUUAUUUUGUAUUUGCUUGCAAACUCUUCAACUUCUUUUGAAAUAAAAGAUGGCCCACGAUCCGUUACUAUAGUUUCAGGCACCCCAAAUAUGUACAGAAUCUUGGUCUCAAUAAAAUUCUUGACUGUAGCUGAGGUUAUGGAUUUUACGGCCGAGGCCUCUACCUAUUUGAUGAAGUAAUCCGUUGCUACAAUUAUGAAAGUGUGCCCCUUACUAGAAGCUGGAUAGAUCUGCCCGAUGAAGUCCAUUGCCCAUCCUCUGAAGGGCCAAGGCUUGACCACUGGAUUUAAAGGCACUGAAGGCACAUGUUAGAGGGGUCCGUGCCUUUGACAUUCUUCACAGCCUCGGGCAUAGGACUUGCAAUCUUUUUCCAUGUCGGGCCAGAAAUACCCAUACCUUCUAAGCAACCACCUCAUCUUCGUUCCAGCUUGAUGUGCUCCGCAUACUCCUUCAUGUACUUCAGCCAUCACUUUCAUGGAUUCCUCUUGGCCUAAGCAUUUCAAUAGUAACCCUUCUGGAGUUUUCCUUAGCAGGUUCUUCGCCCAUAAGACAUACUUGGUUGCUUGCUGUCUAUUCUUCUUGCUUGUGGGUGAAGAGGGAUCCUUUAAAUGAUGAAUGAUGGGCGACCUCCAAUCUUCUAUCUCAGUUUCUAGAACCAUUACAUCCAGACUAAAUCCUCUUUCCAGGAUAGAAGGAAGGUUUCUUCUUUGAAUCUCGACAUCUACCCUAUAUUUUUUUUCCUGUAUUGGUACGCCUAAGGCUAAUUGCGCCAUCUCGUUGGCCGCUAGGUUGGAUCCCCUGGGAACAUGAUUAACUGAUAUCUCAGAAUCCUAAUAACUCAGCAAUUGCGUGGCCGCCAAGUAAUACCCCACCAUGGUGAUAUGUCUGCACUUGAACUCCCCAUUUAGCUGGUUUAUUACUAACUCUGAAUCACCAAAGACCUCUACCUCCACUGCCCCCAGAUCCAUCAAGAUUUCCAAACCAAUUAUUAAAGCUUCAUACUCUGCCCGAUUAUUGGUGUUCCCUUGGUAAUCUAGGAGAAAUGAGUAAUGAUAAACCCCUUGAGGGUUCACAAUUACAAUCCCAGCUCCAGAAGCCUUCUGAGUGUAAGAACCAUCAAAAUACAGCUUCCAAGGAGUAAUCCAAAGGCCAGUCACUCUUUUUAUCUCUUGUUGGACCCACUCCUCUUUGCCCGAGACAUCUUUGCUUGGCGAGAUCCAAACACUAGUAACUUCCAGGGUUCCCGGGAUAUUGAUUAUCUUAUCUUGAGACUCUUGAUGCUCCGCCAAGAAGUCGGCAAUUGCUUGGCCUUUGACUGCCCUUUGGGGUACAUAUUGAAAGCUGAACUCUGAUAAUGCUAGAAUCCACUUCCCAAUCCUUCAUGUUAGUAUUGGUUUCGACAACAUAUACUUUAUCACAUCUGUCUUGGUGAUGAUAUGCACGCGACAAGGUAACAUGUAAUGCCUCAGCUUACUGGCAGUAAAAUACAGAGCUAAGCACAAUCUUUCUACUGGGGAAUAUCUUGUUUCUACCUCGGUCAGAAUUCUACUGAGGUAGUACACCGCCUGCUCUUUCCCACCUUCAUUGUUUUGAGCUAACAAACUCCCGAUUGAUUUCUCUGAAGCAGAGAUAUAUAGCUUUAAGGGUUUUCCCCUUUGAGGUGGUACCAACACUGGUGGAGAAGUCAAAUAGGCUUUGAUACUGUCAAAAGCCUUUUGGUGUGGUGGUCCCUACUCGAAAUUUUCUUUAUCCUUCAGUCUUAGCAAAUGAGUCAGCGGUUGGAUCUUGCCUGCUAAAUUGGAAAUGAAUCUUCUUAAGAAAUUAAUUUUGCUUAGCAGCCUCUGGAGUUGCACUUUGUUGGUGGGUGAAAGCGACUCCAUUAUUGCCCGAGAUUUGUUCUUGUCCACUUUUACACCUCUUUGAUGAACCAGGAAUCCCAAGAAGUUGCCUGCUCUUACCCCAAACGCGCACUUCUUUGGAUUCAUCUUCAGUUUGUGGAUCCUCAUUCUUGUCAAUGCUUACCUGAGGUCUAUCAGAUGCUGCUAUUUUGUUUUGGAUUUCACCACGAUGUCAUCGAUGUACACCUCCAUGUUCUGGCCAAUCAAAUCAUGAAAGAUAAGACUUUGUGUUUUGCUACUGCAUCUAUGGAUAGAUCAGCCAUGGGCAUGGGAUACUCAUCUUUUGGUGUAGCGCCAUUAAUAUUUCUGUAAUCAACACAACAUCGUACUGCUUUUGUUAUGGCUUUUAAAAAGGGUACAAUGUUGGCUAACCACUCUACAUAUUUGGCUGGCCUAAUAAAUCCAGCUUUUACUAGCCUUUCAAUUUCUUCUUUGACCUUCUCUUCUAUCUCCUUUGACAUCCUUCGUGGUGCUUGCUUAACAGGUUUAUAUCCCUCAUUGAUGGGCAUUCUGUGUUCCACCAAGGUUGAAUCUAAACCUGGCAUCUCAGUAUAAUGCCAAGCAAAACAAUUUUUAAAUUCUUGGAAAAGACAGAUAAUCUUUGCCCGAUCAUUAGUCUCUAAUAAACUACUGAUUUGUAUUGGUCUUGGAUCUUCCUUUGUCCCUAGAUCAAUAACUUCCAAAGGAUCCUGAACUUCUGGUAGUGGUUUAUCAGGUUCUACACACAAAAAUUCGACUAACUCCGGGCUCUCGGGCAAGUCGUCUGGCCCAUCCAGGAUAUAUAUACACUCGGCCAUUCGUAUGGCCAUCUCCAACUCUUCUCCACAAAGCUCUUCUCUGCUUUUAUCCUGAUUGGUCGGAGUUCCUAGCUGUCAUUCCUGCUCUUCUUUGUCUAAGAGUUCCCUUUCUUGCUUUCUUCCUUUCCCAUAUACCAACAAUCUUUUAAUCAGGGACCUGACUGCCAUUACCUGAUCUUUUCUUUUUUGUUCUGUCAUUGAUGGGGUAGGGGUGUCGGGAUGAUGCAUGGUCUAUCCCACUCCUCUCUAGUAAGGAGCAUUCAUUGUUCUAAAAGUUUUUGGGCCGUCACCUUGGUAGGGCGGCCGUUCUCAUCUGCUCCUGAAUAUUUCACAAUUCCUACGUUGGGAUUGUAGAAACUUGCUUCCGCAACAUUGGCUGUGGGGAGAAAUGGCCAUGAUUCGGCCUCUACCAUCUCCCAAAAGUCUAGUCCCUCUGUGCCUGCCUCAUGAGAAACAACCACUUGUUGAUGUAGAGUGAAGGGUAUGGCAAGACUUUGGUGGAUCCAAUCCCUUCCAAGUAAGGCUCCAUAGGUGGAAGUGCAAUCUACCACAAAGAAUGCCAACAUGAUUUGUUUGGACCCCAAAUCAACUUCUAAGGGCAAUAUCCCAUAAGUUUUGGUGAUAGCGCCCGAGAAGCUCGAAACCGUGAGGUCCAUAGGAAUAAGAUCUUCUGUGUUUCUCCCCAUUUUUUUCAUUUGCUUGGCUGGUAGUACGUUAACAGCCGUUCCUCCAUCAAUUAAAAUCCUUUUGAAGGGCACCCCCUCCAAAUGAGCUGUAACAUAUAUUGGCUUAAGAUGAUUGGCAAGCAAAAUGUUUGGGCGGUUGAACACCAUUUUAUCUAUAUAGAUCCUUAAAGGACCAUCCUUGGAUGCUUCAGAUGAUUCAAUUUUUCCCGACUCUCUUUCUUCAGCUACCUCAACACUGACAUGGGCCAUCAUUGGCUCAGUUGUCACAUAGUCACCUUCCAUAGUGGCGGGCUGGUUAGGUCUGGCACCAAACAUGGCGGAUAUCACAUACGCCAUGUUGAUAUGAAAAUUGCUAGGAGCUGGCAGUUCUUAUUUCUUGCUCCCGAUCUGGUCCAUGAACUCAUCUAACCAAGCCAUCGCAUUUUCUGGAAGCAAUGGUUUUGGUGCCCCCUCCUGUUGAUUCAUGCCCGAAUACGGUGUUUGCUUUGGAACUUCACCGAAAGGAUCCACUAAUGAUAGAAAAGGUGGUUUUCUUUCAGGCGAGUUCCAAAACAAAUAGGCUAUCUUCCAUCUGGGAGUUGGCACCAUGAUCAUAUCUUCUUGAGCUCUCCUCAAGAUCCUAGAUUUCCCAGGGUGUAGGCUUUGCAGUACAUGGUUUCCCUCACCCUCUAUUUUGCUAUUAGUCUUCUCCACCUCUUUUUUACUCCUCCAGCAGAACUGACUACUCCCCCCAGAUGACGUUUUUUCCAACUUUUGAUUCUUGGAUGCUUUGGACGUCGCAGGGGUCUUUAAAGAGUUCAUGUAGGCUUUGUGUUGCCUCUGGACCCUUCUGACCAUGGAGGCUCCCAUUUGUUUAACGGGCUAUCCAUUUUUCACAACCACAUACCAUUUUCGCUCGAGGCGGGCAGGGUUAUCUUUCUUGAUAGGAUUUAUUAUCCUAUCAUUCCUCUUGACUUCUCUUCCCAUAUGGCCGUAUUGAGAAUGCUCUAUACCCCUCUCUUUUGGCUUUUUGGCAUCCUUAUCUUCUGCCUCCUCAGAAACUUCAUGAUUACGAAAUAUCUCUAAUAAAGCUCUAGGUUGGGAAUCGCCUCCUAACCGCUGAAAAACACUUCGGGAAGUAUCUCUUCCUGUAGUUCGUCUAACUUUCUCACGGGCCUCCUUUCUUUCUUCUUCUUCCUUCCUCCUAAUUAGCUCGUGAUCCAUGAGGACUCCUGCUGGUGGUAUUUCGAGCUCACACUCGCAUUGGCAUUUACUGCACAGAACCAUCCCUUUGAUUAUGGCUGCUUUUGGAUGUUCGGGCAAUUUGAUCACCCCUUUUGUGGAUUUGUCAGCCAGUCUUCCUUCUUCUAUUUCCCUUGUGACCUUUUCUUUCCCCUUCUCAGCCCAUGCCAUACUGGGCCUCUGAGAAGGGAUCUGCAGGUUUGUCCACCACUGCUUCCUCUGGCUAGCUGGUUUUAAGUCUAUCUCUUUCCCUAUCAUCUUUUUUCCCAAGUUGAGGUAAAGAUAUAGGAAUAGUUGGUCUUAUAACCAGGUCUGCUUCUCAUCUGCAGCCUGCGGAGGCGUUCUCCAAUCUUUGCAACAUUUGCAACAAGGUAGUUUGCAAAUCUUCUGGCAGUUUUGACAUAUUUCUUUGAUCAAAUGGAUCCCACCGGGCGUGCCAAAACUAUGUUCGUGGCUAGAAUUUCCGUUGGGGAUGUUUCCUAGCGGACGAGCACACAACUCCCUGAGAGGUUGGCGCCGGUUGAUGCUUUCUGUCAGGCUUCUGCUCACUGGCGGGCUUGUCGGGCAAGGCUGAAAGAGAAGGACAAAGUUAACUUUGAAAGGUGCCUUUGUGGGGCCUUAGGUAUAGGCCUUGAGGCUCACAAUCAAGAUUAACUUUUAGGUGCUCAGGCGUGCCACUGCCAUCUUUAGCAUGGCAGAUGUAAAACAGAUGUUGAGUUUUAGUUGUAUAUAUUCCCGAGAGGCCGUGUUAGUUAUGACAGGUGCCUUUGUGGGGCCUUAGGUGUAGGCCUUGAGGCUCUCAGUCAAUAACUAAUCCAGUACUCGAACAUAUAAUGCUUGUUUCAUUGAUUGCAGAAGUGUUAUGACUAUUAUACUUUUAAUUACCCGAGCCCGAAGAGCAGAAUGAAUCCAAAUAGGUACCUUUGUAGGGCCUUAGAUAUAGGUUUUGAGGCUUCCCAUCAGAAUUCUUUCUAUACUCAAACGUUCUACGAUAAUCAUAAUAUAACAGAAAUAAAACUAAGAAAUAGGUCGAUUACUUACGCCCCAAGUAACUUCGGACUUCUUGUUUAUCAAGGACUAUCAUGGAUGGGUUAAGUCCACAUAAGGUUCUUUUUUAUGCCUUGAGACCAAGGACUUUUAAAUGAUCAAUCUUACAUGCCCGAGAGCUUAGAACUUAGAUCUGAUUUAAACUGUGAAGACAGAUUCCAAUCGGAUUCAAGAAUUGAAGAGUUUUUUAAUCAUCAACUUGCUAGAAAUAACUUGGAUACAACUGGAAGUAUACAACAUAUUACUAGACUAAUGAAGGAAAAGACAAAAACAAAGAGGGUCGGGCAAGGCUGAUCGUCUUGCAACUUCCUAUCUUUGUGGUUUAUCAAGGGGUUUGAGAGCUUAGAAAGAGGGGUAGGGAGAUGAGUUUACAGAAGGAAAUCGAUACUACAACAAGGUUUAGACAAGGUAGCAGAGCUAUUACAAAGGUUUCUGGUGAGGGUUGAUCCCAAAAGGGAUGAAGGUUUGGGCUGACUAUAGCUUCGUUGAAGGCAAAUCUGGUUUGAGCAGAGUUUGUGCUUGUAUUUGUUUGUUUAUUUGAGUAUCCUUGAUUUCUCUUUCUUCUUUUAUAGACAAUUUAGCUUGGCCUCCUGUAGCAUUAAUCUUGCCCGAAUGCAGCUUGAAGGGCAAUGACUCAUCAGCUUUUUACUUGUACUACCACUGUAAAGUGUUUUUGGGCUGAUUAGCUGGCUGGUCUACAUCACUUGGUCUCUAGGUAGGUGAGCAAGUGGUUCAAAUGAUCUGCACCUAGUCGGGAGAAGCCCUUUUCUGCCUUUUGGGCUUUAGCUGAGCUUCGGGCUCCUUUCCUCCUUUUGGGCCAACUCCCUUUUGAGCCCAAAGUUCAAGUUUUAACCCAAACAGGGUCGAUGUCGGGUCGAAAGGGCGUGAUGCUGAGGGGGAUGAAGGUGAAGGGAGAGGAGGCGGUGAAAAUGGGGAUCGUGGAUGGGAGGGGGUGGGUUAGGUUGGGGUGGGGUGUGCUCGGGGAAGAAGAUGGGUGUUUUUUUUUAAUAGGAUAAAUUAUUAUAAUAUUUUAAAUGUAUAAAAAAUUAUUAUUUUUACGAACAAAUUUGGCAGACACGUCAUCACUUAACGACGGUUUACUUAACAGAUUUUAUAACGGAUGAUGACGGUUUACUUAAAAGAUUUUCUAACGGAUGUAUGAAAUUGAAUAAAAUGGUAAGUAAAUGUAUGAAAUUGAAAUGUUUUAAAGAUGUUGUACAGAAUUGAAAUCGACACAAAACCUGAAGAGAUAAAAUGUAAUUUACCCUAAUUUAAUUGUUAUACUCUUUUAAACGACGGAGUAUGAUUAGCUACAAGGUUGCAACUAACUAUUUUGGUCUCUUCCUAAUUCAAGUUAUAUAAAUGUACAUAUCAAAAUGGUUAUAAAUUCAUAUUUUUAAUUUAGUUUCCUUUCAAGUGAGACAGAAACACCUUGUAUGUUGCUCGAUUUACUGUUGUUUUAGAAUGAAGGCCUUAAUUGCAGUUGAGGUUUGGUGGGGAAUCGUAGAGAGUUUCUCUCCAAGGCCGGCCUUGAGGGUGUGCAAGUGGUGCCCCAAAACGGGCCCCCGAUUUUUCAAUUUUGCAUGCAUAUGCGUAUAUAUAGCUGUAUGUGUAGAAUAUUACAAAUGUGAGUCUUAGCGCAAGUGUUAUUAUUGCUUCUUUACAUCGGCAUAGGGAUGGUUUGAAACUCGUCUUCAUCAUUUUUUUCAGUUUAUUUUUAUUAAAUGCAUGUGCUUCCACAAAAUAAUAUAAAAAUUCCACACAAUAACAUAAAAAUUCAAACCCUGACCCUCUAAAUAGGUAAGAAAAAACAAUACGCCACCUUUCCACUUGUUGAUUUGUUAAAUUUGUUUGUGCUAUUAGAAUUUAUAGAAACUCAAUUGAAAACUAAAAUUAUUUUUUUUUCAACAAAAAAAUAAAUUAAAUUAAAUUCUUAGUACUUUUUAGGGCAUCCAAUUCACUUUUGUAAAGGACCCUGAAAUCUCAGGGCCAUCUCUAUUUCUCUCCUCUUGCAUAUGAUUGGUCUCUAUAUGAAGAGCUUUUCAAACUGAUUUCUGACUCAGGUUAGGUUUAAAGUUGCAUGUUGCCUUGUCUUUUCACUCAAACGUUAACUCUUCUUCUAGCAGAAGAAUCAUAACCCAUUUGGAUGACUACAGAUAAUAUCAAUGUUUCUUCAGCAUACUUGAUUUUAGCUUUGAUGUGCUUAAAAAGUUUAUCAAUGCAAAGGGAUGUGAAAGAAAAACUGUAGUUUGGCCUUCAUUACACACCUAUCAGUUUGAAUCUUGAAUCUAGAUAAAGAAGUUGACCUCUUCUUUUUUUCCUCCCAGUCCCAGAUUGGUGAUCAGAAUAAGCAUAUAUAUUAUUGGGACCAAAAUGGAUUUUCCAAUGAUGAUUAUCUUACACUGGGAGUUGACCAUGUUCCUCUCUUUUGCGAACUAACUGCCCUCCAUUGUUAUGAAGAUUUCAUGUCAAGUUUCGCUAAGAAAUUUGAAUUCUUAAUCGGAACUGUAAUAGAAUAAAUUAGUGUUGGUCUUGGUCCUUCUGGUGAACUUAAGUAUGUCACAGUUGCACUAGAACUACGAGUAUGAAGCCAGUCCAAUGAUUUCUUAUGCAACAUUGUUACAUUGCUCACACAGAUAUCCUGCACAUCCUUUUGGUGAUGGUAGAUGGAAGUUUCCUGGAAUCGGUGAAUUCCAGUGCUAUGACAAGUGCAUGUAUGCUAAAAAUCUUGUGUAACUUGCAUGAUUGCUUUUAUCGUUCUGUUCAUGCACAUUCAUCCUCAAACUACCACUUAGAGUAAAAUGCAGACACUGAAUUGAAGUUGUGUUUCUUUAGCAAGUGUAAAUAAAUCAGUUUGUGAUCAAGGGCUGAGAUUAGAUAAUAUUGUGCUAGGCUCAGAUGUAAGCAUGCGUCAAGAUCUCAUAGGGUCUUGUAAUGAAUGGUAUGAUGAGCUCAUAGGCUCACGUAGUUUCUCUCUUCCUAGUAGUCAUGUAAAUGUUGAGGAAAGAAUGAAUAUAUGCAGUAGAGCAUUUUUGGCUCUCACUGAGAUAUUUUGAGAACUCUCUCUGCCUCUUCACUUUCUCUCUAAACUUCUUCUUCCUAUACACAUUUCUAAAAUACAUCACUGCAUAACAGGACAGUCCAACAUGGUAUCAGAGCCUAGGUUCGAUUUCGGACUGGGCGUUGAAUUCUGUGAAAUUGUGUGAGAGAAUCCAACGUGAAAUCUCUCAAUUUCAUUCCGAUUCAAGCUAAAUGGCUGGAUCUGGAAGCGGUGAUUUACGAGCUCCCGUUUUUUAUGGAACGGAGUUUGAGUUCUGGAAAGUGAGAAUGGUCACCAUUUUCAAAUCGUAUGGGAUAUGGAAAUUGGUUGACAAAGGGAUUGCUAUUCCAGAAUCGAAGAAGAAAGGAGAAAAGAAGAAAACAAAGAAGGAGAAAGACGAGGAAGAUUCAUCCUCAUCGGAUGAUGAUGAAGGAGAUGAUGACGAGUUGGACGCACACAUGGAAGAUCAGCUCAUGAAAGAUGCUAAGGCACUGGGCAUUAUUCAGAGUGCUGUCUCGAAGGAGAUCUUCACAAGAGACCUCAAAGGGUGCCUGGGAUCUACUCCAGGAGGAGUUUCGCAGCGAUGAACAGGCAAGAUCUGUUAAACUUCAAAGUUUACGUCGUGAAUUUGAGUAUAUGAGAAUGAAGGAGAAUGAAUCUCUAUCUGUCUAUCUUACUAGACUAUUUGAAUUAAUUAAUCAAAUGAAAUCUUAUGGUGAGAACCUCACUCAUCAAAGAGAAGUGCAAAAGGUUUUGAUUAGUUUGUCCAGUCAAUAUGAUCCAAUCUGUGUUGUGAUUGAAAGAACUUCUGAUUUGAAUACUGUGACUGUGCAAGAAGUGGUAGGAUCUCUUAAGUGUUAUGAGCUUAGAUUGAGUAGACAUGUUGAUGAAAUUACAAGCACGGAGCAUGCUUUCUCCACUAUGGGUCUUGUACCUAAAGCACAGAAUAGGCCACUCACACAGGGAAAUCACAGUAAGGGAAAGAAGAAUUGGAAGUCUAUGUCUAGGAAGUGGGAAAACAACACUCGACAGCCUGAGAGACAGGGUGAGAUCACUGAGGGUGUUAAACAAAAGUGCAAGAUCUGUGAUAAGGCUCAUCAUGGAGAGUGUUGGUUCAAAGGAAAACCUAAGUGUCAUAACUGCAACAGAUUUGGACACAUGUAGUACAUGUAGUGAGAGAUUGUCACCAGCCAAAGAAAAAUCAUACUGCAAAUUAUUUGAAUCAUGUUCAAGAUAAUGCAAUGAUGUUCUAUGCCUGUCAUAAAGGCCUCUGUGCAAGAAAUAGUAGUGGUGUUUGGUAUCUGGACAGUGGUUGCAGUAACCACAUGACCAGUACUGAAUCAUUGUUGAUCAACAUUGACAGAAGUAUAAGGUGUAAGGUGAAAAUGGGCACAGAGGAAUUGGUUGACUCAGUUGGCAAAGGCACACUGAUUGUGGAGACCAAAAGAGGCACUCGGUUCAUACCAGAAGUAAUGAUUGUACCUGGUUUGGAUGAAAAUCUUCUCAGUGUAGGACAAAUGGUUGAACAUGGCUAUUGGUUGUUGUUUGGUGAUUUCAUGGCCUGCAUAUUUGGAGAUCGUGAACUGCAAGAUCAUAUAGUCACUGUGAAAAUGAAGGGAAAUAGAUGCUUUCCACUAAUGUUUAAUCAUGUGGAUCAUAUUGUAGCAAAUAUUGCUACCACUGAAGGUAACACAUGGAAAUGGCACAGAAGAUUUGGGCACCUAAACUAUGACAGCCUGAGAAUGCUACAAGAAAGGAGUAUGGUGUAUGGUCUGCCAUAUCUAAAGGAGUACAAUCAUGUGUGUGAAGGGUGUGCUACUGGAAAGGCUCACAGAGAGGCUUUUAGCAAAGAACAUAAAUGGAGAGCAAAGUUGCCCUUAGAACUUGUACACACAGAUGUGUGUGGACCCAUGAGUGAGACACUUGGAGGUAGCAGGUAUUUUCUUACCUUCAUAGAUGACAAGUCCAGAAUGUGUUGGGUCUAUUUUCUGAAGUGCAAAUCUGAGGUAUUCAGAAUUUUUAAAAUGUUCAAGGCCAUGACUGAAUUACAAACUGGUUACAAACUGAAGAAACUCAGAAGUGACAGAGGAGGAGAGUACACAUCUCUAGAAUUUGAAAAUUUUUGUGAAGAUGUUGGUAUUGAAAAGCAACUCACUGUUGCUUAUUCUCCCCAGCAAAAUGGUAUUGUUGAGAGGAAGAAUCGUACCAUAGUAGAGAUGGCAAGAACCAUGCUCUAUGAAAAAAAAUUACCACUCAAGUUCUGGGGUGAAGCAGUUCACACUGCUGUCUACUUGCUUAACAGGUGUCCUACCAAAGCACUAGAGAACAAGACUCCUUUUGAAGAAUUCUGUGGUAGAAAACCAAGGGUAAAACACUUGAGAAUCUUUGGUUCUGUUUGCUACACUCAUGUGCCAACCCAGUUAAGACAGAAACUGGAUGAAACUGGACAGAAAGGUGUAUUUGUUGGAUAUGGGACAAGAGAAAAGGGUUACAGGGUGUAUGAUUUGAAACAACAAGAUCAUUGUCUCAAGGAGUGUUAUUUUUUAUGAAGAUGCUGCUCUUAAUUGGGAGAAUAUGGAAACUGUGCAUUUCUCAGUACCUUUCUCAGAAGCUAAUGAGGGUAUAAGCAUAACUGAGAUAGAAAAUGGUGUGUGUGAAGAAACUAAUAUUAGUUCCUCUGAUUUAUCUUGCCCAAAUACAAGAAGUGAGUAUGUUUCCAGUGUACACAAUGAUGCUCCUAACACUGUGAAUAUGGAGAGUGAAAUUCCACUCACAGAAACUUAUGACAACACACCAAAGAAGUGGAGAGAUCUGAAUGAAGUGUUUGCUCAGUGUAGACUCAGUGUCAUUGAACCUGAGAACUACAUUGAAGCUUCUCAAGAUGAAGCUUGGAAGAAAGCAAUGGAUGAGGAGAUUACUAUGAUUGAGCAGAAUGACACUUAGAGAUUGGUUGAUAGGCUAAGUGACAAACCAAUUGUUGGGGUAAAAUGGAUCUUCAAAACCAAAUUGAAUUUGGAUGGCACUGUACAAAAACACAAGGCAAGAUUAGUUGCCAAAGGGUACACUCAAAAGCCCGGAAUUGAUUUUAAUGAGACAUUUGCACCUGUGGCUAGAUUGGACACUAUAAGAACACUCAUUGCUUUGGCAGCACAGAAAGGGUGGAAACUGUACCAGUUAGAUGUAAAGUCUGCUUUCCUGAAUGGGAUCCUUGAAGAGGAAGUGUAUACAGAUCAGCCAGAUGGGUAUAUUGUCAAGGGAGAAGAACACAAAGUAUAUAAGUUAAAAAAGGCCUUGUACGGUCUCAAACAAGCUCCCAGAGCUUGGUACAGCAAUAUUGAUACUCAUUUGCUGCAGAGUGGAUUUAAAAAAAAAGUCCAAGUGAGGCCACCUUAUAUGUGAAACAUGUGGAUGGACAGGGAACUUUGAUUGUUUCUAUAUAUGUGGAUGACAUAGUUUAUACUGGAAGCUGUUUAGAAAUGAUUGAAGAUUUCAAAUGUGAUAUGAUGAACAAGUAUGAGAUGUCCGACUUAGGCUUGUUGCAUCAUUUUCUUGGAAUUGGAGUAAUCCAACAAGAAGGGAGUAUCUUUAUUCACCAGAAAAAGUAUGCACUGAGUUUACUGGACAAGUUUGGUUUGAAGAGCUGCAAAUCUGUCUCAAUACCCUUACCUCCCACGGAUAAGCUAAGGAAAGGUGAUGGGAGUGAAGCUGCAGAUGAAAAAUUGUAUAGGAAAAUUGUCGGCAGCCUUCUAUACUUAACUGCAACAAGGCCUGAUAUCUUGUACUCAGCAUGUGUACUUGCCAGGUACAUGCACUGUCCUUCCAUCAAACAUCUUGGCACUGCAAGGAGGAUCCUCAGAUAUGUGCAAGGAACUGUUGACUAUGGAAUUAAGUAUGAAAAGGGAAAUGCAGCUCUACUCAUAGGAUUUUGUGACAGUGAUUGGAGUGGAGAUGAAGAUGACAUGAAGUCCACAUCAGGGUAUGCUUUCAGCUUUGGCAGUGCUGCAUUUUCUUGGGCUUCUGUAAAGCAACAGAGUGUUGCACUCUCAACUGCUGAAGCCGAGUAUCUGAGUGCCUCAGAAGCCACCACUCAAGCUACAUGGCUGAGAUUUGUGCUGCAUGAUUUUGGUGAAGAAUUGAUCGAACCAACUCCUUUGAUGUGUGAUAACACAUCAGCAAUUGCAAUGUCAAAGAAUCCGGUAUUCCAUCAGAGGUCUAAACAUAUCAAGAGGAAGUUUCAUUUCAUCAGAGAUGCAAUUCAAGAAGGAACAAUUGACCUGCAAUACUGCAAAAGUGAGGAGCAACUAGCUGACAUUUUCACCAAAGCGCUUGCUAAAGACAGAUUCUGUGCUUAGAGGGAUAAGCUUGGGGUAAUCUCAGUUAAGACCUUAGAAGGGAGUGUUAGUUGAUUAAGGUCUAAACUGUAUUUUCCUUACUUUAGCAAGUGUAAAUAAAUCAGUUUGUGAUCAAGGGCUGAGAUUAGAUAAUAUUGUGCUAGGCUCAGAUGUAAGCAUGUGUCAAGAUCUCAUAGGGUCUUGUAAUGAAUGGUAUGAUGAGCUCAUAGGCUCACGUAGCUUCUCUCUUCCUAGUAGUCAUGUAAAUGUUGAGGAAAGAAUGAAUAUAUGCAGUAGAGCAUUUUUGGCUCUCACUGAGAUAUUUUGAGAACUCUCUCUGCCUCUUCACUUUCUCUCUAAACUUCUUCUUCCUAUACACAUUUCUAAAAUACAUCACUGCAUAACAGGAAAGUCCAACACAUUCAUCCUCAAACUACCACUUAGAGAAAAAUGCAGACACUGAAUUGAAGUUGUGUUUCUUUAGCCAAGCAACAUUUCUGUGUAGGUGCAUAGCAAAAUCCUAGUGUAACUUGCAUGACAUAAUUGCUUUUAUCGUUCUGUUCAUGCUCAUUUCAUCCUCGAACUAACUCUAUUUGCUUCUAGGGGUUGUACUUGCAGACUGUUUGCUACUUAAGUCUUCACUACUCUUACGCAACAUGAUUAAAAAGUAGAUAUGUUUUAAUGAUUUAGUAUGAAGUCAUGACAAGGGAACGGGUUUUUAAGAAACUGCACUAAGUUAAUGCAAUUUGAUUAAGAAUGAAAAUGCAUUGAUGCUUGUCUUUCUAGAGAGAAAAAUAAACGUCAUAGGAUGAACUGGUUAGUAAACUUAGGACAAUUAUGGAGUAUAAGUGGAAAAGUAAAUUAUAUUAUGGUUCUUUAUCAUGCGAUACUUGGCAUAACAUGAUUAAACUUAUUGGAAAACACUGUGGAGCUUAGUAGAUCUGACAGUGGCUUGACUCGUUGUAGGAAUGGUACAGUGGUAGGUUGCUCCAUCAUCCAGAUGAUAUUCUUGCAAGGGCAGCUAACAUUCUGAAGAAAUAUCAAGAAAACAAGCAAACUUCAAUUGUAUUGGCGGCUAAAAUUGGAGUAAUAUAUUGGUGGUAACAGGCAAUAAGAAAUAUCGUCAUAUUUUCGUAUCUGUCACUAUGAGAAGAUAAUGUAGUCUUUGCAGAUUGAAAACAACAAUAAGCAAAUGGAUCCGAAAAUAUAGAGAACAAAAAGAACUAAGAGUUCAUUCCUCCACAGUCCUUCAAAUACUUAGUCUUGAUUUUGGUGAGUGUGAUUGCGGCAUCUUUCAUGUUAAUCCUCUCUCCCGGCAAUGCUGCAGAGCAAGCUAAAGCUAAUCUCAUAACGGAUAAUAAGCAAUCCCUUCUGCUCACGAAAUCACCAUCUUCCUCUGCCCCAAGUAUAUCGGCAUCCACAACUUCACCUAUUGCAGCAUCUGGAAAUAAUGAAUCUGCAAUCCAUUGCUUUAAAUCCAUUUCCCCAACAAACAUCUCGUCUGUUGGCUUCCUUUUUGUGAAUGUCUCCAUGAGUACAAUACCAAAACUAUACACAUCCCCUCUAGUUGAAACUCUUCCUUCCAUCCCAUACUCUGCAAAAUUUGUAUGUGAAUUUAGUUAUACAUGAUAAAAAGAAAAUUAUAACUCCUAAUGAGGCCAACAUAUACAAAAUUGAGAAAAUACAUCACCUGGAGCCAUAUAUCCAACUGUGGCUAGGGUCAUGGUUUCUGUCAUCGAAUCUCCACCACCGAUGAGUCUUGCAAUGCCAAAAUCAGCAACAUGUGCAACCAUAUCAUCAUCUAGUAGUAUAUUGCUUGGUUUCACGUCACAAUGAACGAUAGGUAUCGAGUAACCGUGAUGAAGAUAUUCUAGUGCCAAUGCAACAUCUUUCAUUAUGUCCAACCUCUGCAGGAUAUUCAUGGAGCGGUUUGGAGAAUACAACCAUUGUUCGAGGCUUCCAUUAGGCAUCAAUUGAAGUACUAAGUUCAUCGCAAUAACUUAUGAUUUUAAUAAGAUUCCGGUGACGGAUAUUGCUUAGCAUUUCACAUUCCUUAUCAAAACUCUUGAAUGCCCCUUCUAGCUGUAAAUUGAAAACCUUGACGGCGAUAUCUAUUCCGUCUAACAGUGUUCCUCUGUAUACUGAGCUAAACCCCCCUGUGCCUAGUAAGUUACUCUCGUGAAGUCCAUUUGUCGCCUUUACAAGUUCUAGGUGCGAAACUCUUCUCCAAAGAACUUGAUGUAGCGAGGCAGUUUCUCUUACAACUUCGACAUUUCUUUUCUUGCAUAGUAUCAGAAUCAAUGCAGCGGCCGCUAGGAGUAUUGCUGACAUGACCCCUGAGAUGAUAUAUUUAGCUUUCCUCCAUUUUGGCUUAACUUCUGUUUUAUAUUUGCACAAUGGAACGUGGAGUCGGGAAGCACCGCAAAGCGCACCGUUUGAUACAAAUGAAUCAGCAGAGAAGUUUCCGAAAGGCCCGCCUGUUGGAAUUUCUCCUUGGAGUUUGUUGAAAGACAAAUUCAAAUGCUUGAGAUGCGAGAGUGCUUUGAAUGACUUCGGGAUCACUCCAGAUAGAUUGUUUUUGGACAAAUCCAAGAAUUCUAGGCUUAGCAAGGUUUCAAAUGAACUGGGAAUAGGGCCUUCUAAAUAAUUGUUGCCAAGGAAAAAUUAAUCAUAUUCUGAAGACCCCCAAUGCUAUCGGGAAUGUUUCCCGAGAAAUGGUUAUUUGAUAAAUCUAUAUCCACCACAUUUUUCAACUUUCCGAUGUCUUCUGAGAGUGGUCCAACUAGAGAAUUGGAUGACAAGUUUAGGUGCAGUAUAUACUUGAGUUCCCACAAGGAAGAUGGAAUUUUUGAAGUUAACAAAUUGGACCCUAACGAUAGACUUCUUAGAGCUACUGCCAAAGUACCCAAGCAGGAAGGAAUAUAACCAGAGAGCCGAUUACCACCCAAAAAUAACUCGGCUAGGUUGUUUAGUUGACAGAGUUCAUAUGGGAUAUGUCCUCCCAGUUCGUUAUUGUACAAAUACAAACCUUGGAGAUUUUGUAGCCUUUGUAUUGAAGUUGGAAUUGCUCCACUCAACUGAUUGUUUCCCAGUUGUAGUGAUAUCAAGCUGCUCAAGUUGCCAAUAUCAACUGGAAUGUUGCCCCUGAUGUUGGAACGGAUUAAAUUCACAUAUAGGAGUGACGUAGAGAGAUUCCUAUGAGAAGCUGGAAUCGUGGUGUUUAGUGGAUUGUCUCCCAAGGACAAUCUUGUCAAAUUUCUGAGAUUAAACAAGCAAGAGAGAGUGCUUGCUGCUUGUGGAGUAGAAGCAUCAAUUGCCAAAUUAUUCGAGUGCAAGUUAAGAACCUCGAGGUUUUUCAAGGAACAGAGCGUGCUAGGAAGAAACCCAGUAAAUGAGUUUGUGUUCAUGUCUAGCACCCUGAGCUUGGAAGCAUUGGAGAGGUUAGGGAGUAGUCCGCCCACGAGGUUAUUUCUGGCUACUUCAAGGUAUUCUAGGUUUGGAACGUUAAGACCUAUGUAUGCUGGGAGGCUUCCUGAGAGCUGAUUAAAAUAAAGCCCUAUUCCUCUUAUCAUGGAGUUAUUGAAGAGUUUGGAUGGGAUGACGCCAUUGAGAUUAUUAAUCCCCAAUCCCAAAAUCUCUAACUGCGGAAGAUCACCAAUCUCAUCCGGUAUUGUACCUGUCACAAUUUCAAAACGUUUGCAUUAAAUUUUUAACUUCAGUUUAACUAAAAACUAAAAACGAAAUGAUUAUCAAAUAGUCUUAAAUUUACUACCUGUUAAAUUAUUGUCAUCAAUCUGAAUCUUGGUUAAGUAGGUCAAAUUGCCAAGACUUAUGGGUAUGCUUCCACAGAAAUUGUUAACACCUAAUACCAAUUCACGAAGCUCUUUGCAUUGCCACAGUUUGGAGGGAAUCAGACCGUCAAACUGGUUUUUACCCAAAUUCAAAAUUCGAAUACUUGGAAGAUGCUCACAUAUAUUGUCCGGAAGACUGCCACUCAUGUUGUUUCCAUAUAGAGCCAAAGUAGUCAAAGAAGAUAUGUUGAGGACAGGCACAAGAGUAGAGCCUUUUAGGACAUUGGACUUCACAUACAACUCCUCCAGCUGACCUAAACUGCCCAUCUCGUUUGGAAGUUCUAUAAAUCAAUCCGUAUAUAUUGUUAAAAUCAUGUAAACAUAUAUAGGAGUUGCUUCUUACUCGAAAUCCCGUUCUACCGUAGCAAAAGUGGGAUAACAUUAUAAGGACCAUGUACUCACUAUAUAGGUUCUCUUUUUGCUCCAGCAUAUGAGGGUCUUACACAGUAAAUAUACGAUCCCUAUGAUAGUCCUCUUAUUUCAUUUUUGCUAAAGUGGAACGAGAUUCCUGCUAAGGAGGGGCUCGUAUCUAAACUACUUAGUACCUAUUAAUACAACUCUUCUCCCAACCAAAACUACAUGAAAUUACAAUUUUAACCCCCACACCAAAACUGCACAAAAAUUAAAAAAAAUAUAUGGGUAAUUUAGUAAUUACAUGAACAUAAAUUUUGUUGUUAUUUACGGCAACCUCACAGCCAAGUCAUCAUAGCAUGCUCUAUUUAAAAAUUAAAAAUAAAAUAAAAUAGUAAAUAAAAAACAUGCCUACUUUAGAAGAAACUGCUCAUCAUUGUCCUAAUUUUUAUAAUUGAUUUCUUUUUGUUAGAAUUUUAAAAACUAAUCACAUUUCAUAGUAAAAAAAAAAAACAAAAUGAAAUGAAAUUAUUCACACACAGUGUGUGAAGGCAUCUGCUAGUAUACAUGUAACAAAACCUAAGUCAUACAGUAUACCUUCGAACUUGUUGAAGUCAAGGUCUAUGCCCUUCACCAUUGUUAAGUUGCCUAUUUCUCUGGGUAUGCUACCUGUUAUGUGCAUGCAUUCCAACAAAAAGGAAGGAAAAAAAAAAACAAACGAGAUGAUUGUUAUACAUCUUAUAUAUAGAUGUUAAAAUGAAACAAAGAUGUUAAAAUGUAAUCAUGAAGCAAGCAACAUUAAUUUAUAUUCCUAGGUGAUUGGGUGGUACGUACGCACCUGAUAGUUCGUUCCUUCUCAGAUUAAUUACUUCGAGUGCAGAUAAGUUGAAGAUAGCAGCGGGUAUGAAACCAGAGAAGCCAUUACCGUACAAUUUGAUGGUUUGAAGUUUAGGAAAGGACCCAAACCACGAAGGAAUGGUUCCCAUAAAGCUGUUGUUUCCAAUGUUAAUCGCCUUCAACCGGCAAACGAGACAGUUCUUGCGGUAGGGGACCAUGAAAGCUAUUAUUCUUAAGGCCCAACUCAACAAGAAAUGAGAGGUUGCCUAGAUGCGGAGGAAUAACUCCAGCAAGACCCAUGUGCGAGAGAUUUAAGGUUGUGACUCUGUGGUGGCGAGCACCACAGCUAACGCCAAUCCAGUUGCAAAUGUCGGAAUUGGAGGCAGACGACCAGUUGGCAGUCAAGAUGUUUUGAGGGUCACUAGUGAUGUGAGCCUUGAGAGAAAGAAGCGCAGACUGAUCUGUGCUGAAAUUGGUAUGAGAUAUUGCUAAUACACCUGCAGUUAAGUAAUUAGCCAUAAUCAUCAUAUAGAUAUAACUCAAGCAGUUUAUCAUCGACAACAUUUUUUAUAGUAGGAAACGACUUCUCUCCUUAAUUGAAGUAGUUUUCAUCUUUCGGUUUAAAUUUGAUCGAAAAUUAGAACUCAUUACAUUCACAUAAAUAGGGAAACAAGUUGGUGUUACCAAGACUUGUGAGCGACUUAGACUUGCCCGGCUUCUAGGUCAAGGUGAGGAGACUUCGAUUUUUUAACAUAUCAAACACACCAUUCAUUUUUUGCUGGUAGCGUGGGUAGGUGAGAGGAGGAAUGGUGACUGCGAUGUAAGAGAGAUUCAAGGCCAUGACUUGAAGUUGGCGUACCAACCCCGUUGCAACUUGCAAGUGAGCAAUCAAUGGCCGACGAGUUGUGUCCAUUUUGUGGGCACAGCUGGAGAUGCCCAAAUGUGGAAUUUUAGUCUUCAGUUCACCAUCAAAACAAACAACACCAUAAAUUUCAAGAUUGAUAUUUAAUGAUGACAUACAUUUUGAUUCAAAUGCAAAUGCGACCAAACACAUAGCAGUUACAUUCUUCCGGAUGAACACUCUUCGGAUUCGAAAAUCAUCUAAACUUGGCCAAUCAGUUUUUCUGAACAGAACAAAGCAAAGAUGAUACGCAAACGGUCCAAGAAUUACGGUCUUCUGCUUCUAAAUUAUUAAUCACGAUCGCAUGUACAAAUUCAUUGCAGUAACAACCAGAGGUUGAAAACUAGUUCAGAUACGUACAUUCACUAUCAUGCAGACUUGCCAUUGGAGACGCUCUGAAUAUGCAAAGGCUUCUUAUAUGACUGCAACAAGAGAGAACAUACCACGCUUAGAGAUGAAGCAGGCAUGCACCUGCAAGCCAUGGUGGUAAUCGAAUUCCAGUGAAAGGGAACAAAACUCCAGCCGCCACCAGCAUGCUGAGGAUAUUGUAGCCCCGGGCCCAGACAUAAUUCAAUCGAAUUCGAGACAUGGUCUUUCUAGAGAGAUCAAAGGCUGUAACUACAUCUUCCAAGUUGCUCUUCAUCAGAACUAUAAGCAGCUUCUAUAGCUACGUCGGUGCCAGCACCAAUUGCCAUGCCAACAUCUCCUGCAACCAUAGCCGGCGAGUCAUUAAUUCCAUCUCCCAUCAUUGCCAAUUUGCCACAGCCAUUCCUUUCAUCUGCAUCCAAAUCCACUUUAACAUAUCAAGUCAGAAACAAACUUAAUAUAGAAAAAUGAGUUUGAAUAUUUCUAUAAGACAUUAUUUUACCCUAGAUAAGUCAUUUGAAAUAUAAUUUAGUAAUCCUCAAUCUGCGUUCAAAACCAGAACAAAAUUACUUGUGGAGCUGGGUAAUUGUAAUCCACUCACACCACCCCUGUAACUAUUAUAUAAUCGUAACUGUAAUUCUUUGAUUCUAUCAGCUUUUCCUAGUGGAUCCGUCUCAGCAUACACCUUAUCAAUGCCAACCUCCAUCGCACUGGCUGCCGCUGUAGCCCAGUUAUCACCAGUAACCAUGAUGCUUGUAAUGUUUAUCGAGUGAAGAUAAGAGAUGACUCAUGCAGCUUCUGGCUUCACUGGAUCAGUUACAGCAAAAGACUCAGCAAACUUUCCAUCAAUGGAAACUAAGACACACAUUCGAGCCAGAUUAUCAUGUUCUGAAACAUACUUGUCAACCUCAGGAUCAACCUGGACAGUAUUUUCCCGCAUGAGCCUCAGCAAUCACCAUUUACCUACAUAUUUCUCAAAUAGAGGCAUGUUAGCAUGAUUGAAAAAAUAAUUUUACAAUAGCAUAAUAACAAUGAGUUGUCUCAUCUGUAACUUAACUGUACAAACUUAAACUUUUCAUGUAAAAAUUUGAAACAUAAGCACCAACCUAUGUGACAAUAGACACACAGCACAGAACUCCUCCAUUGAGUAAUUGGAGAAGAGCACAGCAUUGGCCACUACGGGUUUCCCAACUGCCAGAGUCCCUGUUUCAUAAAAAACAACCGUUUUCACUGGCAGGGAUCAAACACGUCUGUAAACGUCCAGACACCAACAAAGUGUCAAAUACUAACAAACGUAUCAACCUUCAUGAAUUAGGUACCGUUUGUUCAGCUUUUAAUUUUUGAAAGAACAAAAACCCCAAAAAGGACGAAACAAUUAUUAGCCUUGUUAUAAAAAAAAGGAGUUGGGGUAGAGAGAACUCUCCUUCAAUGAGAGCUAUCAUCUACAAGAAAUGGGGAGUUAAAACUUGGCGACUACGGCUUGGUGACAUGGACAAGGUGCAUACAGCCAUCAAUCGUCCAGAACCAAAGGGUCAUAUGAGACAGAUUCCAACUAUGAAAUAAUAGUUGCAUGUUCAAUCCCAAUAUAUGCAGGAAGAACAUCCUCCAUACCCAAUAACAUAGAUUGCAUUUAGUUUUAUGUCAAGAGCCUAAACGUUGAUCGAACCGAGGCAGAGCGUUUUACUGGUCAGGAAUGAAGUGCAUAACUUGUAAUCACGGAACAUUAACAUAAUGUAUGGUGGUAGCAUAGGGGAUAAUAUGAAAUGACCAGAACAAUAUGAGGAGAGCAACUUCAUAAUGGAGGAAAGACGAGAAAAAAAACUACACUUGCACCCUCAAGACAUAUAGAGAAUAUCAGAAAUUGUUUUUUCCUAAACCACAACACAACAAACAGGUUUUCGACGUCCUCGGAAGGAAAAGUAGGAACAAGCAUAAUGAAGCAACUAAACACACCAGCAAAAACAACAUGAAAAUAAAAUGCAUGAAAACCAGAUUCUAAAUUAAAAAAGAAAUUUGUUUCCAAGGAUAAGGUGGUCUUACCUUAUAAGCCUUUUCGAGUACACUAGCAAAAAUGCCCGCGCUCCACUGCAGGGACUUCUAGAAGUAUGAUCUUGUACCAUCUGAUUUCUUUUGCUAUUCCUAGUUCUUUUUGGCAUCAUGUGCAAAACCAAAUUGAUAGCUAGGAAGAAAAAAGGAAAACACCUGCGUAAAUUAAAUUUUCCAUCACCCCUAUAUUAUAAUUAAAUAAAGCAAAACACAAUAAUCAUCUCACAAUUACAGAAGCAAGGACUUUCAAAUGCCCCAAUUAUUUAACAACCAACAACAACAACAACAAAGUAUUUUCCCACUAAGUGGGGUC
rnacentral:lncRNA from 1 species